GCGGCGGAGGAGGAGGAGGUUUUGAAGCUGUGAUAGACUUCGGCGGUGGCGGUGGCGGUGGAGGAGGUGGCGGCGGCGGCGCUGCUUUGGGUGGUUGCACCGACCGCGGGGACGGCGAGAUCACCUGUUUGAUGUCAGGGGUCGAGCCGGCAGAGAAGCGCGUGCGCGGGGGCGUACGGCGGGACCGCGCAGGUGGCGGUGUCGGCGCAGCAAUGGCCGCCACAGGAGGAAAGCAGUCGCUGGUGAGGCUGGGGAGGCUUCGGCGGGACGCGGUGGUGGUGGUGGGCGGGCUGGACGCGCUGGCCUCACUCCACGUUUCGCCUCCAACCCCGCCGCCGCCGGAGCGCUGGCGCGGCGUGUAGUAGGCAUCGUCGUCAGAGGAGCCCACUGUGACCGCGCGGCGCAGCGGCGGGAGCGGCCGGAGCUCCGGGCUCGGGUGGUCGGUGGGCUCGUCGCGGCCCACCCCGCGGCGCGCGCGCUCGCUGCGCAGCUUCCGGUACGGGGACCCAACGAGAUCAGCAGUGGUUGGCCCGUGGUGGCGGCCGGGCGUGGUGGGCUCCACCGUGCCGACGUAGAGGAAGUCGGCGGCCGAGGGCGCAGAGUGGUGGCGCGCGGACCCGCGGUCGGGGCCGAGCAGCUUCUGCGAGUCCCCGCGGCGGCGCGCGCGGCCCGCGAUAAGGAACGCGCACGCGAACGCCAGCAGCGCGAUGGCCGCGGCCGCGGCCGCCCCCGCCGCGACGAUGGUCCCCUUGGCAGGGCCGCCGUGGUGGCCGCCGUCACCGGACCCUGACGAGGCGCUCGGGACGUUGGCGGCGACGGUGGUCGGCGUCGAAGACGUCGUCGCCGUGCCUCCGCCGCCAGCAGGCGCCGUCGGUGGUGCCAGAGGGAAGAAGUCGGCAGGAGGCCCGUCCGGCGUCGCCGGGUCGGAGGUGAAGUCCGGCGCCGGCGGAGGCGGCGGCGACGGCGGCGGGGUCCACUCGAUUGGGAACAAUGGCUGGUGGAGCACCCGCCUGGCCCCGCCUCCGCCGACAUCGCCGGGUGACGCCGACGCCGCGGCCGCCGGCGAGAGACGGCAGCACAGCAGCAACACGACGCACGCUUGUAGCAGCGUGACGGUAGUGGGAGGCAUUGGCGGUGCGGCAGGAGAAGAAGAAGAAGAAGAAGAAGAAAAAGAUGAAGCGAUCGACCGCUGCCUCGGCUUUCUAGAGCGGGAGUGAGGGUGAGGGGAGAGGGAGCGUGGGAACGGGAGUGGACGCCGCCAUUUUUGGUUCCGGGGCAGUAACAUACAUUGCUGCCACCGGCGGAGGGAGGAGAUCAACCGUGCCGCUCACACGUGGCGCGGGAAUCUGCGGCUUUCCGUUUGCUUCUUCUUUUUUCCUUGCUCUCUUUUCCUUGCCCUGUGUUUGGAUCCCACUCGCUCUGAAGAAAAGGAGAUCCAAUCAGAAACUAGAAGAAAUUUCGGUGGUUGUCAUGCACAACUAUACAAGAAACCGACGAAGGAAAGAAGGUUCAUUGACACACACUUUUGGUUGAAAAAUGGGGGAUUUUUUGCGGUGCCUUUGCAAAUUCGGGAUGGAUUAAAAUACAGGUGAUGGAAGGUUGGUGCUUGGUUCGCUCGAGGAGGCGAGAAAAUAUUCCGCAAUGGGGCAGUAAACACAUGCUGAAAUGGAACCUGAUUCUUUGCUUGCCAACAAACUCGAUGUGAUAUGAUCUUCAGGGCAGAAAGCCAGAAAAGGUCUACUAUGGGCUUAAAAAUAUUCUCCAUGGGCUUCAUGAGCUCUCGGUGGUCUACACACAGUACGCUACUAUCGACCAGCAUGAGCACUUGAGCAUAUGCUACUAUGCUAGUACAGUAAACAUAGAGAGGGUACUACUAUGACAUGUGGUCCUGGCCCUGCUCGCUUGUUAGUUAGAACAGGAUUUUCAUUCCACUGACGUGUGGGGCUCGGUGACAGUACAAGGGCACCAUGCCCUUUCCUUCUCCAGGCAUGCUGCAACUGCAAUGCACCUGCCCGGGUCGCCAUCAGCGAGCUGCCGCGACCAACUGCAAACAAACAGCGCCGGGAGCCGAGGAGGACGAGGAGGCAGAUUUGUCCCGCGCGCACGCAGCUCCCGGUGGUACGCAACGCACGCAGCAGCUGCCGUUCCACGACGUCGCCUGCACGCCAGCAGCAACCGUCCCGUCCCGUCCCGUUCCGUUCGCCGUGGCCACGCCCAUGCCCACGCCAACGCAUUAUCACUGCAUGCCUCGCUGCUGUAGCUGCUGCUGCCGGUGCGUGAACCGCAAUGAUCAAAAGCUGCGUCGUGCCAAAGGCGACGGUGGUAUUGUGUCGUUGAUGCUAGUAGGGUUAUCAGUAUUCAUUCAGUGUUGCUCCUUUUUUUUCCCCCACUCUCUUUUAUCAGGCGCUUUUGCUCUUGCAUCAUUGUAUCAUUCCGGCUAGUUGGGCAGGGAUCUUCGAGUGCUUUACUCGCUUUGCUAGUGCUAGCUUAGCUUUAAUCCAAAGUGAUUUACGGUGGGGAAGGACAACAAUGGAGGAUGCCUGCCGAUGCUGGAUGCCCAUGCCUUGCCCCCUGACCUGACCUGGCCUGCUCGGAGAGAGAGAGAGAGAGAGAGAGAGAUUGCUUGUUGUGUCUUCGGCCGGCGGCCUUCGGCUUCUCUUUUGUCCGCUUUAGUUUAGUGGGUAAAAACUAUGCCUGGUGCCGAUGAUUUGUAUAAUUGGCACGUCAAGCAUCUGCUUUGGCUGGGAUCACGUGGAAAGCGCCCAGAUCCCGGAGCGCGCAGCGCACUGUCGUCCGCUCCGCUCCGCCCUCACGGUCGGCUACGGGACGGGACGACCGGACGACGGCCGGUGCGUGCGUUGGUUUCGCGGGAAUUUCUUGCUUGCCGCUCCGUCACGCAGCCACCACCGCUAGUGCUUGGAAACUCGGGUUUAUUCUAUUUGUGUGCACCGGAACUCCCAAGGAAUCCGUCGAUCGGUCGAUGAUACGACAAACGCCUCUCUUCCAGGUAAAUAUAAAAUUUAAAUUUACCGUCCUUAAUUAUGCCAAACUGCCGUUUCCUCAAAAAAAAAUGCCAAACUGCCAACCGUACGUUAGCAAUAUUCCUCACUGAACAUUGGCUAGCUCUGAUGUAUACUCCGUACUUACGUAAAGAAAAUGGUAACAUCGUGGCAGAGAAUAAAAACGGUGAAACGUGAGGGGAGACCUGCAGAGACCAGAAAUAAUAAACACGCGCUGGCAUAUGCACAGAUCCCGAGAUACGGACAUACAGUGGCGUACUCCUAUCUGUACACGGCUAGGAUGGUGGUCGCACGUGGUGGUCUCGUGCUCAGGGGUGUGAUUAGUUGCGCGUGUAGGGCUGGAACGCCUUAAAUCUGCACGUUGAUUAGGGGACACACGUAGGCCCGUUCAAUCCCGUUUUCUAUCCUCCCGUGACUAGGUUAUUGAUGAUCCAUGAUCAUGAUGCUCUCCAGCCAGGGGAGAAAACAAAAGGAAACGAUGAUGACCAUGAUGCCCAACGGGUCACGAUGAAUUUCUUAACCCCAAAAGCAGGGACGACUGAGCCAAAAUAAGGUCCUAAGCUGGCAUAGCUAUGUGGAAAUAAUACUCUGUUUUUUUUUUAUUAGAUGGAAAGUGUGACCAUGUCAUAGUUCACUUGACUUGCUCGAAGUGUAUGUCAUGCAUGCCCCUAAGCUUCGUGUUCAUAGAGUGCUUACUUCGUUAGAAUUAGAUUGCAAAUAUAAGCCUCUCCAGAUUUGACACAUUUAGUAAGCUUCGAUCAUUAACUAAUAAUUAUUUACAAAAUUAUAUGCAUGCAUACAUUGAAAUUGUUGCAUGGAUAAAAGUUUGUAUGCCGAAAUGCCUUAGAGGUUUUGGCAUCUUAAACCUUUGAAAAACUGCUAGGGCCUUGUAACGAUGGCUAUGGUUUGAAUGGAAAUCAGAAAAUAAGCCUUCAAUUGGAACACCGACACCUUGCACUCAUGAAGACCACGAACUAUUUGCAACUAUCACAAAGAAAGAGGCCCUUUUUUGAACUUCGGCAUGGUUGCAGGGUGAAGAUCAAAAGGAUUUAGCCCCAAACAUCUUCUCAAUGUAAAAAGGAAGUUACAUACUAUUAUGAUGCGACGAACAAUGAUGCUUGGAUCUAUGAUCUUAACAUAGGAACCAUAAAGCCAGGGCAACAACUGCUAGAAUAUGUCUAACUAUGCAAGAGACUCUAAACAAUUCACGUUACGAUAGCAAAUACAGACUAUCACGUAGAUGCUUACAUAUCAUGGGGAAUAUAUGAUGAUGUUGGCCUACUACGCCCAUUUCAAAAGGACUUCGCACAUCAAAAUUUGAAGUCCUCAUCCAGCGCAGCUGGACACCACCAAAGUACAAAUUUUCCGCUUGGCUUGCACUUCAAAAUCAAAAUAGAUUUUUGAUGGGGGAUCGCUUGGUAGUCAAGGGUUAGUCAAACCAACAAAUAUGUCCUUUACGUCGGUCCACGAUCAAAACAACAAUGAAUUUGUUUGUGUGCACAAUUGAUUUAUCUCAAGAGUUUGGGAUCCAAUCUACCUUUGGUCAUCGGUGGACCUGCCGACUCGUGGCAGUUGUCAAAGCUUCACAUUUGGACACGAGUGAUGGACAGUGGUGGCCACAACAACGAGAGCGCCAAUCAGAGCACUGUGAUCCCUUCGAAUUUCAGUGUCAUGGGAAAUUUAGAAAGAAAAGAACAAAAAAAAAGUGUUCCAAAGACACUUGGCUAUCUCGGUAUUGGCAAAAACCAACGCCCAAACUUGGUGCACAACAGGAGGAAAACGUCUUCCAAUUAUCAUCUUGUGUUGGUAGUUUUUAGCAUGCUUGGUGCGUGUACAGUUUGUUUGUUUAUCUUCUUGGCUUAGGCCUUGACUCUUCCUCUUUAAAUUGAUAUAUAACAUCAGUUCACUACUAGUUAAAAAAUGUUACUAAUACGACUUUUAUGCGACAAAAAUAUACUAAUAAAUAAGUAUUUAUUAGUAUGAAUUUUGAUAUCAAAUUAGUAUUAAAAAUCAUCUACCAAUAAAGAAACUAUUGGUCAAAGGCUUAUUGAAAUGGAAUAUUAUUGCCCGAUUUAUAAAAUGCAAGUAAUUAUUUUCUUUAAUAACAUUUGUUUUUAUAUAUAUGUCACUCAUGUAAAAUAGGUCUGCCUUAGGGCAAACAUAUACACCAUGUAUUUUUUUUAUUUUGUCAUAAAUCUUGUUAUGCGAUUACUUUUGCAUCUUUCCAACCAAACGGGUACAUAGCUAUAAUCAUGUAAAAUUAUGUUGUUAUGCGAUUACUUUUGCAUCUUUUGCAAGUAAUCUUGUUUUGAAAAUAGGGAGUAGAUUAUUUUUACACUAUAGUUCUCAUCAUGUAGAGUGUAAAAAAAUUUAUAUUAUAAUUUUCUAACACUUAUAUGAUUUUAUAUUCAUUUUGUAAUAAUAUUUGAUUAGACGUUGUGUUCGCCAGCAAAUUUGAUAAGAAACAGAGUGUCUUUGAGCAAUCUAAUUUUUUCUAGUGUCCGCUGGCAAAUGGCCACCAUUCUACAUGUCCCACAGCCAAUUCUCCCAUUUUGUAUUUAGGCUCUCUUAGAACACACACACAAAAUUCUGUUUUUGUGUUUUCUAUACACCCUCUGUGUUUUUCUUAGUGUCAUAUUUGAUUUGUCCUAAGUAAAACGUGUAAUCUUUGACUAUUGAUUUCUGAAAAAUAUAUAGUUUCAUGUCAUAAGAUUUAUAUUUUUAGAUUUGUUAUAAUAAAUACUAUCAUAAUAUAUAAUUCAUAUAUUGUCAAUCUAUAAGGAUUUUUAAAAUAGUUGGUCAAAGAUUGCAAUUUUUGACUUAGGACAAACCAAAUGUGACACUUAAAGAAAAAGACAAGACGGAUAGAGUAUUAAAAACAAACUGAUUUCUAUAAAAUUUAUGUAUGGUUCUUGUAAAAUUUAUACGUCUUAAAUGGAUCCCUAAUUAUUAAGGCCUUGUUUACUUCCAAAAAAUUUGUAAAAUAGGAAUAGUAGCACUUUCGUUUGUAUUUGAUAAAUAUUGUUCAAUUAUGGACUAACUAGGCUCAAAAUAUUUGUCUCGCCAAUUCCGACCAAACUGUGUAAUUAGUUUUUAUUUUCAUAUAUAUUUAAUACUUCAUGCAUAUAUUUAAAGAUUCGAUGUGACGAGAAAUCUAAAAAAUUUUACAAAUUUUUUUGGAGAACUAAACAAGGCCUAAGGCAAUGGCUUGCUACAUGUAUCGGCGAUUUUUUACAGUAUGCAUUAGUAGUUACGGUAUCGCAGACAGAACAUAUGACAAAUCAGAGUCGCGAGUACGUACGAGUAGGACAGUAGGAGUAGGCUCCGUGACCGUGACCGUGUGUCCGCGAGGACGCCGUACAGAAACGUCGGUGCUCAGUGGCCCGGCUCGUCCUGGACCAGAGCAGGUGUACUAUAGCGGCAGAGCUGCGUACCAGAUACAGUGCACACGUCUGCCACAAAAUCCACACAUUCAAUCCGGGAUCCCGACGCUGUGGACUGGAGCCGGUGUCCGAGAGGCUGGCUCCAAUGAGGAAAUCACGAAUGAGACGGAGUCGGGGUGACCAGUCGCUAUCCUCUCCUGUGUGGUCUCUGCAUUUAGGUGUGGCCAAUUACUGUGAACCUCUAAGCUUGUAGUACAUGCUUUGAUGUGCUGAUGAGGAGGCUGCAGAUCAGGCGCUCAUGGUCGCGUCGAAGCGCAGCAGGAGGAGGGCUGGUACAGAACUUUGUACUUGUGCCCCCUGUUCAGGUUCUAUGAUUUGAUUUGAUUUGAUUUGAUUUCCUCCGCUCCACUUCUCUCAGGUGUUAUAUGUUUUAUUACUCUGAUGAUUGUCGUGAUUUUGUCGAGACCGUCAUCGGCUACUCUUUUCACCCUGCUUCAGUUUCAGUAUUGCGUACCAAAGACCUAUAUAUUUCUGAUUCUCAAAAGGUUACGAAUUCCCAGUAUCUACAAACUUCUGGUGCUGAAUAUACAGAAUUUGUUGUGAAAUAUUAUAUUAUCCUAAAUGCUACUGUAACUUCCGGUUAUUUCCUGUUGUCCACAGCCAAGAUUGCAGGAAAAUUGAGCUGCCUAUCUGCAUGGUUAACAAAUGGAGUCCUUCCUGAACGCGAGGCCCAGCCCAACCAAAACAAGGGAGAAGAAGCAUGGGCCGGGAAGGCGCCAACUCCAACUCCCGCCUUGCCGAGCCUGUGAUUUCGCCCACGAAGAUCUUAGCCCGCUUGUCACGGUCCGUGAACUGAACAUUCGGCCUAUACUAGUACACGGGCUAAACCAUGCGCAUUUUCGUCAUGCGGCAUUAUCCACGGUACUACUGCCGUCCUUGUACUGUACUUGUGCAGGUAUGAGGUAUAUAUACCUCAGAGCUCAGUAGCACACAGAAGAUACAGUGUAUCUCUCAACUCAAUGAGAGAUACACUGUGCAUGGUAGACGACGGUACUACCUCCCCGCAUGUGCUACGGGUGCACACUUGGGACGUGCAAUGCAUACUCCUGUCCUGCAGCUUCAGGGUACACAGAAGCCGCAAGCUUUGACUACCGGAGGCCGGAGGGAGCAUCUGCAGUUGUGCACUACGAACACCAUCUGACGGCGCGUACGGGCCUGCUACGUAUCCUUGCCAACUCCUACACGCGCGACUGCACACCGUCCAACAGGUAGGUUCAUUGACUUGCGAGACGGCCGCCGGCCCCCCGUGCCGUGCGUACCUACAGGGAUCGAUUCCAGCGGCGUUCGUGUAAUGGCUGAAGAAUCUCCAAUCGCGCGCGGCUGGGGCUGUACCGUACCUCUGAUUCGAUCGGUUUUUUGUUUGUUGGGGUCACUUGCAGUCACAGUACACGGUACCUUCAUGCACACUGCGUUGUUGUGUGCAUUGGAUUCGCGUGGUCAAGACUGGAAGAAGAGUCAAGACUCGAGAUUCAGGACGUUCUUGUUUUCAAGUCUCAACACUGAGGGUCUUGUUUAGUUCCGAAAAGUGAAAAGUUUUCGGAACUGUAGCACUUUUGUUUGUUUGUGACAAAUAUUAUCCAAUCAUAGACUAACUAGGAUCAAAAGAUUUCUCUCGUGAUUUACAACUAAACUGUGUAAUUAGUUUUUAUUUUCGUCUAUAUUUAAUGUUUCAUGCAUGUGCCACAAGAUUCGAUGUGACGGGGAAUCUUGAAAACUUAUUGGUUUUCAUGUGAACUAAACCAGGCCGAGGUUCGUCCUUGGCGGGGCUGCUGGCUGCUGCAGCUAGCACAGUAGUACCAAUGCACGUACUAAACUAUACUGAUACUGUUCAGCUGUGACCUAGAGUACUGUUCAGCGAAAAACUGUAUUUGCACUGCUAUUUCAAACACUCUCGUCAACUGUGCUGUAUUUGCACUGCUAUCAUUUCAAACACACUUGCCUUCCCUUGGUCCACACGAUUCCAAGCAGAUGGCUAGCCCUGCCCUGCAUGGCUGCAUCCCUGGAGCAAAAGAAUAAAGCCGUGUCAGCUAGCGAACCAUUCUCGCGGAUCUCAAUCGACUACAUAUGUCCAAGCCAGCUGCCAGCGGCCAGCCAGACAGCGCGCUCAAAUUCUCACCGCAAGACACCAAACCACACUACUGUUGACACGUUCAGUGUGGCUGGCCUCCACCUCGAUGAAUCGAUCGAUCGUAUCCGUGCGCACGCGCACGGGGCCGGCGGAGGACGCCGCAUCGGGAUCGAGCGAUCGAGCUCCGGCCGCCUCGCUCCAAGCCACGUCCGCAUCGAUCCACACUCCCGCAGCCAGCCUGAACGUGAGCCCUUGUUCGGCGUCGUCAGGCUCACUCACGGUCCGCGACAAGGAACCUGGUCCACGUCCAGAGCGCGUCGCGUCGCGUCGCGUCGCGUCAAGUUCAAGCCCCGCCGUCCGCGCCCGGCCGAUCGGACGACCACCUGUGAGCGAGCCGCCCCAGGCCGGAUGCGUUGCGCGUCUUGCGCCUGCGGGCUGCGGCCCCCGCCCCUGGCCUGCCUCGGCCUCCGACUGCACUGCCCGCGUGAGCUCGACCGCGCGCGUCCAGUGAUCUCGUGAUGGAGCGCCCGGCCGUCCCGGGCGCGCGCGCUCGCUCGGCCGGUCGGCCCCAACUGCCCCGCUGCGCGCCAUGCCAGUAGCCCAGUACACGAAGAAAAGCGCGGCUCGCGCGGCACCCACCCGAGGCCUAGCCUAAAAGCUCGGCCAGCCGUCAACUUUGGCCGUAUUGCAUUGCAUAGUUGCCUGCCGCCCCGGUGGAUCGAUCUGCUUGCCACGGCAAAUGCAGCUAUGAUACAACCUACUGCUCCCUCCGUCCACGAAAGAGUCAAUUUCUAGAGUUGCCCUAAGUCAAACUUUUUAAACUUUGACCAAAUUUCUAAAAAAAAUGCUAAGAUUUAUGGUAUCAAAUUAGUAUAAUUAAAUUCAUCAUAGAAUAUAUUUUCAUAUGAUGUGCAUUUUAUGUUAUAGACGUUGUUACUCUUUUCUAUAAAGUUAGUAGGAAUUGAUUUUUUCGUGGACAGAUUCUAGGAAUUGAUUCUUUCGUGGACGGAGGGAGGGAGUAGUAAAUAAUCAGCGCGGGGGCAGAUGGCGAUCGAUUCUCUGUUGGCCCGGGUACAGAGGCUACAAGCUGGUACAUCCGCCGCGGAGCCCGGCUUGUGACUUGCGAAUUGCGAGGGAUUUCGUCCGUGGGAGGAGGGCCUUGUUUAGUGCACCCAAAAAGCAAAAAGUUUUCAAGAUUUCCCGUCAUAUCGAAUCUUACGGCACAUACAUGAAGUAUUAAAUAUAGACGAAAGCAAAAACUAAUUACACAGUUUAGCUGGAAAUCGCGAGACGAAUCUUUUGAUCCUAGUUAGUCUAUAAUUGGAUAAUAUUUGUCAUAAACAAACGAAAGUGCUACAGUAUCGAAAUCCGAAAUCUUUUCGGAACUAAACAAGGCCGAGGUGGUUUUUGCGUUUGUCUCCGGCGCUCUGGGUUCGUCCUUCGUUGGGCAGCCGGGGACCUCGCGCCCCACCGGCAGUGACCUACACGCCGGUGUGCUGCGGCCUGCAGCACGAGCCGUUUCCGUCGCCGUGGUCGCUGUGGCGCGUUCCCAACCCUGACUGACAGACAGCUCACGCUUAGCGGCUGCAGCAAGACGAUCAACGAGAUGUUCGUCACGUGCAAUGGAUCGGUCGAGUCAAAUGCAGCAGCCAAUCAUCCAGGCGUUAACGCCGUGCUUACCCGCUGUACUGCGAGAUCCAACGACCAUCCAAACCUUCGCCCUGGUUCGAUCCAUAGGACAUCGCACUACUCAUCCCGUGCAGGUUCUGAAGAGAAUAGAGAUCCUCGAAAAUCCUUCAGACAAAGUAUCCAAAGUUUGAUUAUAUUUAUGAAAAACUAUUAAUAUUUGUUACACUAAAUAGGUGUGUUAUGGCUUAUGAUAAUAUGCUGCGUGAAGAAUCUAGUGUCACUUAUUUGGUAUGAUAAAUACUGAUACAUUUCUUAUACAGAUUUGCAACACAACACCGUACUGAUUGGUAGAUGUACCUCGUCACGAGAUGCGUAUACAGUAUACUAAACUCGCUGAUCUGCAGGCUUUAUUUAAUUUCUUUUGACGCGAGCCAUUUUCCUGUUUCCAUUACUGAAAUACAAUAGUUCAGUAGGCAGAAGUAGAAAAACAAAAGAGAAAAGAAGAAGCUAUGGAUCAGCCAAAAAGUAAACGAUCAUGUCUUCUGUUUCAGAGAAUCAAGAUCGACUAAAGAAACCACCACCCCAAACGAGAUAGACUAAAACGACUACACUAUAGAAACCAGUUCAUUAGGCCCUUCACACCGUAUUGCUUAAGUGGUGCUAAAAGAAGAGAGAGAUUAUCGUGAAGUCGCUCCACACACUGCGAUCACCGAUGCCAACGCUAGCAAAACAUGGAGUGGCGCAAGUACUUAUAGCGAUGCCAAAUACGCAAUGUGAGGCCUGUUUUUUUUAGGCCUUGUUUAGUUCCCAACAAAUUUUGCAAAAUUUUUCAGAUUCUCCGUCACAUCGAAUCUUUAGACGCAUGCAUGGAGUACUAAAUAUAGAUAAAAAUAAAAACUAAUUGCACAGUUUGGUCGAAAUUGACGAGACGAAUCUUUUGAGUCUAGUUAGUCCAUGAUUGGAUAAUUUUUAUCAAAUACAAACGAAAAUGCUACAGUAUCGAUUUUAAAAAAAAAAUUGGAACUAAACAAAGCCUUAGCACCACGCCACAUUGUGGAGGGUCUUAUAGAGCAGGAAGCCCCAUGUACUAACUUUUUUUCAAAAAAAAAAAAUACAGCAAACUUUUACACUGACAGUAGACUGCUUCUGGUCUAUACGGUGACGGAUGUACUUCGAUUCUUGAACAAUCGAUUUAGGCCUUGUUUAGUUCCUAAAAAAUUUUACAAAAUUUUUCACAUUCCCGUCACAUCGAAUCUUUAGACGCAUGCAUGGAGUAUUAAAUAUAGACGAAAAUAAAAACUAAUUGCACGGUUUGAUCGGAAUUGACGAGACGAAUCUUUUAAGCCUAGUUAGUCCAUAAUUGGACAAUAUUUAUCAAAUACAAACGAAAAUGCUACAGUACCCAUUUUGCUAAAUUUUUUGCAACUAAACAAGGCCUAAGACGCUGUGUUGGGUAGAACUAGAAACGUAGGACAAAUCCUCCUGAUUCUUUUAUGUGGAUAGAAAGAUGGACAAAUACAAGUAUCUGAGUGUUUAUUAUUUAUUUACAUAUUUAUAAGCUGUGAUGGAAUUAAAAUUUUGAAUAUGGUACAUUAGAUAAAAUUUGUUAGAAUAUUUAGUGAAUUUAAUAUGUUAGAUUUUCUUUUCUAGGUGUAUUUUUUUAUUUUUUUAGUGAAAUGGAAUUUGAAUUUUUAAGAAUCUUAACUCUCCACUGUUCGUUAAUUUUGAAGCCUUUUAUAAAAAAAUGUGCUUGUGGAUCCAACUAUUCAAAUCUGAUAUGAAGCCUAAUUUUCAGUAUCCUGAUUUGAAGAUGGUGUCUGACAUUGAACAUUUGGACCUUCUAUUUUAAAUUGUAAGUUAUCUAGCAUUUCUAGAUACAUAGAUUUUAAAGAGUACCUUUAUAAAUAUUCCAUAACAUAUAGAAAAAUAAUAUGUAUCUAAAAAUUUAAAGGACUUACAAAUUAGAACAGAGAGAAUACUUUGAUUCGUCUUUUUCCACAAAUUUGUUUUUUUACUUACAAUUCAGAUACAAAUUCGGAUAGCUAUUUUGUGGGAACAUGCCAAGUUAAACUAACGUAUCUAGACCAAGUGUCAUCCUCUUGAUCAACACAUCUCAAGUAAAUAAACUCUGAUAAUCCCUAGAGAUGCCAUCCGUGUACUACACUAGUGCAAGACAUAGGAUCAAUAUUUGUCGUUUGCGCUUUUCGAGAAAUCGCUUUGACAAAAUAUAUAUUAUAAAAUAUUAAUAUUUAUAGUAUAUAAUUAGUUUCAUUGGAAAAAUAUCUAAAUCUAGUUUUUUUAAUAAAUUUAUUUCGAGAUACAAUUGCACGUAUUUUUUACAAAUUGAGUCAAAUUUGUGCCAACAAUAACAAAUAUUUAAAGACGGAGGGAGUAGACAUAUAGCCGUCUCAACACAAGACGGGGUCAACUGAUAGCUGCUUGAGGUAGAAGUGGCUUUAGGAGACAUGAGCAUGAUUAUGAUGAUCAAUGGUGGUUUAGGGUAAAAAAAAGACUACUACGAAUUUACAAGAGAAGAUUAAAAAUAUGAUUGCAAUUUUUUUAAUUUAUAAAAGGCCCGAGGAACUAAGUGCCUGUUUGAAUCCCUUCACAAGUGUAUUUAAAACCAACAAAACUAUUUAAAAAAAUUCACAAGUACAAAUUAUGGUGUGAGCUGUGGUCCUCGUCAGGUCAGCUUGGCGCCCGUCACGAGUCACGACACUUGUCGUCUACCAAAGCCUUGUUCAGUCGUGAUUUUUUUUGAAUUUUGUUACUGUAGUAUUUUUAUUUUUAUUUAAUAAAUAUUUUCUAAUUAUAGAGUAACUAGGUUUAAAAGAUUCGUUUCGUGAUUUACAGAUAAACUAUAUAAUUAAUUUUUAUUUUUAUCUAUAUUUAAUAUUCUAUGUAUAAGUUGUAAGAUUCGAUGUGAUGAAUAAUGUUAAAUUUUUUUUGGUUUUUGUUGGAAAACCCGGGGCCGCGGCCUUCGGUUUUCUUCUCCCUCUCCCUUCCGGCCUUCCGCUGUCCCUCUUUCCCUCCCACGCAGGCCGCACCAGCACCACGCUGGCACGCCGCCUCCGCACUCCACGCAGACACGCACAGCUCCACCACCCAUGUCGCGCCCUCUCCAACUGCUCAUUUCUGCUCCCCCCCUUGUGCCCCUGUGAACGCGCGCGAGUGUGGCGGAGACCGGAGAGGAGGGAGGGAAUCCCCCUUUCCGUUCCAGUGUUCCGCGCCGUGCUCGCGCGCGCGCGCACCCACCCGCACUCCGCACGCCGCCUUUUCCUCCGCCCUGCUGCUCUCCUCCCACUGGACGACCAAAAAUCUUUUCCUUCACUUUUCUCUCCCUUUUCCCCGCGCAUGCACGGGCUCUGAUUGACGCCAUGGGGGACGCCGCCGCCGCAGCGGCCUCCACGUCCGCUCCCGACACGCCCACAUCCAUCCUCAUCUGCCGGGAGGACGGCGGCGGCUUUCUCGCCGACGCCGACGACGAUGGCGACGGCGCGGACCUCGUCGUCGCCCGCGACGAACGUCUGCUGGUCGUGGACCAGGACGAGGAGUAUGUCGCGCUGCUCCUGUCCGAGGAGAGCGCGUCAGGCAGCGGCGGCGCCCCGGCGGAGGAAAUAGAGGAGUGGAUGAAGGCCGCGCGCUCCGGAUGCGUCCGCUGGAUCAUCAAGGUCGUUCGCGCGGGAGCUCUUCCUUCUUCGUCCCCCCAAAUUCGGUUUUUGCCAAUGUUCAUCUCUUGUUUCUUUGCUGCUCGCAGACCACGGCGACGUUCCGGUGCGGCGGGAAGACCGCCUACGUCGCGGUCACUUACCUCGAUCGCUUCCUCGCGCAACGGCGAGUCAAUGUAACUACCCACCAAUAACCCUGCAUUUUCCCAUUGCCGUCGCCAUUGCUGGCCUCUCUUCCUUCCGAUGAUGUACGACUGACUGCGCACUGCGGCCGUCUGUGAUGAUGAUGGGUUCAGAGAAGGCAGGAGUGGGCUUUGCAGCUGCUCGCGGUGGCGUGCCUGUCGCUGGCGAUCAAGAUGGAGGAGCAGCACGCGCCGCGGCUGUCGGAGUUCCGGGUGGACGCGUACGAGUUCGACAGCGCAUCCAUCCUGCGGAUGGAGCUCUUCGUCCUGUCCACUCUCGAGUGGCGGAUGAACGCCGUCACCCCCUUCUCUUACAUCAGCUGCUUCGCGGCGCGGUUCCGGGAAGACGAGCGCCGGGCGAUCCUCCUGCGCGCCGUGGAGUGCGUCUUCGCGGCGAUCAAAGGUUCCUCCUUUCCCCUCUCUCUCUCUCUCUCCCAUGCAUUUCCUUCCGUUCCAUGGAGUCCGAUCGCGGCCGCAGCUGAUCUUUUGUCCGCGCCCAUUCGCGCAGCGACGAGCUCGGUGGAGUACCAGCCGUCGACCAUGGCCGUCGCAUCCAUCCUCGUCGCACGCGGCAGGAAUCUGGACGCGCUCAAGGCGAUCCUGGGCUCAUCAUGUCCGCACAUAGACACCGUAAGCCCCUCCUGCCGCCCACCGUGUCCGUCCGUCGUCUUCUCGAGUCCCUUUCGGGGAGAGGCUGUUGGCGGAAAGCGUAAUGAUGAGUAACAAAUGCGGCCGCUGUUGGUGUCUGGCAGGAGCAUGUGUACUCCUGCUACAGCGCGAUGGUUCAGGACGACGACAAGUCGCCGACGCGCUCGACGUCGACGGGGGUGGCGUCCUCGGGCGUCUCUGUCGCCGCGCACGCCGGGAGCGGGAGCGGGAGCCCCAGCCCGGGCGCCUCCGUGUCCGUGGGCGCCAAUAAUGCCGCUGGCACCGCCACGCCGGACAACCACAGCAACAAGAGGAGACGGUUGCGCUCACCUCAGCGACAGUAGGAGCUGCUAGGCAGUGACGGCAGUGCAGUCCAGCUGCAUUUUUUCAGCUCACCAUUUCCUUUUUGCUGCUGAUUGUUUCUUCGUUCAGGGAGGGGGUGGCCAAAAAUGCCCGAAUCCAAAUGGGGGCGAGAUUUGAUUCUUCGGAUUAGUGCGGUGUCAGCAGGGUAAUUUAGUGCUGGAAAGAUUUUUGGUUUUGAGGAGAUCUUUCCCGGGAUCAAAGGGGGCAUGGCAGUGUAAGGACCAAAGCUGAAACAGAGCAAAGCUCUUGCUCAAAGCGGGAAGGCCUCAGACAGACCUGACUUCACAGGGUACCUACCAUGGUAAAAGUGAGUGAAGUCAAGGAGUAGGGAGUCAAUUGUUUUUUUUUGUGUGUGAAUACCCGUCUGUACCAGGCUACCAGCUAAUCCCGGCUGUCUGUCAUCUUUUCUUUCUCUGUUUAUUAAUUAUUAAUAGCCAGUCACUGCAUCAGUGACAAUAUAGUUAACCAGGUAUUUGUGUCAAUUGGUUAGUAUUUGCUUGAGCCGUAUCAUGCUCUUCAGACAGAUUUCCGAUGCCGAACCUUUGAGGGCAAAGGCUACUCGUCGAGUGCUUUUGCUCCAUUUCACCUGUUGACUGUGAUUGAUGACGAGGCCCUGCUGCUGGUUCGUUGGUAUGCGUGCAGUUGCCGUGCACAGCAGGCAGCUGGGAGUAGUUUAAUGUUUUAUCGCGCGGAUCGUGAAAGAGACGCUCGUUCCCUGCUGUGCUGCCUUCUUUCUGGCGGCGUUGCCUUUUGUGCCGUGUCAUCAAAUCGCCUGCUCGCUUUGCUUGCUGCUCUACUCGCAACAACCAUGGUCCAUCCAUGGCCAUGGCCCCCCGCUGUUGUUGGGAGAUGGCUGGCACUGUUCGUGUGUGUCUCUUUUCCUCUCUCAUGCACCGGCACGCUGGACCCCUUCAUAACUCACUGCGUCGCGUCUCAUACACUGCAAAUGGCUUUGACUUGGACAUAUCACACACACACUUGCAGCUGCAGCAGUAAAAGGCAGCUAGGCAGGUGAAAUAUUAGGACAGUAGCUCAGCUUCCUCUCAGUCUCAAAUAAACACAAGAAGAUCGAGAGUGGCCUUGCAAUGUGCAUUGCCAUUACAAAACUGCUCCUGCGCUUCUAAGGUCACACAUGGCCCAUGCGGUCAAAAGCUAAGGGACAGGCACGAGGUGAGAGGGACACGACCUGGUAAAAACUCCAUGUACUGGCGAUGCUAGGCUGUCGUGCCGUGCGCCUGGCACUGGCAACCGGCUAGGCCCUGUUUAGUUUCCCACCUAAAAAUUUUUCAUCCAUCCCAUCGAAUCUUUGGACACAUGCAUGAAACAUUAAAUGUAGAUAAAAAAAUAAACUAAUUACACAGUUUAGUUGAGAAUCGUGAGACGAAUCUUUUAAGCCUAGUUACUCCAUGAUUAGCCGUAAGUGCUACAGUAACCCACAUAUGCUAAUGACAGAUUAAUUAUGCUUAAUAAAUUUGUCUUGCAGUUUCCUGACGAGCUAUGUAAUUUGUUUUUUUAUUAGUUUCUAAAAAUCUCUUCCGACAUCCUUCCGACACAUCCGAUGUGACACUCAAAAAAUUUCCGUUCCCAAUCUAAACAGGCCCAAAAGAAAACAUUUGCGCAACUCAACGUGGCAGGGGUGGCUUUUGUCAAAAAGAAAAAAACGUGGCAGGGGUGGCACUGUUGGAAUUUUAUUCCCGGGUGGUUGCUUGCUUCGUGCUCAGGAGUCAGGAGGUCUUGUCUCGUAGGAGAGGAUCCGGAGUAACAUGCUCACAGGCCAGUGCUUGACUGGUCAAAAAACGUAUUGGCAUCGAUGACACUGCUGACGGUAGCGAUGGAAGCCAGCUGCCAGCUUGGUGAUGUUGUCAAUUUGUGAUGUCAAGAUAGCCUGGGAUGCCAUGCCAUGCCGGAACAAGGUUGGAGUAACUGAACUGGCAGGCCUGUGCAGUGCUAGCAGUAGAUCACAGUAGUAUCUUCUGACGCUGGCAUUUGGAUUGCUACUAAUUCCUGGUCAAACUUAAAUACGCUCCGUUUUUUUUCUCUUUUUAAUAAGCGAUAUAAGAAGGAAGCAGGAAUCCUGCUGGAUUUUAUACGAGCAUAAAGAAGCAGAAGAUUCACAAGACUCCUGCAUAAUGAUGGCCUUAUCAGAUCUUGGAAGCUAGUGGGGGGACGUUUUCUUGGCAAAUCAGAAACAUUUAAACCCCACUCAUUUCUGGAACUUCUGACUGAAACAUAACUUAGCAGAUGAUGAAAAUGAUACGUAGGUGUCAAAACAAGCACAUUCGGGUGAACAACAAGGUUGCCAUAUACAGAUCCAGCCUCCAAUGUUCCAAGGAAAAGCACCAGGGGAAAAAAAAUAAAGCAAAGAACAGCUACAGCAGUCCGAGGCCUUUUCUAAGGAUCAAGCCCACAACCUUGGCUGACACUCGGAUGAUGCUCUAAGAUCAAACACUACAGGAUAAAAAGGGGAAAGAUUCACAGACAGAAGCAUUAUCAGGCAGCAGAGAUCUAUCUUGUACACAAAUGGCAACACACAAAACUUCAUUGCCAUGAUCAGACUGUAGCUAUGCCCAACUUCGGUUUUCGGCUGAAAUUAGCUCUAGUUUCCUACGAAGAUCCAACCGGUAUCAUCUUCACAAUAGCGGCGAUAGGCAUGCCUAUGAAACCGAUACAAAUACAUGCUAUCCACUGGUUGAGCGUAAGAGGAGUAGUGUUUGCGAAAUCGCCAAGGAACUGUAUUAUGAUGAACUGGAAGAUGACAGUACUGCCGAGGACAGCAAUGAACACAUUGUUGUUUAGAAUGCCUUCAAACACAUUUAUCCUCUCCAUCUCUCUCGAGCUCAUCUCAUUGAACACCUGCACAGCAAAGUUAAAGGUUAAGUUCGCAAAUAAUCGUAUCAUUAGUGCAAGAAAUUUAAACUGAGUACAAAUGCAGACUAACCAAUUCAUCAGCACUUAGCUAGUUAGCUUGGACUUACCUGGCAGAAUACGAAGCAAUUGAAGAUAAGUGUGUUCAAGACUAGAUCGGAGUUAUCGCCCUUGAUACCAAACAACCACUUCCCCUCUGUCUGUAGGUACCAAAUUACAAGGAACUGGUAGAAGGCCUGUCCCAGGAUGUUUCUCCACAUAAUGUUACUGAUGAAGUUCCCUUUCCUUCCAACAGGUGUUCUCUUCAUCAGUUCAUUGUUUGGGGGUUCUGUAGCCAAUGCCAGUGCACCCAGUGUAUCCAUGAUCAUGUUGACCCAGAGCAAUUGCACGGCAGUAAGAGGGGCACUCCCUGAAUGAGCAUAAAUACGAACAGUGAGAUGUAGAUUUAUGAAAUAAACAAAAGGACAUUCUACUCAAGUAGUACAAGGAUUUCCAAACAAUAAAGGAUGACAAAUGUACCUGUCAGGCAAGCUGAGGAGAAGUUUACCACCAGAGCAACCACAUUGACAGUGAGCUGAAACUGCACAAACUUCUGAAUGUUGAUGUACACUGAUCGACCCCAUUUUGCAACGGUAACAAUAGUGGAGAAGUUGUCAUCAAGAAUGAUGACAUCAGCACUUUCUUUGGCCACCUUCAAGAAUAUGUUAAGAAGAGUCAAAAUCAAAAUUGGAGUAAAUAGUGAAUUAACUUGAGAUAUCAUGUAAUUGAUGGUGUUACUCAUGGUCAUGGAUAUCAAGAUCUCAUAGAUGUUGCAGCCAUAUAGAAGAAUGAAAGAGCAAAAAAUUACACUAUUAAAUAGAGCUAAAAAUAACUUUCCAAGAUAUUUGAUAUGGGUGAUUACUAUAAGAUAUCAGUAAUAGUUUGGUUACAUGGCUAGUUAUUUUUAGCAAUGUCAGGGGAGUCUCGAAAUUACCUCAGUUCCGGCAAUGCCCAUUGCAAGCCCAAUAUCAGCCUCAUGAAGCGCAGGCGCGUCAUUUGUCCCAUCACCAGUCACUGCCACAACUUCGUCGAGUUUAGUUCGAAGAUGCUUGACAAGGGUAUGCUUAUCCAGUGGUGAAGAUCUUGCCAUCACCUGGUGCAUCCAUAGCAAAGCACAGUGGUCAAUGAGCUACUAGAUUUUGCAAAAGCGCACAAAAAGAUGGGUACUAGAACUCGUGAACUUACCUGUAUCUUUGGUAUCAGUUGAGUAAGCUCUUCUUCACUCUUGGUUCUGAAAUCUGGGCCUUCUAUGGCAAUGCCACCUUCAGUUAAAAUGCCGCAUUCCCGGGCAAUUGCCUUUGCCGUGUUGAUAUUGUCACCUGUGACCAUCCUGACAGUAAUACCUGCCGACCUGCAGAUGGCAACAGAUUCCUUCACUCCAGGCCGGACUGGGUCUUUGAUCCCCACAAUUCCAAUGCAGGUGUACCCAUCUGUCGGGAUCUGAUCAUUGGCUGAGAACCCAUCCUCAACUUCCAUGUAGGCAAGACAGAGAGUGCGAAGUGCCUCGUUUGCGAAGCUAUCGAUUGUGGCCUUCAAGUGAUCAAUGGUUCCUUCAUCCAGGGGGACGACAUUGCCUUCCUCAUUCAGGUACUUGCUACAAGAUGCCAGUAUGAUCUCUGAUGCACCUUUGCAGUGUGCUCGCAGUGCACCCUCUGGGAGCUGGAUUACCACUCCCAUUCUCUUCUUGGCAGAAUUGAAUGGCUCCACCUUUACAAGGGUGCUUGCUUUGCGCACUGCCGAAAAGUCUCCACCGAGUGACAGCCCGAACUCCAGAAUAGCUGUCUCAGUUGGUGUCCCCAGUAUUUCACGUUUGCCAUCCUGGUUCAAGACAACGUCUCCCCCAGUGUUGUUGAAUAUGGACUGGGAGAGAAUCGUCAUGACAGAGUCUGGGAGUUCGGAGAACAGGCUCUUGGUAUCCGAAUCACCAUCCACUUCUUUGAUCUUACCACAGAUGCAGGCUUUGACAACGGUCAUGUGGUUUGUCGUAAGAGUGCCAGUCUUGUCACUGCAAAUGGAGGUCGCUGAGCCCAUGGUCUCACAAGCUGCAAGGUGCCGGACAAGUGCCUUGUCAUUCAUCAUCUUCUUCAUUGCAAAUGCAAGACUCAGUGUCACAGCCAGCGGUAGCCCUUCAGGUACUGCCACAACGACAAUGGUGACAGCAAUGGCGAAGAACUCCAGCAGCUCCAAUGCAUCAUCUCCAGUCCAGCUCAAGUACGUGCCAUCCAUGAUCUUGCGCCGGAACAGGCUUUCGGUGAGCACCGCGAAUGUGACGACAGCAAAGAUAAGUCCUAUCUUACCAAUGAUGGUGGCCACACCAUUCAGCUUGACCUGCAAUGGCGUCUCAUCAUCACCACCUUCGCUGAGAGUGGCCAUCAGCUUCCCCCACUGAGUCCUCAUGCCGACAGUGGUGACGAGCAUCUUGCAAGAACCGUCUUGCACCUUUGUCCCUGACAGAAGGAAUGGGUUCUCAGCGUUGACGGCAACUGGCUCGCUCUCUCCAGUCAAGCUCGACUCGUUGAUCAGAAGCGAGAAGCCUGACAUGAACAGCCCGUCAGCUGGCACCUGAUCACCAAUGGAGAGGUGAACGAUGUCGCCGGCGAGAAGUUCAUAUAUUGAGAGCUUCUGCCUGUACCCACUCCGGGUGACCUGCACCGUGAUCUUCUUCUUCUCCUUGUCGAGGUCCUUGAACUGCAGGGACUGGCGGUAGUCGCUUGAGGCUGUGACAAACACGACCAGCAGGAUACUGGCCACAAUGCCGAGCCCGUCAUGCGCGCCCUUGGGCCAUCCCUCCGUAGCGAUGCCAACCAUGAGCGAGACGAACGCGCACACAGCAAGGAUCAUGAGCGUCAUGUCCUGCAGCGCCUCCCAGACAAAGACCAAGAAGCCACGUGACUCCGCCUCCGCGAACUUGUUGACACCAAAAACACCCCGCCGGGUCGAUAGCUUGUCUGCAGACGUGGCGAGGCCGUCAGACUCCGAAGUGGAUAGCUUGGAUGCGAGGCCCUGGACACCACCAUGAGAUUUCAGCUUCUUCACAUCAUGGCCCUCAACAAUCGAGCUCAGCUCCUCAGCGCAGAUGCCGAAACCAGCUGCCUUGACAUCGGCGGGGACCUUGUACUCACUCGAUGGAGCAAUGCCUGUGGAAUUAAAGUGGUGGUAAGAUUGAUGAUUGAAGAAAAUGAUAGAAGUUUGAACUACAGACUGAGGUGGGGUGGUACUUACUGUUGAUGAACUGAAGUGCAGCCUUUGAAACAAGCACGGCAACACGCAGCUUCUCCUGAGAUAGGUAAAAAUAUUCAUUAAUUGUAAGUUCUUCUUGAGAUUGACACGCAGCUUACUCAAAACCCUACAAUAUUUUUGUUCAUAGGAAAAAUUUAGAUAAGUUUAAAGAUAGAUAAAGGUUAAUUUAGUAAAAUAAAUAAAUUUACAGUUGCAACACUGAACUAUUACAAAGUAACAUCCAUGGUGAACCAUAAUCUUCUUAGCAGGAAAAGAAGAAAGGAUAAGUAUACCAUUGUGAAAUAACUUUUUAUGAACAAUCCACCAAUAUUUUUUAAUGCGACUAAAAUUCAUAGUGUCACCUAUACUGUCAGUAAACAAUUAGGUGCAUAUCUGAAGCACACAAACAUCAAAAUCAUUCUACAAAAAACAGACACAAAUCUCUAUGAUUCAUCGGUUCCAAAUAUGGCCUAAAAUGCUUGAUUGGAUACUCUCUAGGGAAAUAUUGCAACCUGCAGAAAUAAAAAAGACUAACACACAGCAAGAUUCUUUUCCAUAUAGUAGUCCAGAGUUUAUUAAUAAAAACAUAAAAUAAAAGACAAACACGUUUUGUUUCUGUUCAUGAUCAGUACUUUGCGUUUAACAUAUUCCAGCAAUCAGGGACAUAGUUUCAUGUUCGCUGGAAAACAAAGUUGUUGAGAACCUGAUCCACGCUUCUAUUAGUCAAUUGCAGGUGCAGCGUAGAGGUCGCUCUCAGAGUCUGGGAGAACAUGACGUUUCAGGUUUUUAUAUAUUUGGCUUUGGAUGUGGUGUUGUCUGCACUUUCCUUGUGUAACCCAGACUAUUAUAAUAUUGUGCUCUUGUGUUUCAUAAUGUCAUAUGGUAAUUAAAGUAAGGUUAUGAUCACCAACAAACAAACUGUGCGCAGCAUUAAAAUAUGCUGCAGAACUUUAGGGGAAAAGAUAGAGAAAUUAUUGCUGCAGAAAUUUCGAAAAAAAAAUAUAUAAAUAAUAUGCUGAGAUGUCCUUCCUAUCUGAACAUUAUCCGAGCGAUUGGUAUCGACCAUUCUUCCUUUGAAACUGUGAGCAGACUCAUUCUUAGUAGUGGUUAUUGGCACGCUCCAUAUUUCCUUUUUGACUAAAAUCCUGUGGCGCACACCUCUUUGAACAAAUCAACCUAACUUGUGUUGACCGACUCUGUAUCUAAUUUCGCAACAUUUAAAUUUUUUCGAGACUCUAAGCAAUCCGAGUACCCACUGGCAUCAGAAGAAUAACAUACGAUGAAAUUCUAGCUAGCAUUGGCAUGAAACAUCCUAAUUACUGAUGCAGUCCGCAGAGCAGGAGCAAGGAAGAAUAAGAUACGACGAAAUUUUAGCUAAGACAGCGCUAACAUUAGAAUGAACAUUGAAAUUGCUGCUGCGGUCUUCAGAGCAGGAGCAGGAACCGGCGCUGCUGAAGCAUGGGAAACUCAGAGAGCAGAGAUCAGGGGGACGGAGGGGAGGAACAGGCCCGCAUGUACGUACAUGGUUGUUUUUCUUCAUGGCGGUGGCCUCGCUGCGCUUGUCGAGGUUGGCCGUGAAGCGGAAGCGGCGCUUGGGGUUCUUGACGACGCCGACGAGCUUGCGCCAUCGUCCCAGCGCCUCUUCCGACGAGUGCUUGGCCUGCACGGCCCCGAAGUUCUCCUUGAGGUAGCUCUCCAUCUCUCUCGGCUCCGGCUGCCGGAUUCGAAUUCCCUCUCCCACCAACCCAACCCUGCCGCGGCCGCGUGCGUAAUAUACUCACGAGGGCGCGUGGGGGGUGGGGAGGGGGCUCUCGCUCUCCUCUCUCUCUCUCUCUCUCUCUCUCUCUCAGCUCAACCGCGUGGGCGUGGGGCCGCGCCGUUGACGCGUAAGGACGUGACGGCGACUUGUGGCGUGGGCAAGCACAUUGCCGGAAGUUGCGUCGCGCACGCUGGGCUGGCCGGGGGUGGGAGGAAGGGAAGGUGCGCGGUGGUUUGCUAGGAUCCGAGCCGGACAAGAGGAGGAAAGUUUGGAGGGAGGGAUGGAGAGGAGACGGAGAAGCAAGGACCAAAGGAGGCUGCUUUGCUUUCCCCGACCUGCGAAAAAGCGAGCGAGUGAGAGUGACUGACCACCCCGUCGCCGUGUUUAUUUUUUUGGACAACUCCGUCCCCGUGGUUGGACACGCCGAGUUCUGGGCAUUUUCGUGCAUGCUGGGCCGGGCCGAGAACGACACCACCUUUUUGGCGAAAGUCCAACUCAGUUCUCGAGUAAUUUCGGCACAAGAAAAUGUUACGUGUAACGAUGAUGAGUUUAUCAUUCGAGAUUUCGAGUUGUUAACAUAACAUAACAUAAACGUUUGUUGUUUGACGUGCUUGACAUAACUAGGAUGACAAGAAGACGAGGUCGAUUGAUUGAUUGGUUUACUCGAGGCAGGAAGCGAGGAGAAUCAAACAGGACAUGGGCCCUUUUUUUUUUUUUUUGCAGAAACGCUUGUGCUACAGAACAUUGGUCCCACGAUCCUCGCACUCGACAGGAUGAUUGAACGAGGGACUGAACAAUUCGAAGCGGAAUGGCAAUUAGCAACAGAGCAAGCGACAAAUGGAGAUGGAGUUGCUUCAGAUCUCAGGCCUCGAUAGGCGCCGCGUUUUGAGAGUCACGGCACGGUGGUGUGGUCCAACAACGACGGAACGGAACGACGUGCUACCAAGUCACUGCAUAGGAAAAUACCGUACGUAUAUUCUAUGCGGUGAAGAAGAUAGUUCCUGCGAGGUGCGGCCCAUUAUCGGGACGGAGACGGACCACGGGCGCGGCGAGUGCAUGCAGAUGGUAAGACGCCAACAACCCAAAAAAAAAACGUUCAAAUUUCGAGGUCACAAAUCAAGGGACGCGAGGGCGAGGAGAGGUGGCUUUUGUGCGCGCGCGUGUUGUUUGUUUUCUUAUUAUUUCCUUCUUCAAAGACCGAGGACGAAGAGGCAAAACUUCCUUGCAUCACCAACUUUUGCUGCCCAUCAAGUCACCCGCCUGUCCCCAUUUCAGCAAGUAAGGCCUUGUUUACUUCCCAGAAAAUUUUGCAAAAAUUUUCACAUUCUCCGUCAUAUCGAAUCUUUGGACGCAUGUAUGGAGUAUUAAAUAUAGACGAAAAUAAAAACUAAUUGCACAGUUUGGUCGAAAUUGACGAGACGAAUCUUUUGAGUCUAGUUAGUUCAUGAUUGGACAAUAUUUGUCAAAUACAAACGAAAGUGCUACAGUGUCCAUUUCUCAAAAUUUUUCGGAACUAAACAAGGCCUAAAAACAUCAUCGCAUGCUCAGGUUGCCUAUGCAUCCUGGAGAUACAAUUAACAGUUAGUUGAUCGUAAUCUUUUUUUAUUCAUUAGUUUAUUGUAAUCUUAUCAACUUGAAUAGCAGAGAGCACCUCGCUUCGGUGGUGUUUAACAAGACUGUGUUCAUCUAGAGCACCGGCUCCAUCGAAAAAAGCCAUAAGAAAAUAAGACGAUGGAAGAAUCUAGAUAGACUAUUGUAUCUUAUUUAAUUUAUAUUUUUUAUAUAAUUUGGGGAUGUAUUAUGCCGAGUUUUAUUAUAAUUAUUCCUUCCCUUCACCAAAAAAAAAGGAGUAGUAGAGAGCACUUUAGAAAGUGAUAGAGUACCAGUUAAAGAUAUGCUGUCAUAAUUUUGUCGUUUUACAGAAAUCCAUAAUAUUAACAAAAAUUGUCUUCUUCGUUCCUUCCCUUAGAACUUGAGGUGGCCUCAAUGCCUCAAACGUUUUUACGCCUGUCCCCAGCAAGAUCUGGGUUGUUCUCACAAAGAAUAUUGAACACUCCCUUCCCUUCGGAAAAAAGCGCAGAGAGCACUUAAGAAGGUGAUGGAGUAUCAGUUAAAAAUGUGCUGUCAUAAUUAUAUCGGAACUCAUGUUUUACACAAAUCCAUAAAUUUAACAAAAUUUUUCUUCUUUGUUCCUUCACUUAGAACUUGAGGUAGGUUCUAUGCCUGUCCCCAGCAAGAUCUGACUUGUUCCCAUGAAGAACGUUGAACACUAUGUUCAGCAGCUGCAACAAAACUGCUCAGGCCAAACUUAACAAACAAUGUGGCGGUAUCAGUUAAAAAUCUGCUGUGAUAAUUAUGUCGGAACUCUCAGUUAAAAAUCCAUAAAAUUAAGGACGAAAAAAUUGUCUUCUUCGUUCCUUUCCUUAGAAUUUGAGGUGGUCUCGUAACUGUUCUACGUCUGUUCCCAGCAGGACCUUUGUUCUUGCGAAGAAUGUUCCCAAUAAGAAUUAGGUUGUUCUCAUGAAGAAUGUUGAACACUCCGUACAACAGCUGUAACAAAUGUGCUCAAGACCGAACUUGACAAACAAUAAGCUACGCAGCGCUGUAGUGAUUUGGGCCUUGUUUAGUUCAAAAAAAUUUACAAAAUAGACACUAUAGCACUUUCGUUUGUAUUUGACAAAUAUUGUCCGAUUAUGGAUUAAUUAGGUUCAAAAGAUUCGUCUCGUAAAUUACAAGUAAUCUGUGUAAUUAGUUAUUUUUUAUCUAUAUUUAAUGUUCGUAUAUGUUGCAAGAUUCUAUGUGAGAAAUCUAAAAAAAUUUACAAUUUUUUUCGAAAAAUAAACAGUGCCUUGGUUUUGUCCCCCGCAGCAGGCCAAACGGGUAGCGGUAGAUACUACGCUGUGGCAUUUGACGGCUAAAGAAAGAGGCGACGGUGGCCGAAGGAGGGAACGAAUUUUGGUGUAAAGAAAACUAAGGUCUUGUUUACUUCCACUUAAAAAUCUAAAAAUUUUAAAGAUUCAUCGUUACAUCGAAUCUUUAGACGCAUAUAUAGAGUAUUAAAUAUAGAUAAAAACAAAACUAAAUUUACAAUUUGGUUGGAAUUUACGAGAUGAUGUUAGAUGAGGUGGCAAGACAAGACGGUUUCGAAGUCAAGUCAAGGGACGGGAGGGCGAGGAGGCUUUUGUGUGUGUGUGUGUGAUGAGUCAUGAGUGUGUGUGCGCGCGCCCGUUGUUUUUUUUUUCCCUCUUCAAAGACCGAGGACGAAGAGGAACUUGCGACGCGUCUUCUACGCGGUAGCCGGUAGGGAAAAGGCCUGAGACCGUGGGACGGAGGAGGACCAGCGUACUAGGCGUGUAGGCCAGUGGGACUCACACGGUCGGCGGUUUAGCCGGCGCCUUCAGAAUUGAGACGGUAAAUUCAUGGACGGUAAAUACAUGGCUCGAUUUUGAGUGUGAUGAUUGAACGUCUUUGUAAAUUUGAGGCUAUGAUUGUCGUGUCAGCUUGAGAAUUUGAAGAUUGCAGUGUUGUGGUGUUGUUGCCUGGACAAUUAACACUGAAUUUUACAAUCGGCUGAAAGGCCGAAUUCUGCAUUGCUGAGAUACAGUUCAGUUUUGACAGUGUAUUUUUCCUGAGAAGUUCAGGAGUUUUCAGGUUUGGUGAUUUUCAUGGUUUUGGAGGCAGGUGAUUGCAUUGUGACGCUAGUCAAUACUGAUGGAUUAGUCGGAUUUGAGUGUUGUUUUCCGGAUUUGCAGUGCUGCUCUGAGAAGUUCAGGCUAGACCUUUGUUCUUUCUGAAAUGGAAUGUGUGCUCCCUUGUAUUAAUCGCUAACAGUUGGCAAAGUAAAAUGGAUCAUUUCCAUGAUGCAAUUGCAUCAUUGGCUUGGCAAAAACUGAAAAGACAGGAAUGCACAUGCAACUUCUUAAGCUUAUAUCAUGACCAACAAACAAAAACUGAGUGCAUGCGCCACUACUUCAGUUCCAAACCACGUCGACAUAAACAAAUUAAGUUUGAGGUUACAUCGAUGUCACAUGGAAAAAGGGAGUGAGAUACUGAAAUGUUGUUGUUGAUACUCAUUAUAUAAUACAGUAUACACUACACUGAGACUUCAAUGUAUGCAGACGGCAAAAUUCAGUGUGGCAAAAUGCUUGAGGACUGAACAUUACAGAAUGGCCAAGUGUUCCCAGUCGCUCUCACUCGACUAAGAGCACAGGUUGCCCAAAACCAAAAGUAUUUGACCGAAACCUAGUAAAAAUAUCAUCAGUUAUGGGUCCCUGAAAAUUACUGAACAUUGCAUAUCCAGAGGGCAUUACAUUUCAUUGUAAAACAUUAUGUUGCCAUUGCCAAUACUGAACAAUCCAUUCCAGGUAACAUUGUAUAUCCAGAAGCAUUACAUUGGAGAUUCCAAGAUCAUUGCCAUUAUUAGUACUUCCUCCGUUCGAAUUUGUAACUUGUUAUGUCUUUUUGAGAUAGUUAGCUUUUGCUACGCAACUAAAUAUACAUACUCUGCAGUCUGCACAGAUGUAUGAAGAUCCUUGGAUGCUGGCAGGAGGGGUUUCCCAAAGUUACUUGGGCCUGCCGCUAUCAAAAGAGAAGCUCAAGCUCUCUCUUUUGCUCCCGUCAUCAGUAAGACUGACUGGCACCUCUUUGGUUGGCAAGCGUCUCUACUCAAUUACCAAGGGUGCUGGUGCUACUAAACAUGGUCCAUAAUCCAUAUACAAUACAACUAAUCACGAUUCGUGCGGCUAGGAAUUCUCAAAGCCAUGGAUGACAAACGACAGGCAUUCAUGUGGAGUCAUGACACAAAGACAUCAGCGCACAAUGGUUAGUCAAUUGGAAGCAGUGAUGCUGGCCACAGUGAGUACCAGGAGUACGUGUCACCAUGGCAUGGCUACAGGCUACUGCUGAAAAGGAGCCAUCGGUAAACGGGAGGACAUGAAAGCGGGCUGAAGGACUGCAGACGGAAGACGGGCCGCGCAUGAGCUCAAGGCCCAAACCAGCAUUGUGCGCCUCACCAGCUCAGAAUGGGCCCAAUCCACUCUAGUCUAGCCUAACUGAACAACAAAAUAAACAUGGGAUUUGCAAAAAAAAGAGGGAAAACAUGCAAAUUAAUACAAGUAAUUUUAGUUAGUUGUAUGGACCGUCCCCAAAAAAUGUAACUCAAAGUCAUUUUAGGUUAAGUGUCUAAAGUUGGUCCAAAUAUAAUAGUAAAAAUAUUAAUAUUCAUGAUACCAAAUAAGUAUAUUAUAAAAAAUAUGUUUCAUGGCAAAUCUAAUGGUACCUAUCUAGUACGAUUAAUAUUAUGAAUUUUGUUAAAGACUUGGGAUACUUUAAUAUAGCAUUUUUCUUAGAAUUGCAUGUUUUUUUUGGAACAGAAAGAGUAAGUAUAAACUUGUAUCUAUAUGUAUACUUAUACUUAAUAAUAAAGUGGCAAAAUUUCUCUUCCCUUAAUGUUUUGUCCCACCCCAUCAUUCAUUUGGUCUUAUGUGAUCCUAAUGUUCUCUUCUACACAACCUUCUCCUACCCGGUUUCUCCUUUUCCCGGUCUCCUUUUUUUACUCUGCCCUCCCUAAUUUCAACAACACAACACAAAUCCAUUCAGAAAAAGAACAUAGAUCAGGCGAUCACGCGAACCACCAUGUAAUUUACAAGUAACAAUCUAUACAUAUGGUAUGCUGAAAAGGCCGAUCCAAAUGGCCAAAUGUUAUCUAGAAAAUGAUUUACAUUAUACUAACUCACAAGCGAUGGUUUGCCGUAAUGGUAUGGAAGUGUCCUUUGGUUCCAUGAAGUCUUGUGUUGGAUUCCUAACAUAGUUUUAUUUUAGGGUACUUUUUACCACGUCUUUGUGUUGUGCUGUUGAAAUUAGAGGAGAGAUACCUUUGUACUCGUGAAAUACCUUUGUACAGCUCUUUUGUAAUAUGGGGAUAAAAGCCCAAAUUCAAUAAAAUCAGGCGGGAAAAUACCCCCGUACUUGGGGAUAGCCUUGUUUCUACGAAUCUACGCCAUAUAGAAGCAUAGCCUUGUUUAUUUGUUGGUGUAAAAAGUUUUUGCGUACUGUAACACUUUCGUUUGUAUUUGAUAAUUAUUGUCCAAUCAUGGACUAAUUAGGCUUAAAAGAUUUGUCUCAUAAAUUAUAGAUAAACUGUGUAAUUAUUUUUUUUAUCUAUAUUUAAUGCUCAAUGUAUAUGAUAUAAGAUUCGAUGUGGCGGAGAAUCUUGAAAAGUUUUUGGAUUUUGGACAGAAGUAAACCACGAGAAAAUUGAUGGGAACUUUUUGCUGCCAAAAGAGCUGCUCUGUUUAGACUUCUUUCACAUGUUAAACCCAAUAAAUUUGCAAGGUCGUCUUAUAUCUUAGGCCUUGUUUAGCUCCUGAAAAAUUUUGCAAAAUUUUUCAGAUUCUCUGUCACAUCGAAUCUUUAGACGUAUGCAUGGAGUAUUAAAUAUAUAUAAAAAUUAAAACUAAUUGCACAGUUUAGUCGGAAUUGAUGUGACGAAUCUUUUAAGCCUAGUUAGUCUAUAAUUAGACAAUAUUUGUCAAAUACAAACGAAAGUGCUACUAUUCCUAUUUUGCAAAAAAUUUUGGAACUAAACAAGGCCUUACCAAUGUCGGUGACCGUGAGCGAGCCAUCGGCGUUUUUUUUUUUUUUUCUGGUCAAGAACCAAAGCUAUGCAUGGCCGCUGGCGCCGCAUCAUGUUCGGACUGUGCAGCUUCUCCCCGGCCGACCGUACUCUCCAACCUUCAGCUAGUUCCAGAGUUGACAGUACGUAGAGGCAGCCCGCGAAGAAAAGUCCAAGAUGCGUCAGCCCCGGCCGCUGUUUAUGUGGCAACUCGACGUCUCGAUCUGUCACAAGUGGACGGUAGGGACCGCCGUGCAAUAGGCCUCGCCACUGUGUGUGCGUGUGGUUCCCCGUCCAUCGCCGAGCCGAGCGCCUGGCUGUAGCGCGACCGCGACACUCGACGGGCUGCAGCUGACACGUCGGGCAGGCAAUGGCCAUGUUCCUUUCCUUUCCUUCCGGCCUUCCCCUUCCCCUUCCGGGCGGCCCGGGUCCCAUCUUAUCGCGCCGCGGAUUCCUUCACCUCCGAGAGCCGGGGCCCCGCGGCCGGGGGAUCGAGAAGAGAACCUGAUCGCCCGCCCCCGUCUCCCGCACCAAAUCGCCCGCCCAAAUCCCCUCGCGCUCCACGCACGCACGCAACGGAAUCCUCCUCCUCUUUCUCGCCUGUUCUCGGUCGCGGCUGGCUGGCUCCGUGCGCCCGCGGUGGACGACGACGGUGCCGUCCGCCACCAAACAACCGUCCAAAGAGGCUUCGUUUUCUUGUUCACGUGGGCGUGCGCCGGGGGACAAAAUCGCGAGCCCGUGUCCCAGCGUCCUCGUCGCCACUGGGCCACUGGACACUGGUGUGCGCGCGGGGUACCCAGGGAGGGAGGGGACGUUUUGUUCACGACCUCACGCGCGCGCUCACGAUUCUCAGCGCUAGCAGCACUAGCACUCGGACAAAGAUGGCGUCGUUUGGCUGCUAGCUGAAGUGGUAGCGAGUGUGGAGGACAUGCCGACUGGAAUCGGUGACGGCGGCCGGCACCGGCUGGGAGAGAUUAGAUUAGAUUAGACCAGUCUAACUCCAGCACUCCUCUGUGUGGAUAAGAAUAUGCAACUUGUUCGCCGGAGCCAAUGCUAACGGUCGGGGGAUCAUUUUUUUUUUGGCCACAGUCGCUGGUUAGUGGCGACAAAUGCUUAACAGCGGCGACAUACCAACCAUAUCAAAAGCAUCACGGAGAUCAGCACGUUAGCUCAGGGUGGGGCUCCCCGCGGCCCCCACGCACCCACUCUUGCGACGCACUGACGCACAUACUUCUACUAUUAUAUCCAUAUCCUACUAACGCUAAGCAUCCCAAAGACACUACACUGGCAUCAUCGCUCGGCAAAGGAUGCAUGAAUGAACCUAAGACAGCAGCACUCAACUUGAUGUAGAGUACACGUACUGAAAGUCUUUUAUUUUUUUAGAGAAAAAAAGGGAAAUGCAUAGCUUGGGAAGAAUUAAGAAAAUCAAGGCCAAUCGUCAGCGACAGACCGCAACGGCGUCAUCUUUGCUACACCGAUCGAAGCCAUUUCUAGCCUGUCCGUAGGCAUGUUAGGAUGCAGUUAGGUGGCACGGUCAACUUCAUUAUCAGCGAUAAAUAGGUGCGACGACAGGAAGAUGGCCCAUGCAUGACGUGGGAAACCAUCCGCCACGGCUUUUUCUCGGUUUGCUUCCCCUUCCCCCAGGAGUCCAGGACUUAUCCAAAAACCCAAUUAUGCACGUAACAUAAUGAUGCCAAUCAAACCAAUCCAGAACAUUAGCCGCUUAAUCAUAGUCAGAAGAUCCGCCGGGGCGCCAGCUGAUCCCUAUCUCAUUCUCAUAUCAUAGCCGUAAAUAAACUAGCAGCAGCAGUAAUAAAAAAAGUUACAGCCUCCUCUAGUCGUCCUGCUGCCGUUGCAGAUGGGACAAAGGCAACGGCGCCAGGCGAAGACGGGAACGAGCUCGUGCACCGCCUCGAGCACUCGCCACUCGCCACGUGUCGCCAGCAGGCCCACUUAUCUGUCCUUGGGUGGAAGGCAAGAUGCGGAGUACCAGUACUACUGCUCGGCUCCAGUAAAAAGUAAAAAAAGGAAAUCGGGUACCAGAACAAGUUGUACUACUACAGUCAUGGCGCGCACAGGCACAGCAAACGGCGCGACUCGCGCCAUUUUUUGAUUCUCUGCAUGGGCAGGGGUAAAUCGAGGCGGUAAAAAAAUACCGUUCACAAUCAGGCAGGCGGUAGGCGCUGCUAGUACCGGGCGAGCGCGCGGCGGAGCACCUGGGCGAGGAGGCCUGGGGCGCUGAGGUGCGGGAGGUGGCCCUCGGUCUGGAGGAACUCGACGGUGGUGCGGCCGCCGAGGUGGUCCCUGAGGUAGGCGGCGACGGAGGCCGGGACGGAGACGUCGCGGGUGGUCUGCACCACCACGCAGGGGGAGCGCACCAUGCCCAGCACGCCGCGGAGGUCGGUGUUGAAGACGGUGCGGCAGACGUGGAGGGAGAUGUCCGGCCGCAUGUUGAAGAGGGUGCGGCUGAACUCCUGCACCGCCGCGGGCACGUCCGCGCCCACCGCCAGCGGGGCGUACCCGACCGCCCACGCCGAGUAGUUGGCCGCCAUCGCGACGAACACCUGCUGGAUCUCCGGCAGCUCGAACCCGCCGUGGUAGUCAUUGUCGUUCAGGAACCUGGUGGCCCGGGCCGCCGGAAUGAAUUGAUUAAUCAAUCAUCACUCUUAAUUCUCAAUAAAAGAGGGAUGGCUCGCGGCUUUUCUUUUUUUUUUUCUCUCCGACCCGCCUCAAAUUAAACUCCACAGGGAUGGUUGAUUGAUGAAAUUGAACGAAUGAAUUGGAUCGGGCAUCACAGCAUGUGUGUAGAUAGAUGCAUGUAUACGGUACCUGGGCGAUGCGCCGAUGAGGACGAGCUUGGCGAAGAGCUCGGGGCGGCGGAUGGACGCGAGGAUCCCGAUCAUGGCGGAGACGGAGUGUCCGACGAAGGCGCAUCGCGGGAUGCGGAGCGCGUCGAGUAUGGCGAGGAGGUCGUCGACGUACGAGUCGAGCGUGUCGUAGCGUCGGAAGUCGAAGUGCUCCGGGUUGACGCUGCCGGCGCAGACGAGGUCGUAGAGCACCACGCGGUGGUCGCGGGUGAGGUACGGGAGCACGCGGCUCCACGCCGACUGGUCCGUCCCGAACCCGUGGGACAGCACCACGACGCGGUCGCCGGUGCCCACGACCCGCACGUUGAGGAUCUGCAGCAGCUUGGCGCCGCUCGGCCCGCCGGCGCCGGCGCCGCUGCCCGCCGCCGCCGCGCCGCCCCCGACCAUCGCGGCGUCGGAGCUGCUGGACGACGCCGGCGCCGCGGAGCUGCCGCUGCCGCUGGUGGGGCUUGGUGGGUGCGUGGACCGAAGCAUGAGUGAGACCAGGACGGGUGGGGGGACGGACUACGGGGAAGCAGAGGCGUCGCCCGGGUCGGUCUUAUAUAGCGGCUGGAGCAGAGGCCAUGGGCUGCCCCUGCCCUGCUUCUCUCUUCUCUCCCUCUCUGAGAGCAGAGCAAGCUUUCCUCCGUCCUCCUCCCUUUUGAUCUCCGGCUGGCUCUCCCUCUCCGCGUGCACCCUGCUUUAUUCCUCCAUCUCUCUCCCCCUCCUCUUGGGUUUGGUGCGGGAGGGAGCUGCAAAUUGGAUGACGAGAAGUUUUUGGUUGUGCCAGCGAGGAGCAGAAGCCUUUGUUUGUUUGUUUGGAUGCCCAAUUAUCCAGACCACAGCAGCAAACAGUAGUAGAAAAAAAAAAGGAGACGCGCCAAUAAUUCUGUGAUUUUUUCCUCACAAAGAGCUGGUUUUGUAUGUUGCCGUGGCUGUUGGCUGCAGGGUAAGAUACUCCCUCCAUCUUAUUCCAAAAAUCUUGAAAAGUCAAAGAAUUUAAAGUUUAAUUAAAAUUUACAUAAUAACAUUUAUUAUUCCAACUAAGUAUUAUUAAAUUUUUUUAUUAAUUAUAUUUUAUAUACCUAUUUAAUGUUAUAAAUCUUUUCUUUAUAAUUCUCUCCAUAAUUUUAGUUAAACUUAAAAUGCUUUAACUCUCCAAGAUUCUUGGAAUGUCUUAUAAUUUAGAAUGAAAGGAGUACAACUCAAGUACGUACUCUCUACACAAGUGUAGCACCCCGUUCUAGUGUAUAGAUGGCCCGUGUCGAUCGAGCUAGGAUUGUGGUAUAAAGAGAUAGGGCUCUUGCUAUGGCAUCUCCUACUCCACUCUAAAGAUGCUAAAGACGGUAAUGAGGACCCAUGACCCAACGGGGAUUUACUCUAUUAGAAUCUUUAAAUUGAGGAAAACUUUCACCCAACGGGUAUCUCUAAACGGGGGAAAACCUUCGCCCAACGGGUACACGGGUACGGAAUGUUUCGACCCAUUUGUCCAUGGGUUUAUCCAGCCGGGCGCGGGUUUGGAAAAUUUUCUUACCCACAACCGCAACAGGUACAGGGAUUUUAAUGGGGCUGCAUUUUGCUGGUGAGUCCGGGUCUAGGAUACCAAUACCCGGUGGGGAUUUACCCAUUGCCAUCGGCCAACACCCUUUGUGUUGUUUACUGGCAAGUGGCAAGUUGCUGUGAUGGAAUGGAGUCAAGCCAAGCCGCGCACAAAACGGAAAAGCGCGCGGUUUUACCCAAUUAAUUAACUGAGCUCGUAUUGGCCCACGGACGCACGCACGGCCGCGACGGCAGGAUGCGUGAAUCCCAUGGCGCCGCGACCCAUUGGACGAGAGCUCCGCCAAUCGGAUUGGUCAUGUCGUGACGUGGGGACGUGUGGUGACAAAGGUCGCUGACGACCAGGCGCAGACUCCAGUGGAUAGACACAAGAAUUUUCUACGACGGCACACAGCACACCCUAUCGUUCCGUGCCGCAUGGUCCUAUGUUGCGCACCAAAAUGACAUAAAAAAGUAGUAAGAAAUUUCGCAAACAAUAGUGUUCACAUGCUUCAUUCUCGAUCGAGCCGGUCGUUGCCUGGCUAUAUAUAUAUAUGUUGGUAGAUUGGUAGUUGUAAAUAUUAGGAUAGACACAACCAUCUGCCAAGAUAUUCUCCUUUUGUAAACAUAUACUUAUACUCCUAGCUACUAGAAAAGUGAUGAAAUUUUCACAGACAUGAGCUCAAGACACGCUCAAGUGCCUAGCUAUGCAGUAUGCUACUAGUAGAUAUAUGUUAGUACUUCUCAGCUAGUGUUUAGGAUCAGCACAAAUAAUGAUACCCAUACCCCACGCGAUCCUAUCUGGCUCCUGUUACAGAUCUGUUUGCUUUGCUCAACAUGAGAUGCACGAACGGUCCACAUCCAGCGCAGGAUAGAUAGCACCUAGUACUAUCUCGGUAUCGGCCACUGCGAAAAUAAACUCCCUGUGCAUGCCCGGUGCUAAACCAGCGCAGGAUAGAUAGCACCUAGUACUAUCGCGAGCCACGUGAAACCAAGCCCACGUCGCCGUCCGUCCGUCGACGCGCCGGGGCCCGGUGGCCUUGCAUUGGCUUCCGAGAUCGAGUGGCGUCCUGCGUACGUCCUACUAUAUGGCAACACCGCAACAGCCGAGCCCCGAGCGGCUCCACACCCCCACCAGGCCACCACCACCGAUCCACACACAAAAUACUUCGUGCUUCUCCGAGCCGUGCCGUGCCGUGUGUAGCUCCAUCAGCCUCGCUAGCAGCAAGUUUUGCUGACGCGCGCGCGCUCUCCGGCAAGGUCCGGGGCCAAUCGAUCCGACAACCAGACACGGUUCCUCCUCGCUACGGGCCAGACUUUUUGGCCACCGUCACCGUGGACGAUCCCUACCCGAUCAUACGCGUCGUGUUGCGUUUGAGCUUGUCCAUAUUCAUCCCUAUCUUUUAGCUUCUCGAUCGCCCGGCCUGAGGUCGUCUGAUCGCAGCCUAAUACUAAUAUAGGAGUAAUUCAGAAAGGGCGGCUCAAGUAGUGUAACCCUGUUUUUAUUAUAUUAUAGCGUGUCUGAAGUCUGAAAAAGCAUGUAGAGGCAUCGAUCGUCCGAUCCAUCUCGUACAAAGCACGUACCCCGUACUGCAAAUAUAUGGUAGUUCUGCACCUGAACGUAUCUGCACAAGAUUGUAUAAUGUCGCCACCGGAAUUUUACUCUUUCCAUGGAUUGGACUUGCGGAGAUACUAUUCCUGCCGUUUCACUAGUGCAUGAGAGCUUUAAGCGGAUUUACACCUCCGGCCACACCCCUCGGCGCCGACCGAAUCCGAACAAACAAAGACAUGAUACCGCAACGGCCCUUGUAUUGUAAUGAAUGAUCGUAUCGUACACCACAUGCAUGCAUGAUAUACUCCUGGGCCUACAGUCCUAGAAGCUUUCUAUCUGUACAUAUAUAUAUAUACCUGCUGAAAGCUACUGGUGGAUAUAUAUAUCGACGAAAUGGUUUUGAAAAGAAUGAAUUCCAUUAUAAUAUACAUACUCCUAUAUAUGUUCACAGUCACACACAAAAAAAAACAUACAUACUCCAAGUUAGGAACAAUACAUUAUCCAUUGGUCUGCUUUUUUGUCUAGUAGUACUAGUAUAAACAACACAUUAGCAUGCGUGUAUUGAUUGUGACCACCAUUUACAUAUUGAUACAGUAUAUGAACCCUUGCUUUGCAAGGUGCAGGGCAUCCAUGAUUUGGUUUGGGAGACAGAGGUCAGGGCCAUGGUAUGUGUGAGCAACUUUGGAUGGUGGGUGAAUAAUUGGGCACCACACCAUGCAUGGCCUCAUGCAAUGCUGCCUUCUUAGCUGCAUGCCAUCACUAAUUGACGUCACAAUGCUUAUGUCAAAAGAUGUUUAUAUGCACUCCCGAUCAGGGACGGAGCUAGGAAGUUGAUGUUUUUUUAAUGUUAGGGGGACCAACAGCAUUGAUUUUUUAAAAUUUAUUUGAAGUGAAACAAUUUAGUGGAAAAUUCAGGCUCAUAGUGAGGUUUGGCCCCUGCACCCCCUGUCUCUGCCCCUGCUUCCAAUAAAUACUUUGGUAUCUGAUGGCAUGUACUAUAUGGAUAGAGAAACGGUGUUAUGCUCCUCUUGUUUAUACAGCCCAUUUCUGAGUACAAUCCCCUCCUCAAGGAGGGAAACUGUAAGAAAUUCUUAAAGUAAGUUGAAACACAAGGGCUGCCACUGCCAGUAAAUCAUGUUAACCAUCUCAAAAAUGGUCAGUCAGACUCAGACAGAAUAAAUAUGAGGGGGAGGGGGCGGGCGGCUACCAGUCAAAUAAAUGACAGGAAAUAUUGCGGACGUACUUGAGUUAUUUUAUCUGAAAGGAAAUUUCUGACGAUAGUGACUCAACAUCACUGAAUGAACAAUAAAAUACUUUGGUUCUUGCACAUCUAACGAACUUCCUUCCACCUAAAUAUGGUCCUACGAGGCCAUGACAUCGUUAUUAUCCAGGAGAGCAACAAUUUGAUUUUUUUUUUGGCAAUGGGCGGAUUUAUUUUAGUAUUUAGUAACAGAGACUAUUACCACAUAUAUAAAUUGGAUAGAGAAUAAUUUCAGAGUAAAAAUCUUGCAUCCACAAAUUGCCCCAUCUAUCCCAUCUCUCUCAUUGAAGACAACUGCUACUGGAAGGUACGCCAAUCGCCAACAAAGAAGAAAAACACAAAGAAGAGUGUGCUAAGGAUAAGAUAAGAUUCAUUUUAAAACCUUUCUUAGCUGAUGUUACCUAACUUGAUUCUUUCUUAGCUGAUGUUACCAUCUACUGCUUCCAGAGUCCAAUUUGCUCCGCUCCUUCUGAUGAAAAUCUGUACAGCACUACAACUCAUGACUUUACAGCUCUGUCUUGCUGGCACUUUUUGUUACGAAGCAUUUCUAGAUCCAUUUUUUUUAAAAAAAAACUAUACACAAGUUUGUAGCAUCUCUGGUUAUAGAGGUUUUAGGUCCAGUUUCUCUAAAAAACUGGACAAACUCUUUGUUUUUAUUUUGUUCUUCUAAUAUAUAUUGCGGUUAAGUUUUUGUCGUCCUUUCUAAAAACACCAUGGUAAAAAGCUAUGAAUCUGAAUAGCUAUAUUCUGUAACUUUCACAUUUGAAUUCUUUAAAAAAAGAUCAACUGUGGGUAUAAGUAUAAAUUGCCCUUUUUUGCUCCCAUGCUUAUGUAUGUCCGCACAAGUUCACCAUCAAGGUAUAUAAAAUUCAAGGCACACCAAAGGUGACAAAAAAUGAAGCACCAGACUACGCUAGUAGGCUGUUGAUUAGUUGCUCUGGUUGGUGAGGUGUCAUCAUUAACGACAUCCUUAUCACGAAACCAUCAUAAGAAAAUAAUUUUCUUCUUCCUUUUUGCUCUUACAUUUCGGUGAUUAUCUAUGUCCACGUUAGGAGAUUUAAGUGAGCCCCGGGGCCCUCAGCUCCGUCUGUGGCCACGGCGCCAAUGUGUUUGGCCUCACCCUUAGGCUAGUCUCGUCAGAGAGUUUUAUCAUGUUAUAUAGAAUAAAAUUAAAUAUGAAUGAAACACUCAUUCUUAAUAUAAAGUUUUAUUCUAUAAUUUUAUAGACAUUUAAUUUUAUGACUCAUAGAUAGUUGCUAAUCGUGCCAUAUGAAACUUGUUUCUUCUCUCUUUUCUUAAACAUUGUCACAUCAUAAAAAAUGCUUACGUAGUAGCUUAUUACAUUCAACAAAAAUUAUGAUGAAAUUCCCACUGGAACUAAAAUUAUAGCCAUUUAGGAAUAGCUGACUCAGAUUGUAUCUGCAUGGAAUGUUGUCCACAAGUGAUGGAUAGCAUCACGAACCGAACUUAACUCAGAUCUCUUGUGGUGGAACCUACCAUAUCAAUCUUUAAAAUAUGUCCUUCGAAGGUGCUCGUAAGUGUAGAGUUUGUGUACAUAUAUUCAUACGUGCGUGUUAUGGGCAUCUAUGUUAUACUAUUUAUUUUUUUUAAAAAAAAUAAAAGGUUGCUGAUUAUUUGAAUUUCAUCUCUCUAUUGUUUUUAAAGGAAAAAAAUCGUUAUCUAUUGAUCCCAUUUGGGGAGUUAUGCCACAAAUAAGUGUUCUUUCUAUCUUGACAGUACUGAACCAUCCUUGUGCAUAUUUGCAUAUGAAACACUAGCAUUGGUGCAUAAAAGAAUAUGCUGGAACAAAAGAUUGUUGCUAAAGUUUUUUGUGUGCAUUGCAGUGUUACAUUGCAGGCUCUUAUGCCGAGUGGUAACAUGUUCAUGCCAAUGUUCAGAAAGAUACGGUUUCCAAAAAAAAAAAAGUUCAGCCAGAUACGUUAUUCUCAGACUUCAGCUAGAGUAUGUUUCAGACUUCAGCUAAUAAUUUUAUUUCUAACUAUACUAGCAAAUAAAGGUAAAUAUGCAGUGUACAUAUGGCAUCCGGAAGUUAUUAAGGUGUAGUAAUUCAGUUUGCUUCUUCUCCCACUCACGAUUUUUUACCCCCACAAAGUUGUGAAGCCUUUAAAAACCAUUCUGGCACCGUACCGUCACCGUCGCUAAAUCGUUGGGAAAUACGGGCAGCGCUCCGUGUCCACACCAUUCCGCGUGGCCUCGUCCCCCACCGAGCAAAGUGACGAGGCUACCUCGGCGUAGUAGGGGGACCGAGCCCCAAUCGCGGCAUCUCGUGGAGUCUUUGCCAUCGCGCAUCCCAUCAGGUCGAACUGCCCGGCGCAAGGACGGGAAGAAUUGAUGGGACGCGGAUGGCGGGCGACUGCCGGGCCAAUACACCGCACCGGAAGAUGAAGAUGGUCGGUCGGCAGAUGGAGGAUCGGCUCAAUGGCGCGACGCCAUUUGUGCGACUAAUGCUUCACCACACGGUCCAUUCCUCCUUGCCGGUGGCUAAUAAUUGUAACUAACAGAAGUACAUGCAUGCAUCUGUUCUUCCCCUUUGGAUAUGGAUGUCAAGUACUUCAAAUUUAAGAGAAUGAAAUUGACAUGACGCAACUGGGAUCAAGUAGCGAUCCAAAACAAAUAGGUCACGUAGGCCCCUAAUGCUCCUUUUUUUUUGCUAAUAAAAAAUUGGUUCCCAAUCUUCCGUGCGAGGAUUUGAGUGUUGGUUGAGGGCCCCCCAAGAAUGGCAUGCGAACGCAAGGAUGCGUAUGCCUGCGUGCUACUAUAUAAUUUAGAGCAUUGCAGCGGUGGUGAUCGCGUGGUGCGUGCAACACGGGAUAUGGUCAGCUUUACCUUUCGCGCUGGAGCUCUCCGGUUAGUGCGAGAAGUCUAUAGUGCUGACUAGGAGUGACAGUGCGUCGCCACACGUGGCCCAAUGCUAACUGGAGGCCGAGCUUUGCACGUACUAGUGCCGGUUGGAGGAGCACAAAGUCAGCAGCAAGCCAUGAAAAAGGGUAUAGAGCCUCCAGCAAGCCCUAGCCCUUUUUCUCUCUGCAUGCAUCCUCAUCCUGUGAGAGGAGAUGGUGAUUGGAAUGGAGCUCAACCUCAUGAUGGCUGCAGGACAGAGCCUGGAACUAACAAAUCACGCACCAGAUCUUGAUAGCGCCAAAGGAAAGGCUGGGGGGGGAUGAAAGAUCCCGAAAUAAAGAUAGGAUUGGGUUGAGCAUGGAAAUACAAAUACUUGGGGGUCAACUUGUUACUUGUAUGUUAGUGUUGACCUACAAAUCUGCUCUCUUUUUUAGUGGGAAAUCAUGGCACUUGCAUGUUACACACACAGGCUGAUGCGACUUGCCUGCAACCAUUUUUGUUCUUCAGUAUAAAGAAACUUCAACAACCCGUUUUUAACCGUCAAGGCUUCUAAAAAAUAAAUAAAUAAAAAGCCCACAAUGCAAACAGGAGGUUCAUAUUACACAGGUCACAGCACGCUUUGAGAUUUCAAGUACACACAGAAUGACUCUUGAACCAAAAAAGUUUGAAAUGCAACCACCAACCAGAAAAAGGCAACCAGAACCUUUGAAAUGCAACCAAAGUGCAUCAUGCACGUUUCUUGCAUUGCGUGGGGACACAUCAAAUCAUGAACGAGCAGGACCACAAUUGAUGGCAGAACUAUACGAGGAUAAUAUGCACGGGUUUGCAAUCAGAUAACCUUAGCAAAAGAAUUUACCAUAACCAGAUGCUGCAGAGCACAGUGGGGCUAGGGGCGCAUACUGUCUACACCCAUGUGGAUCAGGGUCAAGUGUCCAGUCAUGGACAGAGAGUUGGAUAACAUAUCGUGGGAAUCUGAUUCAUCCCGGUGGCCUAGCAAGCCUUUUUAUCCAAUGAAAUGAUAGUGGCUACUGUAUGCGUGUGUGCGCCAGCUUUUGGUCCCUCUCUCGGCUAUCUUGUUGCCGCAUCCACCUAAUUCCUCCGCAGGCCCCCCACCCCCACCAUGGUUCCCUAUCCCUUCUUCCUAUCACUUCAGAUAUUCUCUUGUGGCCGUGAAUUGACACCGACCACGACUUCGUCUAGGAGCAUCGAUUAAGCGCGCCUCAAGUCGGCAGCUUUGGCUGGAGCUGUGGUGUUAAUAAUUUGCAGAGUAUUAUUAAUUCUGUUUUCGGAUAUAGCUUGGUAACCAUACAAGACCAUCCCUAAUACGUCUACAAGCAAUUGACCUACACCAAACAAAUCCCUGAUAUACGCCGGUCCCUGCUGCAGCAUGAGCCAGCAAAUGCAAAUUUCCUAGCCACGGCAAUAAAAAUUCAACUAGAGCUUGUUCCAAACACAUGAAUGCACUUUCCAUUCUACUCCCUCCAUCCCAAAAAGAAUAUAAAUCUAAAUUUUUGAUAACUCAAACAUUCUCAAGUUUGACUAGAUUUCUAAAAAUAGUAUCAACAUUUGUCUCUCCAAUUAGAUUUAUUACAAAAAAUAUUCCACAAUCUAAUCAUACAUGAAUACUUAUCACGCAUAAUAAAUAUUAGUACUUUUGUAUAUAACUGGUCAAAUUUAAAUUCGUUUGACUCCUCUAACUCAAAAAGUGAGAUUUACAUUCUCUUUGGGACGGAGAGAGUAAAAGACUUUUGUGGGUCUGUGAAACUGUGAAUAGAAACUGCAAAAAGAAAACAGGCAAAACAGAGGUAGGGGGCUAGAUUCUGACUUCUGAGUGAUAAAUAUCAUUCUGGAUUGCAUUAGAAGCAGGUGGAACCAGCAGAACUUCACCAGGACACUAGGUAAUUCUCUUUUGUCAGUUGUGAUAUACUCAAGUUUUAGCAUUACAAUGUUUUAAUCAGUAAAUCUUAUAAGGUAGCCAAACACCACUAGUCAUAACCUUCCUAUUAUUGUUACUGUUGUUAAGUACCAGGAAAAGGAAUUAUAUUGAGGUGAUCCGGCUUCAAUAUCACUUUAAUCAAGUGUAAGCACGCAUGUCAUACAUUCCCCUGAAAUUAAAUGUCAACAUCUGCUUCAUAUUACCAGGUUGAUUUGCAGAAUAGCACUGGGCAGCUAUGGAUCUUAUGGAUUGCCUUGGUCCUUCCACAUGUGAAGUUGAUUUCACAAACCUUAAAUCUGUGAGUAGAGAAAACAGAAUCAAUUAGUUUGUUUGGCUUGGAUUCACAUUCUAAUCUAUAAGGUUUGACCGGAAACCCUUACUAGCCACCAUGUCUCCUUGAUCAAAAGUCAGUGGGCAGCCAUUAAGCCAAAAUUAGUUUACCCAAAACACAAGAUCGUCCAGAAGAUGGUACUCCAUAGAUUUUCUAUCCAGCCAUGAUGGGGGAAACGCCAGUUGUUCAAAAAUAUAGAACAGGCUGGCUUAGAUCUUGCCCUGAUACUGGAAGUGUAAUUUAUAGUCACGCACCAGAUCAGCAAGAGUGGUUCGGCAUGGGCCCUCUGGAAAGACAAAGGAAAAAAAAAAGAGUUAUCUAAGAGGUUGGGUGUUCAGAAGUAAAAAUUUUCGAGCAGGUUAAUAAGGGUUACGGACCACCCAGGUAUGUGUGGAGCUGUUGAAAAUCACUUUCCUCGCAUAUAUCAAUCAGGGAAUAUACACCAGGUCUCAGCGCCUCAUCAAUUUCUCUGCCAUGUCAGAAGAGCAAGUCUGCUGAAACAAAAGCACAUAAUGAACAGCUUGACUUGAAAUCUUAAGUAGAACAUACCGUGUUAUCCCUGUCUGAAAAGAACCCUGCCCAGAAAACAUGGAAAUAUAACCAGCAAGAAAGUGCAUGGCAUGUUUUCCUAGGGUUUCUCUCUGCUGGCGCAUCUGCAUCGGCCACACAAUAGGAGAAAAGUAUAUUAGUUUUUGUAGGUACAUCAAACAUAAAUAUGCAUGCCUCAGUUGCAUUGGCAUUUCUUUGUUGUGUCAUUAAUUUUGACUUAGCCAAACUCUUGUCACAGCAAAUAUCUUGGUAGUCAGUACAAAGCCUACUAUUAGUUUUGCUCCACGGUUUUCAGUCAAAAAAAAAACCUAUUAUUACCAUCAUUUUCCGGGAAGAUAGCUUAACGAUGCCAAAAUAUUUCAUCAGAAACAGGAUACAGCAGACCACACAGAAACACAGAGUCCAACCUUAAGGCCAGACAUGUCACACUAUCAAAGUAAUGUUUAUAUCAUUUCAAAUUAAAAAACAUAACCAUCACUAACCUCUUCAUAGAUCCUUCUGAAAAAGGAAGCGCAUUUUAGUGCCUCCUCCAUAUUCCAGGCAAAAUAUCCAGCCAUGUUAACCAUCUUUGAAUCAGUGGACUCCAAACAACUGAGCAGUAUGCUUACUGAAUCCUCCAGGAGUGCCACACAAUGCCCAAUCUCACUACACGGAAAGGAGGGGGGAGUUAUGAUAUGGAGACCGAAUGCAAAGAACACAAAAUCACAGAGAAGAAGAAGAGAGUCAAAGUCUCUACCGUUGUUGGUGCCGAAGAGUAGUGCAUAAUAAUUUGCAACAUGCAGCAUAGAUAUCAACUGAAAAUUGUCUAUCAAGAAUAUAUUCAACAUGAUCUGCAUGGUGACCUACACUUUGGUUGCAAUAUUUUGCUAGAAGAUGUUUAAACCCUUUGAAGAGUGUCAGAGGAACAUGCAGGCACUGGGAAACAUGGGAUGCAUCAAUUUGAAAAGAAUGCCUUCCCACAAAUGAAGUGAUAACCUCCACACACAUUAGAACAGCAGCUCCAGCAUCUGGAUGGAACACAGUACAAUGAGGCGGCAGCUUCCGAGUGUAGAAAAUAUGUGGAGUCUGAAGGUGCAGUACAAUGUUGAAUAAAGCACCAACUAGGCCAGGGACAGUUCUCUUAAAAACACGCUUUUUUCCUGCAAUAUGGGUUGAAGAAUAGUCAAAAUUCAUCUUUUCUCAAACCAGGCUUUCCAAUCAUGUAAACCCCACAAACAUAGAAGCAACAGACAAUAAAUGUUUGCUCCUUCACACACUAAUACUCAUCAUCGUAUAAGAAUUUUAGAAGUUUAGAUCAAGGUUCCUAAACAGCAUCAACUAGUUCAUGUAAUGAUAUGCUAAAAUCUGCAUAGGCCAGUUAGAAAAGCAGUAAAUUGUGGAACGUCUGGUACUGAUUAUUGACAGGCACCAGCAUUAGGCACCAGAAUAUCAAGUGAGUACCAAAAUAUAAAUGGAAGUGUGGAUCAAACAUUUUUCCACUGCACUACGACAUAUUCAUGUAUAUGAAAACGUGAUGUUGAUUAGAGGACAUAUACAAUUUCGUCCAUACAAUCUGAAUCCAUUUUUAAUGCCGCUGCUCAAGCCUAAAGUUUUACUGGCACAAAUUUUACGCUAACAUGUAUUUGCAAGGGGAGCACUCGACAGCUUGGCAUAGGAACAUAUAGCUAUGAAGCAAGAACCAACUGCUAAUCUAUAUAUCUUAUAUUUUCAAACUCCACUACAAGUUCUAUCUCAACAUGCAAGCCAUCCACAUCAUUUCUCAUUUACUAUCCACAUCAUCUCCCAGUGAUGCCAUGUCAUUCCACUAACUUUCAACCUAUCAACGCAAGCCAUCCACAUCACGUCCACUAAGUGCAGUUACUACUUUCAAUAUAUAAAAAAUAUACAACAUUCAUAUAAUGUUAUCUGUUUUGCCAUUUCAUCAUCUUAUAAGUCGAUCCUAAUUAUUUUAGUUUUUUUACUGAAUUCUUUCGUUGUCAUGCCCAAUUUUGACUAGAAUUGAUGCAAGAACAUGUAGGUCUAAUAACUAAUACAUGCAACGCUUUUAUUUUUAAUAAAGUCUCGCAGCAACAUGUGGAGUAUGCUUCUAGUAUAACUAAUAGAAAAAUCUGGCCACUAACCUGGUACAAAAUCAAGAAUUAGAUAGAGGCAGUCGAUCCCAGCAGCAACAUCAGAAGAAACUGUCCCACCAUCAGGAUUUCCAGUGUAAACUUCGUAUAUUGAAUGACUGCACUGAUUCACUCCAACCAAUGCCCUUUCAAUUACUUGUAGAGCUGCAUUUAGAUGUGUGUUUGAUGCAAUAUUGACAAAUUUUCCAAGUACCAGUCGAAGCCUUGAUUUCAAUGAAUUUAAUCUAUUCUGCAUAUCAAUGAAAUCUUUUGGAAAAGCAUAACCAGAUGCAUUCUGUAAUUGCAGUGUUUUCGUGCUUGAGCCAAUCUCAUGAGUAGGAAGAGUUGCAUUCUUCCGUUGAAGUAAGAUGCAUUUUCCAAUAGCCCUCAAUAGGGCACUUACUAUCUGAGUAUACAAUUCUAUUGAGAUAUUGAGCUCAGGCAAUGUAAAUGCACUUCCUAAGACUUCAAGAUAUCUUAAUACACCAUCAAUCCAUACAAGACAAGACAUGUGGGGCCAGCUAGACAAAUCUGCAACUUUCUGUAGAGUGAUGAAAGCUGUCCCAAGCAUGGUACCCAAUGAAAGCUGUUUGACGGGGCUGCAAGUCUGCCUAGAAACAUCACUUGGAAAGGAUAGGUAACCAUGCAGCUUAACAAUAGCAGCAGAUAUAUUGUAUACCUCUCUCAAAGUGAAUGAUAUGAGUGGGCAUUCGCCUUUCAACAGGUUUUCCAGAAGAACAUUUUCCAUAUACUGUAUCUUAGACAGAUCAACUCCACGACUUUCACACUUGGUUAAUUCAUCCAUGACUGCUUCAAUAUUCAGAAAACCAUUCACACAAUCCAGCUCUUGUGGAAGACGAACAGAAACUAAACCUCUAGAGGCAGAAUCCUUGUUAUCCAUAAACAAGACAUGAACGCAAAUAUCUACAAAGGCCCCAAACUUAGAAAUACAACUGCUAAAUCUUGAACAAUACUGAAGUAACAUUUUCUUGUCCUCUGAGCUGGCUAUUGGAUGAUCGUUGAAUGCACUUUCUAGUGCUGAAUUAAGUCCCUGCAAGAAUCCGCCUAUGCAAGACAUGGUGCAUGACAAUCUUUUCCAGCAUACAACGUUACGGCAGUCUUCUAAUUUGAUAACACACUUCCCGUCCUUUAUGGUAACAGGUAUCCCGGUUGCAGUCUUCUGUAACAGUUCGGCCAUAUUUUUGACACCCUCCAAGGCUGAUAAAUCUACUAUAUCAAAUGUCUGAUCAUUAUAGUCUGAAGUCUCCCUUUCAACAGGGCUACCAUCCAGGGAAGAUUCAAUUUGUUUCUUUAAAUCAAACAAGUAAACUGAUGAAUUCACACUAGCUAGUGUAGAAAAUAAUUCUGAUGUCUUAUCUAACAAGGAGAACAUCAACCUAUUCACCUCAUCAGUAAACUCGUCAAAUAUCUUAUGUGACGAACCAACAAUUUCCUGAACAGAUCUCAAAAACCAAACCAGGGAAUAUGAGUUACCAUUUUUCUCUGAAAAGGCCAAGUAUUGCUUUGCCUCUGGGCACUCUUUCCCGAAUUUUAAGAUGAGAUUUAUCAGAGCCCUACGACAACAUAUAAACAAACGCAGUAACUUUAUGGGAUUGCAGGAUUCACAACGAAGACCUAGCAAUUUAAGUAGCAGCAAUCUGCAAGGAGAGGAAACAAUUAAUGGGCAGCAAAAGAUAAACCAAAUGGUCAAUAUUUCAGAUAUUAAACACGCACAUUGACACCUUUUCCAUUAUUCUUUGGCAAAUAACAUUUAUCACAUGAAAAGUUGAGCUUGAUUUACUGAUUACAGUGGAUGAAUAGAAACUAGAGAUUGUCAAUAAAAUCAAACAUCAAACUUAAUGUUUGUGUUACAAAAAUUUUGGUAUGUCAUGAAAGCAGUCAACACACAAAAGAAAGAGGGAAAGGAGUGGCUAUGACACAGAAGACAUGCACAAGGGGAUAAAUAAAUCCUCACUUUUGCCCUUCCCUUGAUAGAAAAGCAAGUCAGAGCAGAAGAAUUCAAGAAAUUCAAGAGCAGAGGUUUUGCUGUGCUUUGUUGAUCCUAAGGCAUUGCAUCGGAAUGCUAUUGCCACCUUUCCCCAUCGCCUAACGAUUAAGGAAUUCAAGAAACCUGUAGCAAUUCAUGUUCCGUUUUUCAUAAUAAGCACAGCAAAACCUCUUUCCAUUGGAGCGAAAAGAGCGCCUUUAUUUUUUAUAUUCUCACUGCUAGCCAUUAAGUCAUCUUCCUAUUUGACUUGAGCCCACCCUUUUUAACUAGAGAUAAUGAGUUAAUGACAGCCAAGGUUACAAAAGGUGCUAGGCGCUCUUUAGGAAGUACUCCACUCAGUUGGCAGGUAAAAGAAUAAAACAUACAAUUUCUAUCUAACCCUACCUCGGCUAGAGGGCAUAUUACAAGGCAAUAUGAGGCUUUGCCAAGUGCAGAUAAGAACAUAAGCAGACCUACCUUUACUAGUGAUACAGGGCGUACCAGAAGUGGGGGUGUUGAAGCUGAACUCAGUGUAAACAUCAAAGAAAGGUGAUGACCUAACCAGUAGUUCGAAAGCGCAAAAGUGGGAUGAACAAAGAUAGAAAGGUUUUGCUGGUGAAGAUUUGUAUUGUAUAUGCACUCAAAACUUUUCCUGAUCCGGUUUAAAUGGUUGGGUUCAGUGCACUUCCCAAUAGAAGAUUCUCGACUCGUUUCACUUUCUUUCUUUUAGUCUCGCUCUUGUUCUAAAGUCCAGAGGCGAGUGCAGAAGAGCACCUUGUUGAACACUGAUGGCAGCAUUAACCUUGUGUUUUUGUUGCCAUCAUCAAUAAACAUGGUGCUGAACAACACAAAAAGGAAACAGCAAACAGGUUGCUCUAAAAUAUUUGCCACUUUGACCAAAUUAGACAAUACUCCCUCCAUACCCAUAAAACAAGUCGUUUUGGACAAGGUUUGGGUCAAACAUUGGGAAUAUAAAUCAUGAAUAACUUUUAAGUUGUUGAGUUUGAAAAUAUGAAAACCAUAUGAAUAGAUUUGUCUUAAAAAAUACUUUCAUAAAAAUAUAUCUAUACCACCUUUUGAUAAAUAUUUUUAUAAAAACAAGAAGUCAAAGUUAAACUUUGGAGACCGUGCCAUUGUCCAAAACGACUUGUUUUAUGGGGUAUGGAGGGAGUAUGUGUAAACUCCAGUUUCUAUCAUAAGACCAAAAGCUAGUCAAAGUUAAAUAUUUAGUUAAUGAGCUGCAUAUAUAAAAGUAAACUAGGAGCUGAAAAAGUGCCAAGUAUCUGUAAAGAAAAAUUUCAGUUGAAAGAGCUUGAGAAUGUAUGGAGCAUUUUGUUUCUCGGGUGCAUAUAUGUCAUAAAAAAACUAACACCGGGCGUGGAACCAGUAUUUAUUUGUUAAGAUUUUUUCUAACUCUCCAUCAUUUUAAAGAAAAAAAUAAUGCAUGGAGCAUAUUAUGUUGUUGCCCCUACAGUGGUAUUUUAUAACUCAAAACCGCUCACAAAUACUUGAAUCUUUUGACUUUGCAUGGUCUUCAUGUGUGUCUUUGACCGUUAAUUUCUUCUAGAAUAUAAUCUUAAAAUCCUUCAUAUAUAAGAGAUUUUGCAAGUAUUUUGUGUACAAAUCGACACAUUUAACUUACACAACUCCAAACUAAAUAAUGUAAUAGUCAUUGAUGUUUGUAGUUUUUAAGGUUUGACUGAAUCUUUAGUAAACCACAAGUUUUUGUGACCUUGUAGAAGAAAGCAUAGGAAUCAAAGCUAGCACAAGUGAGCAAAGUCAUAAACUUGAUACAUGCCUUUCAAGAUGGAGAAUAUAGUUUAUAAGCUGUAUGAAUGCCUUGGAAUUCGCAUGAAAUCCAGGAACAGCACUGAAGAAAUUAAGGAAAUCCUCACAGAUCCAGUGUUUCUCUAUGCAAUGCGCAUGCGUAGUAGCAGAAACUGUACCAAUCAACUUCUCAUUUUCCAGGUUACUUAUUGUCUCCAUCAAAUCAGGUGAAGUGUCCAAAAGGGCAUUAUCUUCAUCAGAGUUGGUAACAAAAGACAACGAUUUCUUCAAAGCAUGACAAAAACUUGAUGCCAAAUUCUUCAAGAGUACCUAGAAAUAUUCAUUUCAAAUUUGAUCAAGUCAUUAGAAAAGGCAUGUGAAACACCCCUAGCUGUCAAAUAUAAAAUAAACACUGAUAAUCAAACAGUAGAUUCAAUAUUGCCAACAUACAUAGCAAUCUUUUCUUGGAAUAGAAGGAUUACAAUGAUAGAUACCUUUUGGUCAUAGAUAAAUGUAUCACAAAGGACCCCCACAGAAAUACUAUGCAAAGUCAUUUCUCUGUAUGAAGAUUGAGUGCCAUUAUUCUCCUCCUUAUCCAUGGAAGGUAUCUUUUGAGUAAAAGAAAACCUUAGCAAAUUAGAGAAGAAAAUCUUUAAAUCCUUCUUAGAGGCAUGAGAGUUCCAAAUGUCAAUGUUUUCACACAGAAAAUGCCAAGUGGCUAUAGGAAAAGAGACUUCAUCUAAGGAACAUAGACUCAAAUCCCAGGAACCACUAACUUCGUAAGACCCAAAAGGACCAUUUUCUCCUGAAGAUAAUAGCUUCACAUAUUUCAUCAUAAAACUUGUCAAUUUAGCAGCCUCAAGGCUGCAAGAUUCCUUUAAUAGUUGAGAGCUUCCUAUAUCCUUAUUAUCUAGUUGCCAAGCAUCAUCUUCAAGCAAAAAUUGAAGUGCCUUAAUCUGCCUGUUAAGAUCAUUGAGUCUCUGCAGAGCCAUCACAUGAAAGAUGUAAACAAGUGGAGCAAACGAAGCACAAUUUCUUGAGAGAGACUCUGAUAAACUCUCAAUAACAUCCAAAAGGGAGUUUGAAUUUUCAGCAAUCAAUGCAAAAUAACCCUUUCCGACAACAUUGGCUGGAUUGGUCCACUCCUUUCCUGAGCAUACAAUGAAUGGAUUCCCCAUUAACUUUGUUGCAUCUGUGGCUACAUCUGGAGGCAUGAGGCCAAUAGAUUGCUGAUACAAACUUCUACAUGAUAUAUAUAGGCGAAAGAAUAGGCAAAAAAUCCAGGAAAAACUUGGGAUCUUCUGCCGGUUGGCACGUAGUUUUUUAGAUAUAAAUUUUCCAAUAAUUGAGGAAAUGAAUCCAUUAAAAUUUUUUGAUUCGUUUCUGACCAAAUGACUGAAAUUUGGUCGGACUGCAUUUACCAACCUUUCAACAGAUUUUCCUACCAGUGUACUAUUUGAAGCAGUGACAGUUAUUGAGUCAAGAACACUAGCAUAUAUUUCAGACAAGUGCCUGCCAAGAAGUUCGGCUUUCUGACAAAAAAUAGACUUCCUGGCAAUGGACGGAUCUCCAAGUUUGUUUAAAUCAUCUUCCAAACUGCAAUCUGUCAUCCAUUUUAAUGUUUCUGUGAGAUCUGAUGUAAGCUCCUCUAUGCAUCGACUAGACUGCCCUUGAGGCAUCGACUUAAUUGAAGUACGAAUAGCACCCAUCAAUGUUUCAGAACUCAGCAAUGUUGUCAAUGAUUCCAAACAUUCCUGGGACGAUAAAGAAGCCACAGAAAAUGAGCCUUGUACUCCAUCAGGGCCAUCAACUCUGAAUGCUCUCACAGCAUCACACAGCUUGAAAAUCGAGCGGGAUACCUACAUUACAAACCAAAGAGAAAAAAUAAACACCAGACCAGGGUAUGGGAAUAGAAGAGCAUGCAAGCAGAAUGUAGAAAGGCACACAAAGUCCACCCAAACAUUGGGCAUGUUGUUACGCUUGUAUUAUCUUCUUAGACUCAUAUCUUAAUAUAAUGAUACACAGCUCUCCUGUGGGUUGGAGGCAAAAAAAAAAUGUCCACCCAAACAAAGAACAUUGCUGAUUUGCAAUCUUAUCAAAUAAUCAAGUGAGAAAUUACUGAAAGUAACAGCUGAAAAGUACAUAACCAACCUGACGAAGCUCACUGAAUGUGCAAAUCACUUGGGCUGCAAGGCUUGAAAUCUUUGAAGCAAGCAGGAAACAGGGUUUGAUGUCCUUGGAAGAUGUAUUAAUUGCAGACAAAGCAAAAACCAUUAACCACAAUUUCAUAAGGUCAUCUCCCAGAACUUUGUACUCGAUUUCUAGAAAACUGCCAACUGCAGAAAUAAUCUCUGCAAACAUUAAAGGUACUAUCUUCUUAAUGCUUACAUCUUCUAGAUGCACAGCAGACAUCCAGAAUUUGUACAUCUUUUCAGAUAUUGAGAUCAAGACAGAGUAAAUAUCUUGCAGAAAGUUGAAGUAAGAUCCUUCCAAUGUGUCCUCUGUAGGAACAUAGAUCUUCUCUUCAAUAACUGUUAUCAGCAUCACAUUAAUGGAUUUCAGCAUGCAAUGGACCUCUACUAGCCUUGUCACCCCUAACUCAGAAAAAUCCUUUUGGGAAUACGAUUUACACUCUAACACCAUGGGUUCCAUAAACUUAAUAAACACUUCAAAAAGGGAUUCUCUAUGUUGUUGUGGUUCUUCAGAACCCUCAUUGCUUUUGUGCAGCCGAUAAGCUGUUCCACUCAGUGCUACAGUUCUUUGAUUUCUAGCUCUCCUGACAAACAAUUGAAGCAAGUAACCAAACCCAGCCAGCAAUACAGCCUUGUUUUCCGUUUUUAUUCCUUUGAAUCGCUGAAAUAGAUGUCUAUGGUAGCUUCCUUUGAUAUCCUUGGCAGAAGAAGAUUUAUUCAAACUGCUGAGACCGAAAUAUCCACUAAGAUGUUGGGGAUGAAACAGUCCAUUUGACAAGACAUCUUCAACAAUUUUCAACAUUGCUCCUGAUUGCUUGUGCUUACUGGAAUUUGCUUGUGAAUUAAGUAAAACUAACAAUUCCAACAAUGGCCCUAGAACCUUAUCAACAAAAGCAUGGAAAAUAUUCUUCGGAUUUGCGUAAAAUCUCAGAAAGCUUGAGAAUUGCCCAAGGAGGCAAUAUGCAAGUUUCUGAAGAACAGGGCAGAAAUCGUCCUCGUUUGCUGAAACCUUCUGGGCAAGAUUGAUAACCUCAAUAGCACAUGAGGCCCAUAAAUCUACACCUGCAUUGAAGAAAGCUCUUGUGUUGGAGGAGAAAAGCAAUGACAUACAGUCAAACACUUGUUCAAAGAGCUCAAUAGAUUCAUUGUCAGCAUGUGACCUGUUGCUAUCAACUCUUGCCAAACCAUGACUUGCAACACGACUAAGUGAUUUAAGUAAGUUCAGAGAUAUUGAAAUGGAUGGCUUCUUUUCAACACAAACUCUCAAAAUUGCCCAACAUCUACUAUCCAAUGCUGGAUCAAAAGUCUGUAGCAUCUUUUUACUAUUCUCAGGGAAAUUUAAGAUAGUCUGCACCCAGUUUCCGAUAAAUGACACCAGGCGCAAUAGCUGAAUGCUGUGCACCUUAUGACCGAGGCUCGAGUCAUUUGGCAGUGUGGUUAGAAAUUCAACUGCUAGCUCAAUCUUUCUGCACGAAUAAACAUGUUGUUAUGAAGGUGAAGAUUACAAAUGAGAAGAUUAGAAUAAGGUUGAUCUAAACAGGAUUCAAACAAUUUAUUCCAGUAUCAGUUAAAUAGCACUAAAAUGUUUGGAAUCAGAGAGAUUCCAUAGGGUAUUCCUAGACAUAAUGUGUUGAAUUUGCCCAUCUUACUGCUUCUGACAUCACAGGAAGUAAUAAGAGAAAGUAUUAUUCGACAUAAAUCAAUGUGACUAUUGUGCAAAAUCAACAAAUAUGAAGCCAAGCUAAAAGCUGCUGACAACAAAAUUGUAUCUCAGGCGCAAGCCCCUCCUGUUUCUUCAAAAAAAAAUGUAUCUCAUUAAUCACAUUUGCACUUAACUAAGCAAAUCAUGUUGUGCAUUAUUUAUGGCAGUAAACAAGUAAAACGCAAUCCUCCAUAGUUGAGACGACUAAACCAGCAGACGAUGAAAGCGUCAUCACCGGAUAGACGAAAUUCCUAGUCACAGGGUUACACGAGCUAAAGUUCACCGAAACAGAAGCAUAAGGGUGACCUUUCGAGCGACAGCUCCUUGCUCUGGAGGGAGAGGACGAGGUCGAGGUGUUCCCACGCGCCCUUGGCGCCGCAGUCGCCGUCGAAGCGAAGUCUAGCGGACUUGAGCUCGCUCGUACCCUCCCCUUCGCAAGGCGGCGAUUGGCUCCGCCGCCGCUUCCUCGCUGCGCCGGGCCUCGCGGUCGCGGCAGCCGUCUCCAUGGCGAUGGCGUAGCGCAACAGCGGCAGUGGAAGCUAGGGUUCUGGGUUUUGAUUUCUCCGUGCUCGAAGACGCGCCGUGAAACCUUCUGCCGCGUCCGACCAGUCUAAAAGGCACGAAUCUUAAAGAUGGCUAACCAGACCGGCUCACGAGUCACGACCACGGCGUCUGAUGAGAUAUAGGCUUCGGCCCCGGCCCAACCCGGAGCACUCUUGGUCCUGAUUUCAGGUCCAGGGUUCCAGGGCCAGGCACAAGCUACAAACCCUAACCCAUCCGGAGCACAGGAAAUUUUGGAGGCUGAAGCGGAAGGGGAGAAGACGAUGACGACGAGGGAGCCGCACGAGGCGUCCCGGCGCGACGGGCGCGACCCGCACGGGAGACGCCCCCACUCCUCGUCCAGGUCGCGGAGGGACGAUCCCAGGUACCAAGCCACUGCACCCCCAUCGGAUUUCCGAUCUGACUGCGUUUUGGUAUAUGGAUUAGUAUGCUGGUUUUGGGGGGGGGGGGGGGGGGGGGGGCAUCGGCGAUUCUUUCUGGGCCUGCAGUUUCUUACGAGAUAGCAAUUUUUCUGAAUCUCUUUUCUAGCCCAAGGAGAAGAAGAGAUGACAGGAGGCGUGAAUCGGACAGGUCUCACUACAGAAGUCGAGAUGAAGAGUCUGCGGAGGUGGCUGACCAUGAUCAGAAGAGGGACAGAGAUACUGCACAGGGCGAUGAUCCUCCGAAUGCUGAGUCCAAGUCAGCGAGUGAUGUGAAGAAUGGCCCCUCCACCAGGCAUGAGAGAUCACCUAGGGGAACCAAACGAUUUUCUGAGUCGAGAGAGGCAUCGAGGCCUCGGUCUUUCUUUCAGGUUCUUGUCUUUUCUCAGUUUACUGUAUUAUACUAAAAGGGAAUGUCACCAAUAACUUCUGCUCUCUGUUUGAAUUCAAAUUGUUUCAUAGCUACAAUUAGUGUGCUUUGACUAUCACAGCCUGGAUACAUUUUGUGCUCGUGGUGUUACAGAGCUGUCUCUAUCAUGGAUAGCUGAACAGCAAGUAUUUUAUGGAGCUGUCACAUUAGAUAGCUGGCAGAUUUGUGCUAUUAGGCAGAUCCAUGGGUCAAUAUUUGCUGGUGGUCUGGAGCGCAAACCUCCCGGUUAUGACAGCCCUGGUCACUACUGCAAUUGUGUGGAGUUUUGUCUAUUAACAAAUACGGCUUUGAGCCUUUGAUAGUAGAGACAUUUAGUCUGCUCAAAACAUUGCAAGUAUUCCAUGUUGUUAUUCUGAAAAAUAUGAAUAUCUUCUAUAUAUUUAAUUUAUUCUCAGAACUCAGAUUUACGGUUAAGGACUUCUGAGUUUGUUAAGGGGCUCUGGAGUAAAGAUGAUUUUGUGAUAGACGUUAUUCCCUCCGUCCCUAAAUAGGUGUCGUUCUCGCUUACCGAGGAGUCUCACUUUUAACUGUGACCAAAUAUAUACAAGAAAAUAUUAAUAUUUAUAGUACAUAAUUAGUAUCAUUAGAUAGAUCGUCAAAUCUAUUUUUAAAAUAAACUUAUUUGGAGAUACAAAGGUUGCUAACAUUUUCUAUAAAUCUAGCGACACUUAUUUAGGGACAGAGGGAGUACCUGUUAAGAUUGUGGCAUGCUUUGUUUUUUUAUGGGUGUGCGCUAUUUGAAACGAUGGCCUUAGUAAAUUUGACUUUGGGACAUGAUAGUAUUAUUUCUUGCUGGUUUGAUGAGUGAUACAUCAGCUGCAUGUUUCGGUAUUUUAUAAGUACAUGCAAUUGCAUAGGUAAUUUAGUUUAUAUAGUUGAUGGUCAACUGUUCAAACUUGGAGAUUUUGUUUUGUGCCGUAUAGUUUCUAUGUGACUCUUGUUGGGUUUCAUUUUCAUUUAGCCAAUCCCGACAUGCUUGAGAUUAAAAGGCUUUGUCAUAUAAUCUCAUUUUAAAAUGGAUUUGUGUUAUCAUAUCUAGAAUGUAGAAACCGGCAUUUGAGACAAUCAGCUUAAAUUAGUACAAGCUUCACCCCCCCCCCCCCCCCAAUGUUUAGUUCAAAUAUUCAUUAGUUAUGCUCUGUUUGUGAUUAUGUGCGAAUCUGUUGUUGCAUUUUAGUGAUUUAAUUUCCUGAACUGCAGUUUUAUAGUGUACAGAUUAGUUAGAUUCAUGGACAUGGUUUGCCAGCUUUAGCUAACAGGACUAUACUUGUUUUAAUUAAUGGUUACAAGUAACAACUGUAACCUUCAUAUGCAGUGGGGAGGUAGGUUUCAGCAUAAAGAAUGUUAGGUCAUUGCUAAAUCAUAGAAAUUUUUUGUCCACUUGUCUUACAUAAAUAACAUAUUCCUCCUGAUGUAGUGGGACUUCUUUUAUGACACAUUGAUUCAAAUGCCCACUGUUUGUAACAAUGUUAGACUACCUGUGCUUCUAUGUACAGCACAAUGAGCGUGGAAGUGCUGGGCAAGGUGGUCGGCACUAUGACCGCCAGGCUAGUGGUGAGCUACCUUCUUAGUUCAUGCUUUGUGCACUUAUUUUAUGCUCCAUCCUCUAUCCAUGCUAAGUUAUUUAUUGUUUCUAAGACUAUGGAAGGCAAAGGGACCAUCUCUCUGAUAGAGAGAAACAGAAGACCGAGGGACACAGUUUGCAAGGAAAGGUUGAGCUGGACCAGCAAAAGAAGGAUGGUGAUUCAACAUGGAAGCAUGAUGGAUUUUUCCAAUUGGAGGAAGAAGCACCCCUUGCCAAGAAGAGGCCACCAUUUCAGGAGAUGAAGAUACAAGAAUCUGCUGCCACUGUAACAGAACCAGAUUCUAGAUCAAGGAAACUUGAUCAGCCUGGGCUAACUUCUGCAGUGAGAGAAGAAAGGAGAAAUUAUCAUGCACGAGGAUUCGGAAAUCAUCGACCCUUCCUAAGGCCAGACGAUCGAGGCUUCAGAAGGGGGUUUCCUGACCACAGGAGUGAUGGCCAGAGAAAUGGGUAUGAUUCAAGGGGAAGAUUUCCUGGUAGGGGAGGAAUGGACAGAGACAGGUUUAACAAUCCAUAUGGUGGGAGAAGCAACGUAGAGCAGGCUUCUGGUGAUCAAGAAGAAAAAUGGAAGCAUGACCUCUAUGAUCAGACAAACAGGAGCCCACCUCCAAAGACUGAGGAAGAGCAGAUAGCAAAAGUUGAAGCGCUGUUGGCACUGUAGCUAUCUUCUCUACGUCUGGAGUUAUUUUUGUGUGAUGAUAGAUUAUCAUGUACUUGGUUUCAGUUGUGUUGAAUGCUGUCUUUUUUAUUAUAUAUAUUUUACAUAUCUAUGGGGAUUAAGACACCUUAUGAAGUAAUUCCAUUUGGACUAAUAAUAUUGUACUAGACUAUCAUGAGUUUCAUAACGUGAACCAUCAAGGAAAAGUACAAGACAAUCAUGAGUUUCGUAAGUAAACAAUUUCUCCUCGACUGCGUUUAGAGCUAAAUUGCUUUCAGUGUGUUAACCUCAUAUUGUAUAGUUUUAUAACUGUAACUUGCAGUCGAACUGUCUGGGCUAUUGUACACAAGCACUGUCCUAUACUUGAGCAUGCAAUCCCUAUGCAGAAAGCAUCACCUGAGUGCCUUGUGCAGAAAGCAUCACCUGACUGACAGUGUUCGAAGAAUAACAAGCACGUAUUUACAACAAUAACAAUGCGAAAACGAACAAACAGCUGGUGUCACCAGUGCUCAAGGACUUAAAAUACCUUGCUUAUGGAGUCAAAUUUUAAAGAUUCAACACUGUUGGCCCUUCCUAACAUUUCUUUAAAAAAAAACUCUGGCUCAGUCACUCCCUUUUCUCACUCAAGCUCACUAUCACAAUCUCAAAUCUAAGCCAAAAAAGUGAGUAGAGAAGGUGAGAUGGGAGCAAUGAAUGAGUUUGGCUCGAAAUAGGUUGCAAGAAAUGAGGUAUAAAUACUCCCACGCAGUCACUUUUUUCAGACAAAGCUACGUCGAAGUGCCAAGAUCUCGAUCGACAUAAAUAAAACCACUGUAAAUUUGAUAUUAGAAUUGGGUUUAGAAAUUUUUUGGAAUACUCAGCUCAGCUCAAUUCCAAUUAGACCUACAUUUCUUUUAUCCCAAUUACUCUCCAUUCUAAUUUAUAAGAUUAACUUUUCUACAUAUAUAGUUUUUGCUAUGUACGGACGAGCUACAGUUGGUGGCGACCUCGUCAUGGGAAUCUCCAAGUUGAGAGUUCGACUCCCCACACCUUGCAUGUGCAAUAACUGCCUUUUUUUGCAAUUAGGAUCAAGGGUUUUCUGUGAGAGUUUCCUCCCAGUGCAAAGUAAAGGCUGGAGCUUUUCUCGGCCUGUAUAAGAGCAGAAUGUUCGAGGGUCACUAUUGCCGUGUUUAGUUACCAAAUAUUUUGCAAAAUCACUACAGUAGGUGUUUUGUUGUUAUGUGACAAAUAUUGUCCAAUCAUAGACUAACUAGGCUCAAAAGAUUUGUCUCGUAUAUUUCGACCAAACUGUGCAAUUAGUUUUUAUUUUUAUUUAUAUUUAAUACUCCAUGCAUGCGUAUAAAGAUUCGAUGUGACGGAAAAUCUUGAAAAAUUUUGAGUUUUGGCGUGGAAGUAAACAAAGCCUAUAUCCCCAUGGGUCGAGUUUGUUUUCUCAACCUAUAUGAGUCAGCAGUAGGUGAAGCCUACAGAGCGAGAACUCAACGGCAAAACCCAGAGCUCACAGUGGAUGUUUGACUUCCUCUGUUAAAUUUUGUAAAAUGGUUAAUGUAGCACUUUUCGUUUGUAUUUUACAAUUAUUGUCCAAUAAUGAACUAACUAAGCUCAAAAAAAUUGUCUCGUAAAUUACAAACAAACUAUAUAAUUAGUUAAAUUAGUUAUUUUUUAUCUAUAUUUAAUAUUUUAUGUAUGUGUCACAAGAUUCGAUGUGACAGAAAAUCUUGAAAAAAAAAUUGUAAAAUUUUUUAAAACUAAACGGCGCCUUGGUGAAAGAGAGCUUUCCUUUCCUCUAGAAUCAGUACUCCCUUCCAAACAACAAUUUUCCUUUCCUAUCGACCAAACUCAUUCCUCCAUUCAGGACAGACAAUUCUCUAAUAGAGGGUGUGGACGGAGAAAUCAAAUCAUUCUAAUAAGAUGAUGCAUUAAAUUUGGUGAAAUGAGUUUAUAUUCCUUAGUAAAUUUAUCUAUUUCAUUCCUCAAACCAAACAAAAUAAGAAAAAAAAAUAGACAAACCCAUUCCUCAAAGCGAACACCCUAUAGACCUUUCCUCUGGACUCGAUUCUUCCACUUUUCCUUUGGUUUUACAGGCCCUAAAUGGACGUGUAGCCACAGGAAACGUGACAGCUAGAGUAAAAAAAGCAAACGUCGAGACAAUUCCAUUCAACAAAGCGAGCGAUUGGAGCACUGUUUUAACGUCACGUGUUAUACAACCAGACUCCAUGAGUUGCAGACUGGCCAGCUGGAGGCGAAAUUGUGAACCAACAAACAAAAAUGCAGCAGCCUCUAUUGCUCUUGCAUGGUAAAUAAAAAUGACUGGGAACUGCAUCCCGAAAUGGAACAUCCCGAAAAUUAAACAUGACCUCACAUUGAGUUGAGUUUGCUGCUCUCUUCUACGAUUAUAUAUAGAGAAAAAACUCACGGUAUCCUCAGCUCAGAUUGUCUUCCUGAGGAAGUAAUUCUUUUUCAUCAGUCAAAAAUUUGCAUGGUAUUAUUUCCAGAUAAGCACAAAAACAGUCUGGCAGGGGAGCGCUUGUGCGUGAAUUUAUAUGUCAAGCAGCAACCUCCUGGGGUCCUCGACCACAUCCUUGAUGCGCCGCAGGAAGAAGACAGCCUCUCUGCCGUCAAUCAGCCUGUGGUCGUAUGUCAGCGCGAGGUACAUCAUUGGCCUCGCGAGGAUGUCACCAUUCACAACCACAGGGCGUUGCACAAUGGAAUGCAUCCCCAGAAUUGCCGACUGCAAUUCACAUAGAUCACAUUUCAGAUCAAUAAACAUCUGCAUGUUACAAAAUGUGUCACUACUGAUAAAUGUGCAGCAGUUACCUGUGGGGGGUUGAUGAUAGGUGUGCUGAUGAGGCUUCCAUAGACACCACCAUUGGAGAUGGUAAAUGUUCCUCCUGCCAUGUCAUCAAUUGAGAGUGCCCCCUCAGUUGCCUUCUUUGCAAGGUUGUUUAUCCCUUUCUCAAUGUCAGCAAAGUUCAUGGUAUCAGCAUCCCGGAUAACAGGAACCACAAGGCCCUGAAAAAAACUCCAAUUAGUUAUAUACAUACAUAGUAAAUACUCCCUCAUCCCAGACUAUAGGCCAUUUUGGCCUUUUUUUGGUACAAGAAAGGAGACAGCAGUCACCAGAGUAGCAAGCAAGCAAUAUGGUACCUUGGAUGUGCCAACAGCAACACUGACGUCCACAUAGUCUCUGUAUAUGAUAUCGUCACCAUCAAUGACAGCAUUGACAAUCGGUUGGUUUUGAAGUGCCGAAACAGCAGCCUGCCAAAAUAAAUAGAAUUAGCCAGCCAUAUAAAUGUUCGGUGCAAAAACUUUGCAACACAGACUGGCAAGUACCUUGACAAAGCAAGACAUUAGGCCCAAUUUGACACCAUGCUUUGUGACAAAUUCAUCUUUAUAAUCAGAACGAAGUUUCAUCAAAUUGGUCCUGCAUCAUAAAAUCAUAAGAUAAAAAAAAACACCUAUACAGCUUUCAAGGAAUCAUAAUGGCAUUCCAAAAGAUAAUUAUUGAAGUCCACAUAUAAAAGAACAUAAAUAAGUUGAGCCGCACAACGACACACCAGAUAUUUGCCCAAUAAAUGAAAAGAUUUUCUUGUCAGUGUUACUGAAUAAAAAAAAUAAAUUUCUAUAAGCAUUCAUACAUAACAAUCAUAUAUAUUUUCAUCUAACAUAGGUUAGCGCAUGUUUGUUAAUUCAGGGUGAUAGGUAGGGACAAGUGAUCAAUAUAUUGCCAUAUAGCUCAACAGAUUACAUUCUUUAUUGCCUGAAUACAGGCCACAUCUUUGAACUGCUUAAAAUAUGGUAAGACAGAAACAGGUGUCACCAUUUUAUACAGUUGCGAUGACGGCAGGAGCACAAAUAUAAACUGAUCAAACAGAGAUCUACUGUAGCAAUCUACUGGAAGGAAUACAUGAGAACACUUACAUGUCAACUUCAUUAAAUGUAGUCAGCAUUGCAAAGGUGUUCUGAGAAUCCUUAAGCCGGUUUGCAAUACGCUUUCUGAGCCUUGGCAUCGGCACCUGCAAUAUCAUAGUAAAUGUCAGUUAAGCCAAGUGCUAUGUAUCUUGUUUACUGCAGUUUCUAUUUACUGUCCAGUAGUUAUCAGGUUCCUUGGCAACCAAGUUGGUCAUGGUGCCUUGGAAACCAAGUAGGUUAAGCAUCUACUUUUGCUAAAGAAUAUGCUGUAGUAGGUGGCUGUCCACUUAGGCUAUAUAAGCAGUGGCAGCACCCCUGUGUAACUAAGCCUGUAAUACUUAUCUUCAAUCCAAGCGGCUGUAUGCCAAGCUGCCCUCUGGGCUUUACCCCUAUCUGAUCUACGUGUGGCCAACAGUAAAAUAUGUGCAUGUCCUUCAACAACAUCUGAACUCUGUAAUUGGAUAAUAUUAUCCUUACCCUUCGCUCUCGUUCUUUUGGAGGGAGCUGUGGUUCUGAAGGGGACAUUUUUGAUGGUGCAGUUGGCUUUGGUGCUUGCAUCUUGGGAGGUUCAACUUUUGGGGCUUUUUCCUCUACCUUUGGUUUCUCUUCAACUUUAGGCGUUGAUGAUUCUUUUGGAGUUGCUUCCUCAGAUGGAGCAACAUGUGUUUCAGCAGGUUGAGCAGACUUGGAUAUGAUUGCAACUUUAGUGCCGGGAGUAACUGUGUCGCCUUCACUAGCAAUGAGCUGUAAACAACAGUCAGAAAUAGCAACACUUAGUAUGUGAACAGCUGUUGAUCCUGUUAACGAGCAGAUAAGCAUGGUAUAUAGUGUGUAUUCCUGACAUCUGCAGAGUAAAGGUAAAGCAUUGCCAUGAAAGUAGACUGGAAGCUCGGAAGGAGUAAAACAAUUCAAUUCACCUUUUCAAUAACACCAGCCUCAGGACUUGCAACAUCUAUAGUGACCUGGAACAAAAGGGAAAGUCAUGUGGUUAUGACCACUAGCAAAUAUGAAGUUCCACUAAUGUUCAAACAGAAGCCUCCAAUACCUUAUCAGUUUCAAUCUGUGCUAUGGGUUCAUCGGCCUCGACUCUGUCUCCAGGUUCUGUAUAUAAGAAAAAGAAAAUAUUAUCACAGGGAGAGGGAGAGAGAGAGAGAGAGAGAGAGAGAGAGAGAGGGAGCAUACUCUUCAGGAAGUUAGCAAGAGUUCCAUCAGUUACAGAUUCACCCAUGAAGGGCACAACAGCCUCAAACUUGUCUCCUACAUAGAACAAAAAACAGAACUUUAUAAACGCAUAACAAGGAACACAUUUGUCAAACACUAUCCGCCUCACAAUGCUAUUGUGGCUUACCGUUGUCUGAAGCAAAUGACCUACUCCAGACUUGGUAUAGAUAGGGAUUAGGUAAGUAACAGCUUUUUCUACAAAAUUCAAUAACAAUAUUACAAUAAUGUAGUACAUACAUAAAAAGAGAGACAGACGUAAAAAUAUUUGGCAUGAGGUUAGUAAUGACAUCUAUAUUCAUCAACUAGAGCAUGCUAUCUGAUAUUUACCUUGUCAGAUUUGAGCAUUGGGAAGUAGCUGGAAUCAAAGUUGGAGAAAAACGCAUGUAUUAUAGUCAAUAGUUGAGAUCAAAUACUGAAAAUAGGGCUAGUCAGAGUAAUAACCAGAAAGUUGACUGCUGUAGCUUCUGGCAUGUGUAGAACUCCUUUGGAGGCCUAGUGCCUGCAAGUAAAUCAGAACAGUGAGGAAGAGAAUUGAAGUGGAGGAUUACUGAAAUUAUACUAUUAUAGAAGCUUAUACUUUGUGUAUCAUUUGUGCAUUAGCAUUGCUACAGACAUGAAAUGGAAAUGGCAUAGAAAUUCCGAGAUUUCACAUAACCAAGAAGACUUAGUGCACUUAAUUAUAUAGCAAAAUAACAUGUGCAUCAAUAUUUUCACUUAAUUGUAUAGCAAAAUAACAUGUGCAUCAAUAUUUUCACUUAAUUAUAUAGCAAAAUAACAUGUGCAUAAGAAAAAUUCAUCUACCAGGGUCCAGGGGGGCUUGGCCCUCUUCAUCCCCACCCUCCCUCCGCCCCUAGCGGAGGCAGCUUCGCUGGUUCUAGUUGGCCUCCACAAGACAGCUGUUGGUCUACCAUCCACUACUAUUACCCUAAGAUUUUUCUGAGGUGGUCAAAGUGUUAAUGGAGGUGGGCAUGUGUCUGUCUCUACUUCCACGACAUUCUAAAUCCUAAUUUAUAGAGGCAGAAAUAAUAGCUGCCUCUAUUAAUAAAUUAGUUAAUUAAUUAAUUAUUAAUUAAUCAGCAAGCCUCAAUGUUUUCAGGUCGUCCUAUUAAUUGCGAUUAGUCGUCCUGGUCGGUCCCAAGUGUUCGAUUAGGAGGUCGAACUCGACCAGCUCGACCAGAAAGCUGAUCGUCCGAUUAGUCGACAACUAAUCGCGAUUAGUCGUCUGACCAGGUCAUGGACGACCAGUUUGGUUACUCUGUUUUUGGGCCUGUUUAACUGGGCUGGCAUGUGGGCUGCUGGGCUUGCAGCUUAGACUGUUAGAGUUAGUAUAGAUAGUAUAGAUAACUAGGGUAAAUGUUAGUUAUUAGCUAUUGCAGCAGUGCUGCUGUUAAGGUGUGUCAAGAUCAAAACUGCAUUAGUGUUGCUGCUUGCUAAUUAUGGUUUUCUUUGGUAUUCCAGGCUUCCAGCAGCAAGUCAGCAAAGAAAUGGAGUUUGGGACAUGAAUAUAGACCUCUGGACAGUGCAGAAAAGAGAGGAAAACAACUCCCACAAGUAAGUCACCAGCUAAACACUAAGGCCUCCUUUGGCAGUACAAAAUCCCGCCGGGUUCCCUGCAGAUUCCCUGGGCCAGGAAAACGCGGGGCAAGCUCCCCUGGGCCAAUUCCUCGCGCCGUUUGGAAACUCACGAAACACGGAAUGCAGCCCCAAUCCCUUUGUUUUCCACGAGGCAGGAAGCCACGAGUCAUCAGGCCGGGAGCGCUUCCCUGCCCGUUGUCUCGCGAGUGGCAAUCGCAACGUAUCGCGCGUCAUUUCUUCUCCCCGAUUCCACCUCGACUGAGACUGCCCAUUCCGCCGUCGUCACCAUGGAUCAUCUCCUAUGCCGUCACCUCCGCUGCGUCUCCUCUACCAGCAUGGCAACACCUCCGCCUCCGCAUGGUGAGUCUCAAACCUCCUCCUCCAUCCGCACCUCCCUGCAUCUGCUAGGGUUUCUUCUUCUCUCUGUUCCACUCACUGGCCCUUGUUAGAUCCAGAUUUGGACAGCAACCAGUUGUUUGUGUGUUUACUUGGAGGAACAAAGCAGCUGCAUGUCGAGAGAGCAAGGGAGGCGCGUUUUAGCGGUGGUGCUCAGCGGUGAGCAGGUGAAGCGGCAGCGUGGCAAAGCAGACUGUUGUUGUUGUUGCUAACUGAACUCGAGUUCAGUCAUAAUCUCACUCAGUUAGCUCUCUGAUCUUUUGAUUUCAUGUGUAAAUGAUUUAGUCAGCCUUAGCAAAAGUUAUUUGUGGUCCAGUGAGCCACUAUAUUGGUUUAAGGAUCAAAAUUGAAUUAUCAACUGUUUGUUAUAAGAUAUAAAGGUCCUAAGGUUUGGUAAAUUUGGUAUAGAAUUAAGAAUUCAAGAUUUAGCUUCCGAGUUAGCAAACUGUUGUCUCUUGGCAAAUUUGAAGGGCUUCAAAACUAUUGAUCCUGAUAUGUUAGUUAACAUGAACAAGGCCAUUUGAUAUACCAAGAUUGAUACUAUAGAUUUGUUCAAAAUUUCCAGAAAUGUUAUUCCUAAAACUGCUUUCACACUUAGCUUCCAAACUGAAUGUCAAAUUUGCUUUUAGAGUUGCAAGUAUAGGGUUCAUACUUGCAGUUUGUCAGUCAAAAUUUAACUCUGCCAUAUAAAAUUUCUUCCAAUCCUAUAUGCAUGUGGUCCGUACAACCUUAAGCAAAACUGCUCUAUUCCUGAUCUGUAUCUCUACCUUGUUAAAGCACAUAUAUGAAUUAGUCUUUGAACUGGUAGAUCAAGGAGCUCAAAGGUUACUUGCUAAAAAAUAUUUUUAGAUAUGAACUUCAUAGUUCAGAGCUAAGUUGCAGAGAUAUAUCAAACAACUUUCUUUAGCAUUUGUCAUGGGCAUAAAGAGGGGCGCCGUAGGGCGCAAGUGUCCUAGUUGGGCCUUAAGCCCAUUAGUGUUAAUUAGUGUCUCUCUUAGUUAUUUGUCUAUAGGAAUAGUACCAUAUUGUCUAGGCACAAGAGGUGUUAGUCCUAUGUACCUUUUAUAUUCAGCCCAUGGGACACAAUGGAAAAGCAAUGAAUUAUGAAGAAACAAUUCUAGUCUCCCUCAUUCUCUUAAGCUCUUGGCAAAGCAUAAGGCCUAGUUAUCCCAAGCUCUUGGCAAAGCAUAAGGCCUAGUUAUCUAUCUCCCAAAUAUCCACCGCGUUCAUAACAUCUGGUAUCUAGAGAGUCCAGCGAUCCUCCUCCAUCAGCCGGAUCCUCCAGCACCUUCGAUCCUCCAUCAGCCGAAUCCUCCAGCACUUCCGAUCCUCCAUCAGCCGUUUCCACAAAAAAAGAUACCAAUCCAGAUCGCCGCGUCGCCUACCUCAUCCAUCGUGCCGCGCCGCCAUAGCAACGCCACCAGCCACCGCUGCACCCCCAUCAGCACAGCCGCCGCGCCGUAGCCCCAUCACCACCAUCCACCGCCGCCACAAUCAUCGAUCCAGAUCCGCCACAACACACCGCCGCUGCCACGCUUUGCCUCGAUGGACUUCCCUAAAUUUGCGGGGAAAUCUGAUCCUGUGGGCUUCGUCAACCAGUGCGACUCCUACUUCCGCCGAGAGCGCAUCAUGGAGGAAGAAAAGGUAUGGCUGGUUUCCCGUAAUUUGGAAGAUGACGCCCGGGUUUGGUUCCUACAAGUCCAGCACGCUGAAGGCACCCCGGCGUGGCGUCGCUUCACCGAGCUCCUGCACCUGCGCUUCACAUCGCCCCCGUGCCCCGACCUGCUCCACCAUGUGUCUCCUGCUUCCAACGACACUUCCCGCAUCUUUGCUGAUAUAUUCACGCAGCUGGAUCGGAUCAAGGAGUUGCUCAACGCGAAGGAUAAGAAGGACCGUGAAUGCCGGGCGGCUGUACGUCUCCAGGCAGCAGCACGAAGACUCCUGGCACGUCGCCGAGCGCAGGCUCUUCGUGCCACAAAAGCAUCGAAGGAGCAAGCAACGGUGCGCCUCCAGGCAACAGUGCGAGGAAUGCUUGUCCGUCGCAUGGUGCGGCAGAUACGCGUGCUCCUCAGCUCGACGUUGUCAUACGUGUUCAUCCACUCGGACUCGCCGAUACGGCCUGCGGCUCCAAUUGCAGUGGAGGUCCAAGUAUGGGCGUUUCCAGUGCAGCGACCUCGCAUCCAGCAUCAGGCAUCAAAGGCUAUCUCAUUUAUCCUUGUGCCUGCCGUGGUGCUAGACACUUUCAGCAUAAGGGCCAGCUGCUUCACACUCCACACUUCAGCCUACAUGAAGCCAGCAGAGGCGCUCUUUCCAUGGGAUCCAGGUGGAUAUCCUUGUAUUUUAGUCUUCAAUAAAAAGGGGAAGCCGAGAUGUAAAAGGCUUAACCCUAUUUCGCUUCAGCUCUCCAGCUCGAGGACGAGCUGGGUCUCCAAGGGCGGGGGAGAUGUCAUGGGCAUAAAGAGGGGCGCCGUAGGGCGCAAGUGUCCUAGUUGGGCCUUAAGCCCAUUAGUGUUAAUUAGUGUCUCUCUUAGUUAUUUGUCUAUAGGAAUAGUACCAUAUUGUCUAGGCACAAGAGGUGUUAGUCCUAUGUACCUUUUAUAUUCAGCCCAUGGGACACAAUGGAAAAGCAAUGAAUUAUGAAGAAACAAUCUAGUCUCCCUCAUUCUCUUAAGCUCUUGGCAAAGCAUAAGGCCUAGUUAUCCCAAGCUCUUGGCAAAGCAUAAGGCCUAGUUAUCUAUCUCCCAAAUAUCCACCGCGUUCAUAACAGCAUUUUUGUUUGGUUCAAAUUAUUAUUAAUAUUAGAUCUUUGAUCAGCAAGGAGUACAUUAUUUGAUAGCGCCCGCCAUACAUAGUUCCAAUUUAGGGUGAACUAUUGACAUAAGUUCAUAAAUAAAAUUUCUUUACAAUGAACACCAAACCUUGAACAAUUUAACUAUUUUUAGCUUCGCAAAUUGCAAGUAACUUUUACAUCUUCUCAAAAUAUUGAAAUUUAAACAUCACAUAAAAUUGGAUUUUCACCAAAUGUUUAUCGGAGCUUUAUUUUAAGCUGGACCACAUCUUAUAGUCAAUAACUUUUGUUUCGGAAAUUUGCAAAGUAUUUAAGACAAACUUAUUUUGUUGUCCUCCAAAUAUGGUCAAAACAUCAUGAUUACAUACAAAGCAAAAAGAAUUACUGACUAUGCUGUAGUUUGAAACCCAGAAGCCGCCGCUGCCAUCUACCUACUGUAAUCUAAUAUGCCACAUGUGUCCUGAUCCCUGUGUCAAGCUACACCGACCGACCAUCUUCAAGUGCUGACUGAAGAAGGUGUUCCUCCUAGAUAGAAGGCAGCAAGCGUCCAGGAGUUGGAGCAGCCAUCGAUGCCCAAGAGAGCAGCGUGUCCAAUGAUGAGGCCUCUGUGUCGAGCAGAGGUGGUUUGAUAAGCAGACGUUUCUCCUUUCCAUCUAAUUUCUAUUAACAAUUCCUUGAUUUUAUAAUGAUAACCUUCUAUUUAGAUUAGCAUCCAGAUAGCAACUCAGACAUUAUAAUCAACCCAUUGAUAAACAUUCAGUCUGACAUUCUUGCUAUAUCUUGUUGUGUAAGUAAUUCAGCAAAAUUCUUUUCCAUUGAGCUUUUCUGAAAACCAUCUAAGGCUUAGGAACCUGGAACUUUUGAAUUGCAAUGUGCGAUAGCUUAAAUCAUCAUGGUUUUUAAGGACAUUGACUGUUGUGUGGUUGCACUUGGUUUUCCUCUGAAUUCUGAAAGUAAAAGUCAAGUACACAAAUACAGAGGAUGUUGCAAGCUAAUUCUAGUUCUAUAUGCCUGUGAUUAGAAUGUUAGUUCUGAGCAUUCUCAAUUUAGGAUUUCCAUUCAAUAUAUGGUUAUCAUGAUAUGAUUUUGCAGCAUUACUAUUAUGUAGUCUCUACUCUAAUUUUUACUCAAUGUAUCUGCAGGAGUUUAACAGAGAAAUAAGGUUUACAUCAAGACUUUGAUCCAAAGAAAUCAUCUGCAAGAUUGAGGAAGCUGCAAAAGUGUCAAGUUCUUAAUUAGUUAAUGGUUAUUGCAGAUAGUCUCAGUUCAUAUCAUAUUUUAACUAUCUAUGUAUUUGAAUAGAGAGACAUGUGAUAUAUUUUAUCCAGUACAAUUUUCAUAAAGUACAGGCAAAUGUUGUCAUAUAUUUUUGUUGGUUAAAUUUAAGUUUUGCGGUCUUCAGGUUUUGGUUUCAGAAAGAAUCUAACGUUCUCAUUUGGACAGCAUGCUUAGUUUGAAUGUGACAGGUUUUUUUAUUUUUUGAGCUAUUUGUUAUAUCCUUGAAUUGCUACCCCUUGUUUAGCAUUUUUUUAUGUUACUCACUUUCCUAUUCACUUGCAUUUUAUGUUUUUAUUAAACAUAUGUAUCAUCGGAUGAUCCUUCAUGUAUACAUAUUGCUGGUUUGUCCAAGUCAACAGUUAUAAACCAACACCCUGGGAAAGCUUCCAAAUAGCAAUGGGGAAGUUACCCCAUGCGGGGAUAUCCCCCCAGCAGGUGGACGGGGAUUGCCUUGUCCAAAAAAUUCCCUCCCACCUGAUCAUUUCCCUGGGUUAAUCACCCUGUGGCUGCCAAAGUAGCCCUAAUGCAGUAUUUAUGCUUCCUUUAUUGUGUAUAAUAUAGUAUACAUAUAGAGGUAUAUAUAUAGGUAUAUGUCCUGAUAUACAUGGACGACGUCUGGUCGGUCCCAGGUCGAUCAGGUUCGACCAGCCGACCUGAAAACAUUGGCGAGCCUAUCAAUGCGGCAUGCUGAGCCCAUCCACGAGGCCCUUCGAGCCCAUCUACACGCUGCCACCGCUGCUCGCCCAAUCCGUGCGCUAUCACCGCUCCUUGUCAGAUCCACACACGUCGCAGCCCGGUCCUAGAUGUCAGCCACAAGCCCAGAUGCCGCCCUUGAUCUGUGUCAGCCGUCGCGAGCCUCAUGCCGCCGCCGCUGCUGGAGGGGCUCGGCCCGAGACCCCGCACUACCGCUGAUGGAGCGUCGUGGUCCGCGCAAGCCCUGCCAACAGAGCAUGGUGGGCUCUGCGCGAGCACUACAGCCUAUGAGAGAGAAAGGAUGGAGGUGUGGCGUGUGUGAGGGACGGGAGUGAAGGGGCCAGCAAUGGCAUGCCUUAUAGAGUUAUAGUUAGGGUUUGCUAAGGGAGCUAGAUUGGGCCAAAUGGAUUUGACACAAUAAACCGCAGUGGCCAUGCCAGCCAGCCCCAGAUUCCCUUCCUGGGCAAACCCAAUCCUAACCCUAAAGCUAACUAAUAAACCGGGGCUGCAGCCAAAUAGAAACAGGACAACACGGAUCUGAGGCUUAAACGCGACCAAAGAAAUUUGGCAAUCAGUCAAAUGGAAUUCAAGCAAUCCAGCAGGUGGACAAUUCAGGUGAUUGGGUCCAACUAAAUUAGCAUGCCCCAUUAAUUCCACAGAUCCGUAAUUCCUGGGGCCAAUACAACAGCCGUGGUGUUCAGGUCAGGUCAGGUCGCCUAUCUCGACAAACCCUAACCAGUCGAGCCCGAAUAACAAGGAGGAGGAGGCUGGAGGAGGAGAUUCCUUACCUCGGUAGGUGCGGAGCUGCUGAGGAUUUGCCUUGCCUGAAGACACCGCUGCUGCUCCAGGGGCUGCCGGAGCCGGAGCCGGAGCGAGCGGGCAGCAGACCGGAGCAUCGCCGCCGACGCCAUAGGCGAAUGGUGUGGGAGGCGCGGAGGUGGUGCGGGACGGGGGAGUGCGAGACGAGCGAGUCUCUCGUGGUUAUAUGCGGUCGUGCCUCGUGCGAGCGAAUUUCCAACGUGGCUCGCUGACGGGUGGACCAUAGGUUCUGGGCGCGUGAGCCAACAGGCCCAACACCGCGCGCCCGGGCGUCGGGGUGCGGCCGUGCGGCAUUGUAUUUUCACUGGCCAGUGGACCAUGGGGCGCAUAGACCCACGGGCCGUGAGGACGGGUGUGCAACUGCAAGCAAGGCGUGCGUGGUCUCGACGUUUGUUCGGGCUAGUGGAACGGGCUUGGGGCGAGUGGAACCAUGCCAAUUUUCCUUUCAUCUUUUUUUUCCUUCGACUCAUUGGUUUCAUUUGGGUUUUAGGUCUUGUUUGAAUCUAAAGUUAUUAAUCCUUUUUAACUUCUGUGGUACAAACAAUUAAAAUGUGUAAUCACUUGCAGUGUUUACGUCGUAUAGUGCUAAUAAAUGAUUGAAUUUUUCUAACGCAAGAUCUGAAGAAUGAGUCCCUUUUGGACAAUAUAUUGAUAUAAACACCUGCAGGAUCGAGGUGUUCAAACAUGCACGCCAUCGUCCUUGAUGGUGCCCCUUCAUGCUUUUGGUUCAAUACUGCAGAAUGAGUUUUUAGCUAUUUUCAUUGUUCCGUAAAUGCAUUGUUAUGGAAAUUUAGGGGCAUUAUUGAUCCUAAUUUUAUCUGUUAUACACUUUUUUGGGUUAGAUUCGAAUCCUUGGACUUGCCUUCUUCUUGACACCGAGGAAGUUCAAACUGUAGCCAUGGUUGUCUUGCAUGUGGCAUGCAAUCAGGUUUAAUGCAAUUUUGAAACACCACUCUUACAGCCAUCUAUAAGAGCAUCUCCUAGAGUCUUUGCAAAUCUCACUCUCUACAUUUAGAGAACCAUUUCUAUAAAAAUCACUUUCUAUAUUUCUUCACUCUCCAACAGCUUUUCUAUUCUCGUGGGCACUCUAGAGAGCCGUUCUCGUCUUCUAUUUUAGGCUAGAGAAAAAUCUGAAAUAAAAGAUGGCUUUGCAUAACCAUUUACACAAACUGUUGAAGGAUAAUUUUUCACCAAAAUAUAUAUUCCUAGUAUUUAGGAAGAAUUUAUAUAGUCUUUUGGAGUUGCUCUAAUACCUUUUUUCUUAAUAUAUUGGUGCAACUGACCUAUUUUGUUGGUGAGAAGUGAUGCUGUUGCAUAAGCUAGGCUACCAAUAUGUAUGGUUACAUGAUAUACUAUCUUUAUGUGCUACUCAAAGUAUCUUUUAUUUUACAUAGUGUCAUUGAUCUAAAAUGCCAAAACACGUGGCAGAGAAAAAUUACAGCAUGUGUUAACCAUUUGGAUUUUGUGAUAGUUUCUGAAUUUUAUUUGCAGCCAAAGAUGUAUGCACAAAGUUGUGGGUGAUUCUGAGCAUUUCCCUACUUGAAAAAAGUUUGCUUAUGAGAUCUAUAUAAUUGAAACUGCAUAUGCAAGUAAUCGUGUAUAUUUCUUUUUGACUCUACCAGCUAUCAAGUAGAGUGAAGAAUCAUGUCUUUUUAUUUUUAGUAGUGUGCUGAAAGCCAAUGUGGACGAUUUAUUGUGAGGCUUUUAGUAGUAGAGAUUUAUAUUAUCUUCUAUGGGCAAUCAGAAAACAUGUAGGCCUUCUUUAGAUGCACAUAUAUCUACAUUAAACCAUAAGGGUUACGACUUACGAGGCGGGCAUUGCAACCGCCUUCAAUCAAUGCUCACGGUUAAUCCAUGAUCUAUGGAGGCGGUUGUUUUACCCGCCUCCAGAAAUCAAACAUGAAAAACAAAAAAAAACCAAUGGAUAGGCCCGACAAGCCCAUCCACGUCUCGCCGAGCCCAUCCAAGUAUUGCGCACCCCGACUAUCGGCUGGAUCUGUGCAUUUGUCACCAUCGUCGUCCCUGGAUCCGGUCGCACUGCCCUCGAUCUGCUGCCAGGGAUGCCACCACCAUCAAUCCGCAGCCGGAGGGCGAGCACGCCCUAGAUCCACCACCGGAGGAUGCCACCACCCUUGAUUUGCUACUCACGGAUGCCACCACCCUCGAUCCACCGUCGGAGGAUAGGCACGCCUAGGAUCCGCCACCAAUGAGCGUGCCUACCCUAUCCACCAUCGGGGAGCGCCACAAACCUCCUCGCGCGUGGAUCUCGUCGACCUUCGCCUCCUCGCACCGGAUCGCGCGAAGCCGCAGAAUUCCAAUCUCAUCAGGGCUGCGAGCUCGGUGGAUGCGCUGCUUGCUCCUGGUUGCGUCGCCGCCCUCGAGAACCGCACGGCACUGCUCCUCGAGGACUGUGUGUCGCCGCUCUAGGGCUAUGUGUCGUCGCCAUCAUGGAAGAGAAGGGAGCUGAGCGGACCAGAGGAGGUAGGAGGGAUGGAGGCGAGUGUACCAGAGAAGGGAGAGGGAGUGAGGCUAGCACACGACGAGGGAGAUGGAAGGGGGGAGUAAGGCCAACACACGGAGGGAAAGGUAGUGUGGCACCGAUACGAGUGAGCAAGGGUUAGGGAGUAGGCUUGAGGCUAAAAACCUUAAAAGGGUGUGUAUAUAUAUACAUGUUUUUGUAACUAGGCCUCUUGGGCUUUGCUUGGGCUCAGAUUUUAGGAGACAAGCCUUAUAUGGUGUCCGCCUUCGAAAAUCUAUUUGUGGAGGCGGUUAUACUAAAACGAUCGCCUCUGGUGGGCGUUGGCUAAUGGCAGCCCUCCCCCCCCAAAAAAACGAUCGCCUCCAGAAAUAUAAAUUUUUUUGAGACAGUUGUUUUAAAAAAGAUUGCCUCCAUAAAUCAAUUUUACGAGGCAGGUAAUAUAGUUCUCGUACACUUUAUGUUGAUCCAUUAUUUCUUUUUGGCUUCAGAUGUAUGGUAAUGGAGUCCAUUGUUACACAAGAUAGUGAACUGGUGUUAUCUAAUAUACUUAUGAUUUUGGUCAAGAAUCACGACAACCAGCGUGUUUGCCUUGCUGCUGGGAUAUAUUCGAUGGAUCAACAUAGGAUUUUGGUCAAGAAUCACGGCAAGUUGUAAUUCGUCGUGCCUUUUUAGAUAUGGCUUUAUCUAAAUAUGUUUCUCAAACACAUGUUCUUUGUUCAAAGUAUGUCUGGGUGUAUCAUGCUUAAAACCACACCGCAUGAAAUGAAGAUGACUUAAGAAUAUUUCAGAAUGUCUAGCUAAUGCUCAGAUAGACAAUCUCCUAAAUAGAAAAUCACUAUUACCCAAUAUAUAUCUCAGAAUAAACCCCACUAUCCAAUUCUUUUGACAUGCAAAGCAUCCACAUCAUCAUCCACUAGAGCAUCCCACUAAUUAUUUCUCUUGCCAUGCAAAGCGUCCACAUCAACAUCCACUAAAUCAUCCCACUAAUACAUUACCCCACCAUGCAAAGUGUUUACAUCAUUAUCCACUAAUAAAUUGAACUAACACAUAUCAUUAUCCUGUAUCUAUGUUAUUCACAUUAGCAAACCAUAUCAUUCUCUAACAUAUAUUUAGUUGUCUAUGUUAAAAUACUAAAAAUCAUCCACUAACAUAUAUUAGUCUACGAACGCCUUGCACCCGUCCUUGGCCAUCUCUGCCGUCUCCCCAAACCCGCCCAUCCCCUUCCCGCCGAUGGCGCAAACCCUAGGUAUAAUGAAGCCAAUACAUAAACAAUUCGGAGGUCGCAAACCCUAUGUUUAAAAGAUUCGUUUUGUAAAUUAUAAAUAAACUGUAUAAAUAGUCAUUUUUUAUUUAUAUUUAAUGCUUUAUGCAUAUGUCAUAAUAUUCGAUGUGAUAGAAAAUUUUAAAAAUUUUGCAAUUUUUUUGGAAAGUAAAACCAAGGUCUCUGACUUGCACGGUUCGUUCAAAGCCCUGUCAAAAACCCCACACCAGAGCCCCCACACGGCCACGCCACUCACUCCAGUACUCCCCACUCGAGCCGACGCAAUUUCGCACCCGAAGUUCCAAACCCCGCCGGCCGCCGCGUCCCUUCCACUUCCUCCUUACCCCAAUGGCGUCGUCAUCGAGGGCGACGUCGUCGCGCCGUUCCGUCUUCGACGCCGCCUACAUCCGCUCGGAGUUUUCUGCGGCUGGCAUCUCCGGCCACUUCAUCCCUCUCAUCUGGAAGUACGCCUCUUUACGCCAAAUCACAGGCGCAUGCCACAAUCCCCGCCCGCCCGUCUCCCUCCCUUUCUCCAAUUCCCAAGUUUUUUUUAUAUAUAUUUCUGUUUAACCUGAGGAGUGAUUCUCUCUGCGUGCGCAGGUACGUACUUCAGAACCCUAGGUGCAGCGACCUGGAUGGCGUCCCGUCGCUGCCGGCGGCCGCGUACGCGCUCCUCCGGCAGAAGUUCCGGCCGACCACGUCGACGCUAACCGCUGCCGCGGACUCCAAGGACCGCACCACGACCAAGCUCCUCAUCUCCCUGCAGGUAAUUUGCACAUUCACAAAUGUGGCAUGUGGCGUGCGAGUCCACUGGUGUUUGGGGAUUAUGCGAAAUUGGGAAUAUGUUGUAGUCUCCCCGGUUAUUUCGGUAGCUACUUUUGCAUUUGGUUCAUUGUCCGUGGACAUUAGAAAUUUUCUCUUGGUGAUGUGAGCUUAUGAAACAUAUGCUUGUUUGAUUACUCCGUCAGGAAUGGAAUGGUUGACACAUGCAUAAUUGAUUAGCCUCAUGGGCACUAUUUUAGGGAUUGAAUUCACCCUGAUUGUCUCUGAUAGAGUAGGCAUUAGAAAACAGUACUUUUGUUUCGUGUUUAUGUGGUUUUCCAAUGUUUGUGGAAGAUAAUAGCAUACCUUGAAAUACCUAAUCUGUGUAGUUUUAUGUUUUUUUUAAGAUCAAUUCAUCAUUAUUGUUGUCUUGGAUGUAAUAGAGCUGCAAUACAAAUAGGGAGCACCAAGAUACAGAUAUGCACUAUCUUGUACUAACUUCUACAGAUUCAACCUGCAGCACCUGAACCAUCCAGUUAUUGAAUAUUUAUAGCAAAGACAAGUAUAACUAACAAGCAGGACCUUUUGCCCCUCCUUCCGCGAAUAAAAAAGAAAAAAAGAGAGAAGUAUAACUUAAAUGCUUGACUUGUUCCUAAUAUUAACUCUACCAACUGUUGUGGAGGAGCAUUUAUUUUCUGUUGCUAUUUGGCUAGAUAGUAGGAGGUUCGAGUCAUCUUAAAAAAUGUACAGCUUAAGCCAUAUAUAUUUGAUAUUUCAUUCUCGUUAUUUGGAUUUUAUAUUUCACACUUGUAUCCUUUAGUUUCUUUGCCCUUUGGCUCUAUAUCUGUAGUUUUUCAGUCAUCUUCAAAAUGAAUAGAUAAAGAUAUAAUGGUUUCAGUCCUUAUAAUAUGUUAUAUGACUUAUGGUAGCAUCUUCUGUAUUAGAUAGCCUGUAACUUUGCGAUUUAAAUUCUACUCCCUUUUUUUUGCAUAGUGAACUCCUUACAGGUGGACAUCAUUUCUUGCAAGCUACAAUUCUAUUUCAGACCGCCUCCUUUUCUUUUUUAACUUGGCUGUUGUUUAUCUAAUUAUUUUAUGUCUGUGCAUUGAAGAAGUUUUUAACCACAAAUUUGCCAUUUUUUUGUUGUAAGAGUUUUUUCUUUUCAGAUUUUGUAUUUUUUAACAUUGAAGAACAACUUAUUGGACUUCAAAUUUGUGGUGUAGAAUGGAGAGUCUGUAGAGGCAGUGGUCAUGCGAUAUGACACACGACUGGGGAAGUAUGAUGGAAAGCCUCGGCCUGGUGGACUGCGCUCAACCCUUUGUGUGUCAUCACAGGUGAAUAUAUUUCUAUAUUGGAUGUCAGGUGCUCAAGUCUGGAUGAACUUGUUUCUAAUGGUUUAACACCUUUUACCAGAAGACCUGUUCAUAACUUAAUUCUCACCAGUGUGUUAUGAUUCUUGGUAAACUUGUUACUCUAUUGUUAUUUGGUGACUUUGGCUCGGUAGAUAGCCCAGCCGGGAACGAAUCCCAAGCAAUGAGACCAAGAGAAUGCAGAAUGUCUACUAAAGAGCUCUCUCAAGUCUUUCUUUCUACAAUACUAAACAGGUUGGGUGCAAGAUGGGCUGUAGAUUCUGUGCUACUGGAACAAUGGGCUUCAAAAGCAAUCUGUCUUCUGGAGAAAUUAUAGAGCAGCUGGUCCAUGCAUCCCGCUAUUCUCAGAUCCGAAAUGUUGUUUUCAUGGUAAUUUUCACUCAAGUAGUAGCAAUUGCCUGAAAUUUCUAUGUAAGAAAGAAAAAUUGUGGCAUUUGAAUGCGAUGAUUAUGCAUCUUUUGUGAUCCCUUGUAGUGUUGUUUUCAUCUUGAUUAUGCUGAUCAGAUUUAACUUGUUACUUGGUUUUGUCAUUGAUUCUGUGAACAAAUAAGCUCAGUAAGAUCCAUAUAUUGGAAAAUGACAUCCAUUACUUCAUUCUUUUGCCAACAAGUAUCACAUGCCAUCCUCACAUUAGAUUGUAUUCCUAACUUGACCAUUGUGACGAUACUGAGCAUUAUUACCCUGGUAGUUGUAUAUACUUUACAUUGGGGGCAAUUUACUUACAGACAAAAUGCUUCAUUUUGCAAGUAUCACCACUGCAGAAAUGGGAAAUUAUUCCUGCAAAGUUUACAUGAAUAGAAUGAAUGCCAGAAUUUUCUUAGCUAGUUUGCUUGAUUUAUGGAUUGAGCUGGCAAUAUGUUGAUCUGUUUUUCUUUUGCUGGUGAGUGGUGACAAUGGUUCUUGUACAAAUUCCUGCUGGUAUUACAGUUAUCCCUUGUUACCUAUAAUUCUCAAAAACUAGUGGUAUGCUGUUUGAGUUAGUUUCUAAAUUAUUAUAGGUUUAUUCUUUCAUGUUCAUGUUCUCUGGCACUUAUAGCUUAUGUGCUUUGCUGAUUCUUUGAUAUAGAAAUUAGAAACACUGCUUUGCUGAUUGCUAAAAAAUCGUGGGUCGCUAAAUGUUUGUGCAUGUUUAACUUUAAAAUUGCAAAUUAUUAUCUACAUAUGUGAACAUCCUUGGAACUGGGUGGUGUCAUGUCAUUAUUGAGAAGAACCAUGAUAAAUGAAUUCUAUUUGAUGUUUGUUAUAACAGUAUUAGUGUCCUCCAGAGGUUAGCGAGGUGUUAUUUAUAUGCAGGGAAUGGGGGAGCCGAUGAACAACUAUAAUGCUUUGGUUGAAGCAAUCGGAGUGUUUACAGGAUCUCCUUUCCAGCUUUCACCUAAGAGAAUUACUGUAUCUACUGUAAGCAUACUUAGUCACCUUUGCAUGUGAAAUCACAUUCUCAAGAUUUUUGUUGAAGCACUAUAUUUUGUUAGUAGUGAAAUAUUCUUAUAAACUAUAUGUUGUUUAGUGGCGGCUGUUACACUUCUGAAUGACCUAAUGAAUUUCUGCUGUGAUAAACCACACAAUGGUGAAUCCGUCAAAAGCUUUUUAUUUAAUUGUGCAAAUAUAACUUGAUAAAUUGUGUAGCAGGCCAGUUGUAUAUUCUUUGGAUGAACUGUUCUAUUCCCCCUUGUUGCUAGCAAGUAUAUCUUGUUUUAGCACUUGUAGGAUUUAAACGUUAACAUUUAUUAUAAAAUACAGUUAUUACAUAAGAUAUGUGGUCUGAUGCCAAACCUUUUUUUUCACUUACGUUAUUGCUGCUUCUAGGUUUAUAAUAGAAUUCAUUGUCAUGUUGUGUGGUAAAAACUUUUCUAUGCAUGUUAAUUUUAUUUAUAUGUUUGCUCAUUUAUCAAGCCAAAUUUUCCAUAUUAGCUUUGAAGCCAUGGUGUGUUUUGCCACUGUAUUUUUUGCUAAAAGUUUGUUUUAAGAUUGAACUUUUGAAUUAGAGAAGCUGAUAGAUUGAUUUUUCUUAAUAAUUACUGCAGGUCGGAAUCAUUCAUGGAAUCAACAAGUUCAAUGCAGAUCUUCCAAAGGUGAAUUUAGCUGUGUCAUUGCAUGCUCCUGACCAAGAUAUACGCUGUCAGAUAAUGCCUGCUGCACGUGCCUUUCCUUUAGUAAAGUUAAUGAACGCGCUGCAGUCCUAUCAAAAUGAGAGGUGAGAUUACAAUAACGCAUCUCUUACCAGUGUCAAAAUGUUAGCAUGGAGAUUUGAUUUCUGAUUACCCUUUCAUGUUUUAUCACAGCAAACAGACCAUCUUUAUUGAGUACAUUAUGCUUGAUGGAGUUAACGAUCAGGAGGAGCAUGCUCAUCAGCUUGGUAAACUGCUUGAAACGUUCAAAGCGGUGAGGCACUAUUACAUUACUUCAUUUUAUCAUUAUUACUUUGCUCUAGUUCCUUUGUAGUCACUUCUUUUUGCAAGAUGUCUAACGAGGCAGUUUUGUGUCGUUAACUUCUUGUGUUCAUUAUUCAAUCCAUUUUGUAUUGCCUCCACCAGUCUUACUUUUCCAUAUUUCCCUAUCUGUUUGCUUUUGACAAUUGCCAUUUCUGUUUAGUAAUCCUGGUACUCCAAAUUUCUUCUAGGUGUUUGUCGUCCACUCCUGUUUUUAUGUGUUUCAAAAUUUUUGCAAUAACUUACUAGUGUAAUUUUUGUACACUGAGCCUAUUAAUACCAAGUGAUGGUCAAGACAUAUGUAGGUAGCAGUACUUGUACAUUCACCUUUGUGUAUGGAAAUGGAGUGAUCAAUAUGUUCUCUAAACUACCAACAGGUUGUCAAUCUAAUACCAUUCAAUCCAAUUGGGUCAUUAAGCAAUUUCAAGACAAGCAGUGACCAAAAUGUGAAGAAGUUCCAAAAGGUUCUAAAAGGCAUCUACCACAUCAGAACCACUGUUCGCCAGCAGAUGGGUCAAGACAUAGCUGGUGCUUGUGGCCAGUUGGUGGUUAGCCUCCCAGAUGAAAGAUCAGCUGGUGGAGCAACCCUGUUGUCAGACAUCGAAGACCUUCGGAUCUGACCUCUCCCAAUUGUUACUUCUAUCUUCUCAAAACCAGAUCGUCUUACUAAUUAGCCUUACAUGAUAUGGUAACUAGUGCUAUAGUUUCAGUCAAGCUUUAAAACAUGGAGAUGUUUAGUUUGACCAUUGUUGUGUUUCCCUUUUGUUCUGGGAUGCACAAUUUUGCUGUAAACACAAUGGUGAAGACUCCUGCUCGUGUGGAUAGGUGGCCACUGAAACGGUUGGUAACUUGGUAUUGUAAAUGGGACAAUGUUAUCGCAACAAUGCCAUGGUCAGCUAUAAUGAUAUGGUAUCUUCUGUCUAAGACGACUUUCCUGUCAGAUCUCAACGAAUAUCUGAUGUUUUUCCUCUCUUAUUUGCAGCUUUUCAUUGCCAUUAGCAAGUUGGUCGGGUUGGAAUUGUGCCUUCGUUUUAUGCUUUAUUCAGAUUCCGUGUCGGUGGGCUGUAUGUAAUGGUGGUGGCAUGGGCUUGGUGCUGCUGCAGCGUGUUAUCUUUGAAAAUGUGAACCCAAUUGCUGGAAAUCAUGUGAGAUUGUCAGGAGCGGGACAAGGCGAAACAUAUGAGCUGUGUUGUUUGGUUCUUAUGCCCUCUUUAUAUCCACCUAGCUAACUAUUAGCUGUGUUAGCUGGGAAAAGGCAACUAAUAGCUUAUUGUCGAGAGAAAUCAGCUAAUAACUGCUAACUGUUAUCUAGGUGGUAGGUAAGACAUUAGCUGAUAUUAUUUGAGGAUCCAAACAUGUUUCUAGCUAAUUAUUAAUACUUUCUCUAUGUCACCUAUGGUUUAAAGACUAAGAACGCAUUUAAUUCUCUCGCAACAUUAGUACUAUUGUAUUAAUAUAUUUGAUAGAGCACGCCUUAUAUUAGAGCAAGUAUAAUUGCAGGCUGUAAGUCGGCUAAAUGCUGAGGUGGAGGAUAGAAGAGAGUAGAAGCGGGCUGUACAAUAGGCUCAGACAUAAGAACCAAGGAAGUUUAAGUUUGUGAAAGAGACAAGUGAGCCAUGUAUUAAUAGUGAUGAGGUAACCAUUAUAUGCUGCAAAGAAACCUUAGAGAUUGGCUAUAUUAUUAGUCUUGCUCUUAUAGGAUAUGAAAAAAAUGAUUAUGUGUUAUAUAUUAGGACGAAGGGAGUAGCUGACUAUUGGUCGUAGCACCCAAAUAGACUCUUAGUUCCAGUGCGCGCUGAUCAUCGCUUUCCACGUCUUUGCGUGAGGACUCGUUCCAGUGCGCGCUGUUCAUCGCUUUCCACGUCUUUGCGUGAUAAGUGCUUGCUGAGCCAGAACCAACAUUGGCAAAUUGGCUCUGGACUCUGGUGUUUGCUCAUGUAAUACAUUAUUGUUUACUAGCUAGGUGGUUUGUGCAACAAUGGAUGCUUGGUAGUUGGUACCUAUAACCUAUUUCAUUCAGUCUUUGAGAUGCAUGGUGUCUACGAUCAUUGCAGGAAACAAGUCGAGCCAGAAAUUGGGGAAAUCCCAGUCGCCUUGUGGCCAAGGCCAGAGCGAGCUCAGCGAAGAUGACGUGAAACAAUUUGUGGCCAAGGAGGUACUGUUAUUUUCUUGAGCUAGAAAAUGUUUGCUUCCUUUUGAAUUCACGUUCUGAUGCUGAAUCUGAACAUUAGCAAUGGAAUAGCAAUAGAACUCAUCAAAAUAAAUAAAGAAACAAAUACAUGCGUUUGUCCUCUUUUUUUCCCCAACCUUUUGACAGAGGGACCUUCUGCUCCAGGUGAUCUACUACAAGAAAGUCCGGGAAGUGACCUUCGUCGACAAGAUCUCCAAGGCCCCAUCGGGCAAGAUAUUGCGCAAGGAGCUAAGGAAACAGCUUCAGCAGCAGCAUCAAGUGGUGUGAUUAAAAAGAAAAAGAACCCGUGUAUCGUUCUACUUAUUCUAUGAUUUGUUUGGAUGUCGACAAAUGGAGGAAGAAUUUUAUCGGAGUCACAAAAGUUUUAUCUCUUGAUGCGUAAUGUAUUUAGCUAAAUGGUGAGGCAGGGAGGCUUGAUGGAAUGUAUAUGGAUAUUGGAUUUGCGAAGGUACACCAUAUUUGGGGUGCCUGCGUUUAGUGUAUCUGGUCUAGUUGGUGGUGGUGAUGGUGCCGUGAUGUGUCCACCUCAUAAUGUUCAUUUUCCUCUCACAUACAAUUUCCAUCAUUGUAGAUUAAAAUCUAAUACAUUUUGCUAUAUUUUUCAUUCUAUUAUUCAACAUAGCAUAUAACUGCCCCUGUUCACCCACGUUCAAAUCCUUCCCUUGAUUUAGCAUGGUCUUUUUUUUAGAUUUAUUCUAGGAUUUACAUGGUGUUUGCUUCAACCAGUGGUAAUGCAAAAUGGUAACUAAAUUAGGUUACAUUGCAUAAGGGUGGGCUCAAUCUUUUUUGAAAGGAACGGGCUGGGGAGCUACCCGCUAUAUUAAAUAGAAAAAACAGGUAUGAUACUAGAUGCAUAGCAAAAUAGAUGGACUACAAAAGUCAAAUCGACUUAUAAUUUAGAACGGAGUAUAUAAUUAACACAUGAACAAAAAUUCAAAAAGUGCGCAUGACCUAAUGGAUAAGGCAUCUGACUUCUAAUAAUAAGGCGAUUGUUCGUCGAGUCCCACUGGGUGUAAAUAUAUACUUCUUAUUAAAAAAUAUUUAUUUAAAUAAUAAUUUAUUUGAUUUUUUAAAAUGUACAACAUAACUAACUUUUUGUGUUGAAAAAAAACGUCGAAAACCUUUUGGCACUACACCUGCCGCUGGUAUUUAUUCCCUUUACUUUGCCAUUUGUGGAACCAAACAUCACCUGAUGGUUAACUGAUGGCCUGAAACUUAGGUUGUCAUCACAAGAUAAAACUCCGAAAGUUUGCUCUCAAUCACUCCCAGCCGAUCGAGUCAAUUGAGCUCACAAAGCCUGCGGUGUACUUUGAGGAGUUGUCGAGUGCAGCUAUCUUCGGGCGUGCAUGGACCACACAUGAGGUAUAUCACGUUACCCAGGGGCCUAAUAUAAAUAUCAUCCUCUUUGCGGAGCUGUUGCACCAAGGAACUUGCGUAGAGUGAAGCGUACCUAUAGAGAGAACAGCAUGAAACUCAUAGCAUAGCGGUAAAUAACAUUCCAGCAUCCUUUUAAAAAAAAAUAACAUUCCACCAUAAAUUAUCACAAUCAAGCACAAAAGUUAGCCCAAACUGGAAGUGUAAGAACUAUUCACCAAAUUAAGCCACAAUGCACCAUGAGGAGAACAAGCAAGAGUCAAAUGAACUCAUGGGUAGAGCAGAAAAUACUGUGGUUUGUGUUACUACACAACCAAAGGAAUGACCAGAUCCAUCAUUGUUUGGUGGUUCUAGCACAGUUGUGUAUAUGAAUCUGUUAUAUGUGGCAUUGAGUACCAAAUUAGGAAGAAUCAAGCUGCUAAGGUGGAGGCUGCGGCUCAGAAACCAGUAGGGUUGGCCUAUACAGCAGAUGAGGUUUGACUUCCUUAUCUGUUAUGUUCAGUUAGUUAUGUUCUGAGGCUUCGCUACUUGUCUUGUUCCGAAUAUGAGAUGAACCAUUAGGCAGACAGCUGGCUAUAUAUGAUUUUUUUUUCAAAACAGCUGGCUAUAUAUGAUAGCUGUCAUUACAAUCCAGGUCAAUCAAUAUUAUAAUGAUACGCAUGUGCAGCUCUCAUGCGUAUUCAAGAGAAAAAAGAAGCAAUUUCAUAUUACUAUAGGUUCAGCUAAUCAGCUAUACUUUUCAUAUUGGGACCACAACAUUGUGGUGUCCAACAGUAGGAGUACAGGACUGCAAGAUUUACAUUCAAAUGGACGCUGAAGACGCUCUGGACUACUGCAUCUCCACGUUCACUCCAUCCUACUGACCCCCCCUGUGGCGCAUAUGGGAGGUGCGUAACAAGUCUUCCGGUAUGCAACGUUUGUUGUGUCAGGUGAAUAAUCUCAGCCUUGUAACGACCUAGACAUCUGGUCUCAUCAGUUUGUAUCCUAAACAGGAGAAGGGAGCUAUCCGCUGUUGGAGAUGGUUCCUAAUAAGUGCCUGUAACUCCCAACGCUGGCAUGGGCUAACUUUGGCAGCUUGGCUUGGCCACAUUUUAGGAGUGCCACCCCACCCCCCACCCCACCACACCUCACUCAACCAUUUGAUACUAGGAACACAAAAACAGUUUCAAUAUAAUCAGAUUUUUUAUACCAAGAAAGUAUUCUCGAGCAAACUAAACUCCAUAGGACCAUAACAAAACUCUGUGCAGCAAAAGAUGCCAAACUACUAACUAGUCAUCAUUGGAUCCUCUUUUAAAAGUUUUUUAUGCCAAGAAAAAUACUAAAAUUCGUCAGUGAAGCUUAAAAAAAUAUAAUGACUCAUUCAUAUGCGACAUACCCAGCAUCAGAUCCCUCAGCCUUGAGCUCAAUUGCACAGAUAGUUCCUAAUGAGACCACUCUUUUCACAUUCGGUAGUGACGAUAACUGCUUAACAAGCGUGCCAUCCCACAACUGUAAAUUGAGAGUAAACCAUAUCAGUUAUCUUUUGAAGGGCAUAAUUACAUGCAUUAAUUGGCAAAAUAUAAUAUUAAGAGAAAGGACAUGCUCUUAUUCUCCUUCAAAUGAUAUUAUACUUGUAUAAUAAAUACGAUUCAGAUACAAGUGUUCUUUAAGAACUCCAUGGCUUCAAAAAAAUAAAUAUGUGUACUUAUGUAACGGCAGUAUAUCAUAUAUCAAAGAGGUAAGGACACUCAAAAGGAGUAUCACAGACCAUAGUUUGUCUAUCUUAGUUUGAGCUAUUCUAAAAUUCAUGUGAGUUACUCCCUCCAUAAUCUUUUCUAAGGCGUAUCCACGGGUUUUCAGAUACGAGGUGAAAGAUUAAUGAAACAAUGAACUCAGCGCGGCCACGUCGUUGCCACAGAUUGGUUCUGCCAACUGCAUGUAUAUGCAUGCAUACAUGCAACACUCCGCAGCCUGAUGGAAGCCAAAGGCAAGCACCUGAUGGGAUGAAUGCAUGCAAAACAAUGUUUGGAAUUUGAAGCGCAGCAGUAACUGCCAGACGCUUGGUCGGAUGCUGCUUUGAAUCUAUCGGAGGAUGCCUCGGUGCGUCGUCCAUGACUUACAUAACUUCAAAAAUGUAAAAUCUGCAUACGCCUAAGAAAAGAUUAAGGAGUACUUUAAAUAACCAGUUCUACCUACUCAAACAGCAUAUUUCAUUACCUCCUUGAGCUUCAUGUGGUCAGCAUCAAGGUUCAAAUUAGUGGAUGGAUCCCGGUACCACUGCAUAGCUUUUAGUGCUGCAGUACAGCCCAUGGCAUGAGCAGUGUAGGAAUGGCCAUGUAAAAGUGCCGUGAGCUGGACCAGGUAAAAGAUAGAAUCAGUGCUAAACUGUAACGAUGCAUUCUUUUGACAUAACAUAAACGAUCAUGCAUUCAUGCUUCAAGAUGGUUGAGACCAAUUAUGCAUUUACAUUCAAGAUGAUUACCUUAGAGUCACCUUCGAAGGAUUCAAAAACUUCCUCCGUUGCUAAGGUUGCAGCUAAUGGUACAAUUCCCCCAGUCAUCAAUUUCGCAUAGCAGGCGAUAUCAGGUAGACAACCAAGUAACUCUGAAGCAGACUGAAAGAGAAGUUAUCAAGAUUAUGAAAUACAGACAACAUAUCUAUUUAUCCUCUGAAAAGGUUAUGAGAUACAGACAACAUAUCUAUUUAUCCUCUGAAAAGGUAUUGUCAAGUAUUACCUCCACACCAAGACGCCAGAAUCCUGUAAAUACCUCAUCAAAUAUGACAGGUAUUUUUCGACUUCUACACUCACUGACAAGUACUCGCUGGAAAAGAGGAUCUAUCAUGAGCAUUCCACCUGCACCUUGUAUUACUACACAAAUAUGGGUUAAUGAGGUUGAAGCAGUAAAUGGCAUGGAAAAGUUCUGAGAUUUUGUCAGCUGUUAGUAUGAAAUGAUAGUAGACAUACUAAAGGCUAAAGAGCAAAAAAAUGGAAAUAUUCCCAAGAAGCUCAGAGUGAAACUUUAUUUACCUGGUUCUAUAAUUAGUGCUGCAAGAUGUUCAGAGCUACUUGAUAGAGAAAAUUCUGAUAGUUUCUGUUUUAUAUAGGACGAAUACAAAUCAGCAGCAAACGUUUUGUCCCUGGUCUUGCAAAAGACUUCAGCUUGUGAAGAAAAGCCUGCAUUUUGAAUCAAAGAACAAAUUAAAUAAACACCCAUAAGGAAUUAGAUCUGAUGUGUCAAAGACAAGAAACUGACAUGUAUCACCAUAUGUCUGAGGAUCAUGCUGCAUUGAUUGGGGCAAAGAAAUAUUGUAGACCUCACUUUUAGUAUACACAGUUGGAGGAUCUAGAAAAAGUCCCCGACCUGAAUACCUACAAAAGAAACCUCAUGUAAUUGAUCUCAGCUUUACUUAACGAUGCGAUAACCAACAGCAAGGUAGGAGGUUGUAAAAAAAAGGGGUGUGUCCGAGUCUUACUAAAUUUUCAAGAAAAAACUAGAAAAGAAAAUUCCUAUUAGGCUAUCAAAGAAAAGGCUGGUACAGAAAAGACCACAGUAGGCACAGAGAACCACUGAAGAGUAUAAACACCAAGACAAUCAGCAUAGUGAAGUGACAGAAAAGGUCACAGUUCCAAAACAGAACUCAAGAAGAGUAGAGAAGUCUAAAAAUAUUCAGUGUAGUAAAUACAGUGCUCAAAUUCAUUACCAUGGUUGCUGAAGAAAAGAUGUAUAAGCUGAUGGAGCUUGAGCUUCCAUAGCACCCAGAGUAUCACCAUGAUAGGAACCAUUUAGAGCAAGUACCUAGAGAGGAAUCAAUUGUUAAGAAUAUAUUAGGAUGCACAAAAUGGGCAUUUACAGUUAUUUAUACACAAUUUAUAUUAAUUUGUCCCCUGUAAAUACUAAAACAUAUACGAAAUAUAAUAUAAUUACUGAAAUAAACACAGGGUUAUGGUGAUCAACUGAGGUUGACGGUUGUGAAGAAAAAAAACAAAAAACAUCAUUCUCUUACUGUGAACUGUUUAGUAGUUCAGUCAAUAAUAAAGACAAGGAUGUUUAGUAUGGCCAUAACAUACCUUCAACUGAAUGUUUCUUUCAUUUCUAGUACUAUUUUCACUGCCAGACAUAAUUCCAUGAUCAAGACAAAAUUUACGAAAUGCCAUCUUCAGAGCAAUUUCAAUCGCAGUGGAUCCAUUGUCUGAAUAAUAGACUCGAGAAGCCCAACCUGAGAAAAAAGGGGAAGUUGUGACACAAAUAAACCAAUACAAAUAUGACAGGAACACGAAAAGAAGUAAUGCUAUCACCCACGUGGAUAGAGUUGCAAGAAACAAAUAAGAAAACAAAACCAUAACACAAAUAUUGAAAUAAAGGAAAAAAUAAUCAUAUUGUACAAGGUUAAACUAUUGAUAUGACUCAUAAAAGCAUGUCUCAUUUCACAUACACAUCAUUAUAAUUGUCUCAUUCCUUGAGGUAAACAUAACAAAUCAUCAGGCACAUAAGCUCUAGAUUUUUUUUUUCAACCCGAGAGAUAUCUCAUUUCCAUUAUGACAUAACGGAAAUACACAGCAUUCGAAGAGACAGACAGUAGACAGCGCUAAGACAGUAUCCAGAAACUUUGAGCCAAGCCCAAAACUAAGCUAAACAAAAGGCCAUCCUCCACCAGUUCCUAGCACAAAAAAGCGCAUCCAUCCCACAUUUGGGGAGCCAGAAGACUUCUGAACAAAAACCACUAACCCAUCAAGCCACACAAAACAGCCAGAGACAGCACCCAGAGCAAAAACAACAGCAACAGAUAGAGUCUAGACCGAGACCAACAGAUCCACCGGACACAAGUCUUACAUAAGCUCUAGAUAUAUCCAAGAAAAGGAAGAAAAUUUGGAAGGUGUGACAUAUUUCAAGCGCCAAGUCAAUUUUCAUAUUAAUAUGACAUCAAAUUCAUUAUAGAGUACCAUAGAGUUUGAAUUGAGCCAAUGCUGAGUGAAAGAAAAGCUAAAUUGACAAACCUUUACCAACUCCUCCAAGUAAAACUUCUGCAGAACGAAGAGCAGGCUCAUGAACAUUCUCUGGAAACAUCACAUGACCAUAUCUUGCAGCAGCAUAACCCAUAUCUCUUGCAAGUUCAAUCUAAUGAGUAAAGACAAGUUUAGGGCUUUAGGCUACAAAAUUGCCUGUCAAAAGUUCCAGUAUACAAGUUUAGGCUACAAAAAUUGCUUGUCAAAAGUUUAAAUACACAACUUUACCAAUAAAAAGUGUAAAAGGGAGUUCUUGUAGCAAAAUAAAUCACAUAUCCUGGAGAUGUGAGGAGAAAACCUGCAAGUUAGAAUCAGGCCCUUGAGUCCACCAACUUGCGCAUGCAUCAAAUUGAGGGACGAGCAUUUUGUCUUUAAUCUACAUCAAAGAUUUAGAGAAUUGAUAUUAAUGAUCACUUGAUCAGCCAACCUUGAUGCACAAUCAGAACUUCAUUACAAAUUUCUUUUGAAGAAAUAAUGAAGAGAAAAGAGCAGAACUAGAAAGUGAACAAACCUUGUACACAGAAAAAUUUUCACCACAACGCGAAUCAAUUACUGUAACAGAAUCUUGAGGAACAAGAUUGUGCUGAGUAAAAGGCCACCACAAUAAAUCCUUCGAUUUUCUUUGCAUGCUGUUUAACCUCUCUAUUCUUCUGGAAUGAAAUGAUUGCAGGGCAUCUUUAAGAGAAUUAAAAGCUGAGGAUGACUCAGAAAACCAAUCAGUCAGGUCAUCUGAAGGAUCUUCAGGAACUUGUGGCAAGGUAAGCACAUGUACCCUAAACAACAAAAUCAAUAGAGUUAGCAGAACAGCAGAACUAUUCAUUUAAUAAAAUAAAAGAAUUAAACGGAUGGUCGUGAAUAGAAACCUGUUUCUCAAGUAAGAAAGCAAGAAUUUGUCAUUUGAUAACUCACGAUCUUCCAAAAUAACUGCGCUCACAUCAUACCCUCUAAGCAACAAAGUUUCAUACGCAGACAAAGUGGAUGAAAUACCACCAAGGCGGCCAUCUCCAACAAGAAUAGCAGGUAACCUAAAAGGCCUGUCAAAAGUUGAAACAAAUCAAUAACAGCCAGAUAAAAGAUCAACUCAACAAAUAGACGUUUAAAAUGUUCAAGGCUUCAAGCUAACAGUUAACAUCAGAAGGUGAUUUAAGAGGUUAAGGCAUUUUGAUUUUUAAUCCAUCACUCGACCUAGCAGUUAUUUUACAUGCAAAACUUAAACUGUAAAAGAAUGGAAAGAAAUAAAGAGAAUAAUACGCAGAACAUCACAAGCUUUAUUCGACGAGUUCACAAGCUCAUAAACUACAAUUCAGGAAUCAUUAACUGCCAAUAGUAAGCUAGCCAGAUAAUAUCCAGAACAGGGGCGGAGCUAGCCUUUACCACCAGGGUCUGUAAUUGUUUACUGAGCUGCAAUAACAUGGAAUUGCUCCAGUGCAAGAACAAUUGAACAGUCAUUUGUUUAUCCUCACCUAAAGACAAAUCAGAAUCUGUGGAAGCAAGAGAAGGCCAGAGCAAAGACACAAAUAAUUUUUAUGUCCUUCAGGCGAUCUCAGUGACAACUGACAACAUGGGGAGGGAAACAAAGAAUAAGAUAUAGGGAUUCCUGGCAGCGAGUUUUAGGGAGUCAAGUUGCAUCAUACGACUUGAGAUAUUUGGAUAUAGCUAAAUUUUAGGCUUAUUUGAAAACAACUGUACAAUCUUGUAUUACCUCUUUGAAAAUAUUCAAAAUACAGCCUAGUAAACUUCAGAACAGUUGCUUGAAUGUCUCACAGAGACGUCUUAAUAAAAAAAAUGGUGUGAAUGGAUACAGCUGAUCCUGACCUAUGGGGCCCUUAGCGUCAAAAUCAACAACAUCCAGGGGGGCUUAUUUUAAAACUGAGAAUGAGUUAGACAAGGGGAUCUCUUAUCCUCAUUUUUAUAUAAAAUCGCUGCAGACACUUUAGCCAAGAUGGCAAACCUCGCACAAACCAAUAAUCUGAUCAAAGGGUUAGUCCCUGAAUAUAUUAAUAAUGGGGUGGCCAUUUUGCAAUAUGCUGAUACCACCAUUCUUUGCAUUCAAGAUGACUAAGAAAAAGCUGCUCAUUUGAACCUGCUCUUAUACAUGUAAAAAGUGAGGUGAUUCUGAUUAGCCAAGACAUGAACAAAAUGGUUGACUUCUCUAAUAUGUUUACCUAUGCAAUUGGUAAAUGGGCUAUCAAGUACCUUGGUGUCCCUGUCUCUGGAAACAGUUCACAUAUUGUUGACUGCCUUCCAAUUGAGAAAAAGAUGGUAAAGAGGCUAGAUGGAUGGCAGGGGAUCUCUCUAGCCUUAUCUUUGUGUGUGUGUGUGUGGAGGGGGGGGGGGGGGGGGGGGAGGGGGGAUCAUGCCUUUGUACGCCAUGUCUAUGUAUCUCCUACCCAUCUCUACCAUUAAAAAAGAUGGGCAAUACUAUACAAAGUUUUUUUUGGCAAGAAGGAAGGCUGAAAAAGAAAUAUCACCUAGUCAAAUGGGUAAAGGUAACGAAUCCCAAAGAAAAAGGAGGAUUGGGCACCAAAGAUCUGAGGAAAAUGAACAUUAAUUUGCUUUGUAAGUGGUGGCAUAAGGUGGAAAAUGGUAGCGGUAUUUGGCAUAAUAUUGUUCAAAGGAAAUAAAUGAAAUCUGGAGGUAUUUCCAAGCUGAAAAAAGCAAUAACAAUUCUCCUGUGUGGAAUGAUUUGCUUAAAGUAAAACAUAUCUACUUAAGAGGGAGAAUCAUGCUUGCGGGUAACGGGAAAACACAAGCUUCUAGCAUGAUAAGUGGUGUGGGAAGAUGUCCCUUAAGGACCAAGGUUAUAUGAGAUCAAUGAAGAGCAAUCUUGCUCAGUUGCAACUAUAAAAAUGAGAAAUUGGUGUCUAACUUUUAGGAGAUGGCUUUCGGAGGAUCCACAGAACCAUAUAUAGAUGCGAUGCUAAUAAUGAGAAGAAUAAGGCAAAAUGGGAUUGGGAAAAACCCAGAACUUUCUUGUUAAAUCAGCAUAUAAACAUUUAUGUCGAAAGGAUCAGGGACAAAACUUUAAACAUAUUUGGCAGGCCAAAAUCCCCCUAGAAUUUGGUAGUGUUCGGCUGCACUUGCUGUGGCUGAAGCUCUAUAACUAUGAUUUACUAUGAACUCAAGAAGCUGCAGCCACAGCCAGGAAAAGCUGCAGCGAGCACGCACAAAAUCUUUAUGAGGCUUCUGCUUCAAAACGCUAUCCUUACUAAGGAAAACCUCACAAAAACAAAUAGUAAAGGACGUCAAAUCUGUGCCUUUUUGUAUAGAAAAUGAAUCAGUGGAACAUCUCUUUUCUGGAUGCACGACGGCAAAAUACAUUUGGAGUCUGGACUCUGGAGUCUGAUUGCAUGUGCCCUUGGAGUCAGUUGCAGACCUUGUAAUAUUGAUCAGUUUUGGGUUUGGAUCAAGCUUAGCUUACCGAAUAGUAAACCUGUAUAUACAGUAGGGCUGGCAGCUCUUUGUUGGGCAAUAUGGUGCACAAGAAAUGUUGUUUGUUUUGAGGACAAAAGAAUCAAAUCUCCUACUGAGAUUAUCUGUAUGAUGUGCUCCUUUUUUUAUUAUUGGGCAGACUUGCAGAAGCCAGACAAGGAAAGGUAAAUGAAGCAAGGAGCGGAGAGCCUGAAGGCGAUGUUGCUCUACUUCCACAAGAAAGUAACGGAGGAAGACGACCAAGAUCACCGAUUCACCGGCAACUCAUCAUUCAUGGCGCUGGAUGAUUGUCUUCUGUAGUUGUCCUAUUUUCCAGCCUGCAUGCUGAUGGCAGUGCCCCUGGCCUGUAUCGGAAAAAAGUUUAAGUGGCCGUACUUGGAUUGGUAUUUGCUGGCGAACCUUGUUUGUUCUGUUGUCUUGCUUGAUGUGUUCGGUAGGGCCAGUGCCGGCUGAUCCCUCGGUGGUCAGAGGUAUGGGCGUGGGCAAGUUGUUGGCAGCAAGUUAUGUCUGCGAACUUGCAAACUUUGUAAUUCUAUUGCUUUGGUAAUGAAAUUCGGUUUCACAAUGUUGGAAAAAACAUUCACUAUUAUUUCCAAUUACUAGUGGAACGCCAGAAGAAGAGUGACAGGCCUAUUUUGAAGUGGGCAUGUCACAUGAAUCAUGAUAGACUCUGGCUAUGGACGGUCCUAUGGAAAUAUUCACCGAGCAUUGAUGGUCGUCAUUGAAAAGGCUUAGCGUUUAGUCCAUCAUCCCUUUGUUUGGUCUCGCUUUUUGAGAGCUAAAAGAACAGCAAGAGGCUGGAACUGAAAUAAGAAUGGGUUGUGUGCAAAACUCUUGCAGAGACCGGAAUGAAUUUCCUUUUUUUUCUAAAAAUUGAUAUGGUUGUACGGAAUGCCAUUUAUACUAUGAUUUCCAUACAGAAUUCUACUAAAUUAUGCUUCCAUUGAACUAUAUUUCAGAUAGAGUAUGUGCAAUGCAGCAUGCAGGACAUCAGAUCAAUUAUCACGAUACUGAAUUGCAAUGCACAAGCACAACCACCAUAGGCAACAAACAAAACCCAAAUGUCAUUUUGUUCAUUCUGUCCUAGACACAUCAUAUCCAAUUCAAUAAAAUCAAGCAAAAAAAUAAGCCAUGUGUAUGAAAUCAAUAGCCAAGCUGCAGGAGUGAAAGGCACGCGCACCGGUAGAGAUCGCACUGCAGAGUACCGGAAGCACCGGGGCUAGCAACGCCACCAGCAGUUUCCAGCACCUUCCACACCGCUCCACCCUCCCCCACGUUUUCCUCCAGCAGCCACUGUGCGACGCACUCCUUGACCUGAUCAUCCCCCACCGCCAUUCCUUCCCUCUCUGCUGCCAGGUGCGGCGACACCGGCUCCCGCCACGCGUACGCCGUGCAGCAAGCGAGCACCUUCGUCUGCUCCGCGGCACCCGCUCCGUAGGUUACCACCACCUUCUCCUGGCUCUCGUGGAGGGGCUCCGCCGCCUUGGUCUCCACGGCGGGUGACGGGAAGAGGGUGCGGCAUGAGGCGACGAGGCGGGUGGCUCGGGGGGAAGCGGAGGCGCGGAGCAGCGCGGGGGCCCUGCUGAAGACGAAUCGCGCGUCGGAGUCAACGGGGUAGCCAGUCUGAAGCGGCUUGAGGUAGGACACGGACGAGACGGAAGGGGACGGGGAGCAGAGGAGCGCGGCGGCGAGGCCCGCGGAGACGAGGGUCUUGCCGACGCCGGUGUUGGCGCCAAAAAUGGCGAAGGUUGGGGUGGAGAGGGGAACGGAGGAGGCGGUGCCAGAGGAGUGGAGGCGCCGGCGAGCGUGGUGGAGGAAGAGGCGGCCAAACAUGGCUGCGGAGGUGGGGUUUUGGACGGUGUGGAGGAGGUUUGGGCGUGGGCCGUGGCCGUUGGAGGAGGAGCGGGCGUGGAAUAGACGGCUAUCGAGGCAGGGGAUAUGGCAACGGGGCGGGUUCUGAUGGUAAUCUGGACCCGCCCCCGGAGCCCGACGGGGACCCGAAACCCGAGUUACAUCGAGCCAGCACCCAGCAGCUAAUGCACGGUCUCUCUGCUCACCCCGCCGUCGGAGUGGGUGCCGCCUACGCCGAGCACAGCUGAGCGCUCUGCCGGGGGACGCGAAGCCAUGGCGGAGGUGUUGGCCUGCUAUGGCGGCGUGGGCAACCCCAGUUUUAUACCAUGGGAUGAACUCAUUUCAUGUUUGUCAAGAGGUCCGGUUGAACCCAAUUUAACUUUUUUGUUUUGGUUACAAGGGUUGGAGAGGAAUACAUUUGACACCCGGGGACGGUGGAAAUCAUGACGAAGGGAGAGAGGAGACCACGACCGCAACGCCGUUAAUAUGGAGGCAUAUUUCCUUCUGGGUUUGACCCAAACCCACGUCCCAGUUGAACCAGCAAAUCAAACACAUAAUUAGAAUUUCUCAUGAGUUGGGCCUCAUAUUACAUAGGCUCCUCAAAUUCUGGGUCGCCCAUGGGCACCCACGGGAGAAGACCUGACCCGCCCGUUUCACGUCCCUAAACUCGAAAACCCGCGGGGCGAAAAGUAGACUCGCCCCUGCCGGGUCCAAAACCUAUCCUUAGGAGAAAUGCAGCAGACGAACGCCCGAACCCUAACACAUGACAAACCAUAGCGAACAUGAAGGCAAAAUACAGAGUCAACCUCCAACUUCCAAAGAAAAUAAAAGACCAUGCAAACCUGAUGGAAAGAGGAAUAAGAGAAUAUAGCACGGAGAGAUGUCGCGGCUGUUGCGAAAGGGAGCAGAUGCACGGAAAGAAGGCCCACAACAGCGGUGGUGUGGGAGCCAGGCAUAGGUCAUUGCCCACGGCUAACGUUUAGGGCGUGCCUGUGGCGAGCACGUAGGGCGACGGUGUGGGCGAUGAACGCAGAGGCGAAGGUAGGGACCCGAAGGUGGAGUCUGAGGUGGGCACACGUGGGGGCAAGUGCAAGGCCAGCUAUGCCAAAAAGCGCGUAGGUCGAUGGGCAUGGAGGUGGCGAUCGAGCCGAGCAUGCCAGAAUUUUUGAGAUAGGAAGUUUCUUUUUUUCGGGACGCAGGACGAAAGAGGAUAAAAAACGGUGUGCAUAUGGUAGAACUAUGUGGAGGCAGCAACACAGGUGAUUGUGGGCCAUAGAUGGUAGAUCUGGCAGCCGAGAAUUGAUGGUGACGUGACCUCACUUGGGGUCAGUAAAAUGGUGUACGAAAAUAAAGGUAAUAGUGGUAGAUUACUAGCGAACUGGUCAUCAGUUGGUUGAGUUUCCUGUGGUGGAAUCUGCUCACCCGGAUUUACGUCUCCAACUUGACACGAGUGCUUGUAUUUUACUGGAUUUAUUUCAGGAUUUAACGACGUUAUGCUUUCAAUGGUAGGCGACGUACCCAUCGACAACGAGGCGUCUGUGGUGACUUCAUCAACCUCGAGAUUUGCUGGUCUAACUUGGUUCUUCGGUGGUGCUCAUAGAGAUAGAGUGUGCGUGCGUUCGUUCGCAGAGAUGAGUGUGUAUUCGUGUUUACGAGUGGAACUGGAUCUUGGAAAAAAAAUGGUAAAUUACUACUACUUUGGAGGGCAGAAAUUGGAUUUGUGAACACCUUUCUGGAAACUUUAAGUAGGAUUUCAAAUAAAAUUCGAUUUUAUGAAUUAUUUAUCUCAGUUUAAAAUCAAAAUUUCAUCUCGGAAGUUGAAUGUUCAUUAUUAUCGUCGAAUCCUCGACCUAUAUAUUAUUAAAAUAAAAAAAGAAAACGAAUCCUUUGCACGGGGCAAUCGAGGACGCCGAAACGUGCAGUGCAGGCUGCAACUGAGCUGCCCCGAACUAAUCAACCAACCCCUCUCAGCGCCUGUCAUUUGUCGCGCCCCCCACACAGCUCCUCUUGGCGGCGCCCUGACCUGUCCUUUUUCCUCGCCUUCGAUCGGCGGCCGCCUCCCUCCACUUCCGUCCCGCCGCCGCCACCGCCGCCAUGAAGGGACCCGGCCUCUUCUCCGACAUCGGCAAGAAGGCCAAGGGUACUUCCUCCUACUCGUUUCCUCGCUAUCAUCGUCGUCAUCUCUCUAAUUGGCUCGGGUUUCCCCGGUUUGUGGUUUGGUGAUUUGCAGAUCUACUCACUAAGGACUACACGUACGACCAGAAGUUGACCAUCUCCACCGCCAGCGCCUCUGGAGUGGUAAGAUCCGAUCGCUCUCGUAUGAUUCCAUUUCCAUGCUGCCUGGUUCCUGUUCGCUUGUCCGUGCCCGCGAUGCCUGAUCUGGUUGUGGCUGUGUUCAGCGUCGCGAGGUCGUCGUGCGGUACGCACGCUGGCCGCUUAAUGUGCCUCGUUAGGUGUUUGUUACCUUACUACUUUUGAAUCUGCCUUACCAAUUUGCCUAAGAUUUCUGUGGUCGUUGUAUCUGUAGUUGUGUGUGUUGGUAUUUGAGGGCACAAUGUGUCUGGUGCUUGUUAACUGUGUGACUGAACGAUAGAAAAUGGUAAUUUGGCCAUUUUCUCGUAGAUUUAUGCAGUUGCUUGUUGAGUACUUAUCGAGUACUGCUCACACUGGAGACUUAGUAGUAAGCAGGUCUAUUUGACAUUCCGCUUUUGACCUUUCUUUCCGCUGGUACAUUGGUGGUCACAAUCUCAGCCUAUACUGUUUUGUGAAGUUGCAAAGGUUUAUGCGUCUGAAGAAAUGAGUUGGUUUUUGGCUUGCUUGUUUUAAAUUCUUUUGUUGUUCGUGCCUUAUUUCUGCGUAUCUGCCAGCCAUUCUGAUUACGUAAGGGCUAGUGUAGCUGCUUGUAUUCUAUAGAAGUUAUUAAGGUCAUUGUCGCGAAUUGGUUUCGGUAAGUUGCACUUUCAGCAUUACUACAAGACAAUCCUUUAGAAGAUUCUAUUGUAGCACAACCUAUCAUGAUUUCUCCUGUUGCUGCCUUCUGUUUUCAGUUUUUCACUGUGUUGGCAUAUUUACGUGACAUACUCUGUGUUACAUUCUUAUUUUAAUAAAUGUUUGAUAGUUCUACUUGCCAAAUUUCUCAUCUCUGUCAGUAUCUUAUCAAUAGCACAUAUAUCUGGUGUCACCAUGUUAUUGUUUUGAGCGUUGAUACCUGCCAGUUAAUGUAUCCAAUGAUGGGAAUUCAAAUUUGUGCAGUUACAUUUUCUUCCUGCUUUAAACCUGAUUUCAUUAGUUACUGUACUGAACGUAUGCAGUCAAGGAUUCCGUUCAGUGUCAUUUGAUUUACUAUUUUUUUUAUUUCACAAAAUGUGCUGUCACAGCUGUCUCCUAUCAUUUUGCCCAAAGAUAUAUAUAUUAUAAAUCCAUAAUUAUGUUCUUAUAAUUAGCUUAAGUUAUAUUUGGCAAAUUGCUGAAUCAGACACCCAAAACUCGGUUGGAUUCCAGCACCCAUAUUUGACAUGUCCAUACCAAUUUGUCUUUAUGCUCUAUGAUCAGUCUUACUAUAGCAACAUACCAUUCAUUGACUGAACUGAACUAUCACAAAAGCUGUCUUUACUUAAGCAUGGUAUAUUUAAUUAAAUUAAAGUGCAACUCGGUAAUUCAGUAAUAUACAAUAUAUUGUUGAAUUAAAUUGUCAAUUGGUAAUCAGGAGAUAGACAUACAUUAUUUUACUUAUCUUAAAUUUGAAAAGCUAAGACUAGAUGUACAUGCAACUGUGUGGAUUAUAAGUUCUCACCGCCCUAUAAGUCAUUGAAACCACAACAAUAAUGUUAUAGAGUAUUUGCAUUUUUGAAUGUACCAGCUAUGAUCUUGUGUACUCAGUUUGCCGUGUCAUAUCUCAAUAUCUCAUAUCAUCAUUUUGCUUCUUUCAUCAACGGUAAACUGAUAUAUUUAUAUAUCUUUUUCAUUUUAUGCUUCUGUAGCACUAUUUGGAAAUAUGUUCAUCAAAGUACCAUCCAAAUUUAGUAAAAAAAGAAAAUAAAUUCUGUUGUUAACUGCUAGAUGACAAUACUAGUGUAUUUUGUGUUGUUUGAGCUUAUUUUCUUUAUAUAUGCAUUGCCUCUUUAUGAACAUGCUUGUCAUGGCUAUUCCUUUUUUUUAGGGCCUUACUUCCACAGCUGUAAAGAAAGGAGGUCUUUAUUCUCUGGAUGUCAGUUCAGUUUACAAGUACAAGAAUACCACUGUUGAUGUUAAAGUGGACACAGAAUCAAAUGUCGGUGACAUGAAACACCUAAAUUUAUGCAUUCUCUUUGUAGCUUAUAGCUAGACAUAAACCUUUAGCACUUUUGUAUGAUUCCGGCAGAUCUCUACUACAUUGACUGUGUUGGACGCCUUGCCAUCCACAAAGCUUGUCACUUCUGUGAAGCUGCCCGACUACAAUUCUGGAAAGGUAUUUCCAUAUAAUGUCAAUUUAUGGUUGUUGAAUUAGAACAGGUCCUUGAGUGUAUGUGUUCUUCGUACCAGGUGGAGCUGCAAUACUUCCAUGAGAAUGCAACCUUUGCUACUGUUGUUGGCACAAAGCCGACUCCUGUGAUUGAUCUUUCUGGGACAGUAGGCGCUCAAGGAGUUGCAUUUGGUGCAGAAGCUGGGUAUGACACUGCUACAGGAAAAUUUACCAAGUACACUGCUGCAAUUGGUGUAACCAAGCCAGACUACCAUGCUGCAUUCAUUCUGUAAGUCCAUGCUUCACUGUGAUUUGAGUGUCUCUUGAGGUUGGCACGCAAGUAUUGAAUAUUGAUACAUCAGACCUACUUUUACAGGGCGGACAAAGGUGACACCAUUAAAGUGUCAGGUGUUUAUCACUUUGAUGAGAAACAGAAGGCCUCAGCUGUGGCUGAGCUAACCCGGAGGCUCUCAACAAAUCAGAAUACACUCACAGUCGGUGGACUGUACACAGUUGAUCCUCAGACAUCCGUGAAGGCAAGGCUCAACAACACUGGAACGCUUGCCGCGCUUCUUCAGCAUGAGCUUAAACCCAAGUCAGUCUUGACAAUCUCUGGUGAAUUCGACACCAAGGCCCUGGACAGACCCCCCAAGUUUGGCUUGGCGCUUGCACUGAAGCCCUGAUCAGAUCAUCCCAGAUUGGUGAAUUUUGAAUUCUUUGGUUGUUUCUGCAAAGCUGUAGCCAAUAAUUCGUUCCACGAACCUUUUCUGUUAAUCUGGCAAAUGUUUGGAGCACUGUGGUAAGGAUCCGGAUGGGUCGUCUACAGGAAUUUUACCUGUCUGCUUUUAUUGUUGAAAAGCAUCUGGCCGUUGGUAGAUGUACAUUGUGCUUGUUUCUUUAGCACCUAGGCCUCUCUGCCACUGUGUUACUGAGUAGCCGCUACGGUAAUCUUUUGCAUGCAGGAAUUGCAUGCUAAUUUUGUUCGGUGUUUGAUUUACCACUCACUAAGGUUUACCACGUGUUUGGAGCUCAUUUAUUCUGUGUAUGCAUACAUGGUGUUGGUUUGUUGACGCUCAUUUUUGUCAUUAUGCUCUUGAUUCUUUGUUGGGACUGGUUUCCUGUUUUAUGAACGAUUAGUUCGGGGUGGUAACUAGACGGGUAUCUUUAAGCAACGCGCUGAGUGCGUUUUCAUUUGCCAAUUUGUAAUUACUGGAGUUGCAAGAUGCAGCAAUCAGCAGAUGUGUCAAAAUGCUUGGGUUGGAUCGUUGUUUACAGAAUGUGUAGUACGAGUACGGUCGCCGUGCUGAGAGCUGGAACUGGAACUGGAUGUGAGAUGUGGUCUCUUUGAGAUUGAGCUGUGGACUGGACACGUCUAUGGCAGAUUAGAGGAUUAGUACAUAGCCCUUCCGAUUUUAAAUAUGAUGUUCAAGAUAGGUUAAUUAUUUUGAAGUAUGAUGUUCAGGAUAGGUUAAUUAUUUUGAAAUGAGCUAAUUGGUAUAUUCAAGAUCGAGGGAAAUACUCCAAAGCUUUGGUGGUUUGUUAUUUCUCUGUGGUCAACCUUAGAAAGCAUUUUGCCCUCGAUCGAUGAUGAAGGUAGCAAGAUUAGUCAUGUGGCGAGAAUACAGAGCGCGCGUGACAGGCUAGCAACCCGCCCCCCACCCGACUACGCACUUUUAUGCUCCGGUAGCCCGGUGCUUCAUCGGCGUAUGUCGAGAGGAGAGGCCACCCACUAACCCUGAAUCAAUCUUGAGGAGGCGGCUGGCUUUUGCAACUGCAAUGCUAGCUGUAGUAUUGUGAUUUGUGAACUACUGGGGUGGGGGUACGUCUCCUAGUGCCAACCACAUGAAUCCUUGGGGUCGCGCAUCUCGGCUGUAGCUUUCACGUGCCUCUCGAUUACAUUCUUUUAUUUGUACCUGUCGGAUGGAUUAUUGGUCGGGAUAUGGAUGGCAAUGGCAUGGUACACAAAACACGCAAUUCAAUUGCCAUUUGCCUAAGGGUGGCAUGGCAGAUGGCCAGAUGCAACCCUGCAAACCCCCUCGGCCCACCUGCGUUAUGGCCCUGUUUAGUUUCCUAAAUUUUUUUCAUCCAUCCCAUCAAAUCUUUGAACACAUGCAUAGAACACAGUUUGGUUAAAAAUCGCGAGACAAAUCUUUUAAACCUAGUUACUCAAUAAUUAGACUUAAGUGCUAUAUAUUAAUGAUAAAUUAAUUAUACUUAAUAGAUUUGUCUUUCAGUUUCCUAACGAGCUAUGUAAUUUAUUUUUUUAUUAAUUUAUAAAAAUCUCUCAAGACAUCCUUCCAACCCCUCCAAUUUUCAUCUCCAAAUAGGGCCAUAUAGCCGCUGCAGGCUGCCUCCGUCUCUCUCCACUCUCCACUCCGAGCCGCGCCUGACAACAACCCGCGCGCGGCCGCCGGCCGCAGCCCACCUCGGCAUCUCCACGCAUUUUUAUUUUCAUCAAUCAAUCAGGGAGCUGCCCGCAGCCCGCCGCGCCGUCGGCCCCGUAAAUCCAUAGCGCGAGCGUCCCGUCCUCCCCCACCCCCCAACGAUGCGCCGCUGCCGGCGCUCGUGAUCCAUGGCCUCACUCCCCGUUCCUCGCACGCUCCCGCGGGCCUCGCCAACGGUGGUGGGCGCCGCGAGGGGGAGGAGGGGGAGGGCCGCGGUGCGCGUGCGCACUGCCACCGCGGCAUUGGGCGGUGGGUGCUGCGGCGGCGGCGGAAUGGAGCAGCGCCACGGGGAGGCACCGCACAGCCCAGGUAAUUCCUCGAGUUCCUCGGCUGGGGUCAAUGUCAUGGUGAAGCUACCGUCAGGGUAAUGUGUCGGACGGGGCCGGGUGGCUGUACCUGUACGUGAGGUUAUCCCACUUGCUGCUUCUGCUUCACUACUAGAUUACUAGUCAAUAGUCAUCAGCCACUGCUGUUAACCUUUGGGUCCUGCUGAUCAUCCGAUAAGGAUGACGGAGACGUAGGUAACACGAACCUAUUGACUGGUAAUCUGACACGUUUGGUGAGAUACUGUUGAUGUAACUGCAAGUAAAUACGUGUGGAACUGGAUCUCGAACUGGAGUCAAUUGGACGCUUGACAGUGAUGUGUCUAGUCCUGUUCGCUUUAAGAAGGGCAGUGGGAAGGUUUGUAUUGCCAUUCUGAGUUUCUGACGCCUCACAUUCUGUUUUGAUGAUUGGUCCUGGUCACUUGGAGGGUUGUCAUCAAUAUCGUGGUGGUAGAUAAUCUGAUAACUCUGGAUAAUCUAGUUUCCCUGAAAACAUCUUAAUCGUUCACAGUGACCUAAUAGCAAUGCGCUCGACAGUGACAAGGAGUCUUAAUUGGUAAGUACAUGGGAGGGGUGGUGAUUUCAAAUAAACUUGAAAUGUGAUGACUAAAUGGCAUACAUCUUAUGAAUUGAAGAUAAAAGGUAGUGAAAACUUGUUAGUCCAUCGUCCACGAUUGCUGCAAAAAUGUUAUGAUAUAGGCAGGGGUGGAGACAGGGGGGCCAGGCCCCCCUAUGAAAGUGAAAUUUCCACUGAUUUUUUUAUUCAAAUAAACUUUGAAAAUUUAACACUUUUGCCCCCCCUAACAUUCAAAAAAUCAACUUCCUGGCUCCACCCCUGAAAAUAGGUAGGACAAACAAAGAAACCACUUUAGUUUAUGUGACUUUAGGAUCAUGGAUAAUUUUCCUUACAAGAACUUUUAUUUUUUCGCAGUUUCCUGUAAAAAGGAAUGUCAGAUGUAAAUCUGAAACUGUGAAGGAAACAUUUAUUAAGAAUAUGCAUCACGGUUAUAUUCUAUAAGUUAUGCUAUGCCAUUUUAUUUACUUUUUACUGUUGUGCAAAUGGAUUUGAUCAACAUGAGGAAUACAACUGCACCAACCAUUUACUGAUAUCUAUCAUCAUCAGUGAAGGAGAAGCCUGUAAUGUCAAACAUUGGGAAAUCAACUAAUAUUUUAUGGCAUAAUUGCCCGAUUGGACAAUCUGAUAGACAGAAGUUGCUGGGACAAAAAGGCUGUGUCGUGUGGAUAACAGGACUCAGUGGUUCAGGUAUGUAUUCAGUGGAUUAUUGCCUUGAUCUACUUGCUGGCUACAGCUUUUUUCUUUUUCUUUUGUUUUUUGAAUCCUUGGUCACUUACUCAGGUUUCUAUGAGGGAUUUCCUAUUAUUUUUAUCAAACAAAAGCAUCCAGGUGCUAUUGUUGCCACAAGUUUUCAGUUCAGUUUGGUAGGUUGCUUUAUGCUAGAAUGCAAGAUUUUAUUUUUCUCGAACCCCCCCCAAACACACACACAACAGCCUCAACAAGAAAUUUAAAACCCCGAUACAAGAGACCAAAACGACCCAUCUAAGAUGACUAGAGCCUUAGAACCAAAACAUAUCAAUGGCCUGCAGCACAGGGACCGAACAGAGCACCCUUUAUAUCAGAAACCCAUUGACAACCAGCAUUACCAUCCGCAACCAUGUGCUGCUUAAUAGCCCUCUUAGUAACUGUCUUGAGAAGGUUGAGCUAUUUCUUCUAUGUUUUUUCCACCCAACCAUCUAUCAGUCCAGUCCAGAACAUAGUAUAUCGGCCGUUUCCAACCUCAGACUCCACAGCCACCUUGAAGAGGGCUCGAGCGUUAUGUGGCACAUGAAUAGGCAAGCCGGCCCAAGGGCGAGAAGCAAUUAGUCAUUUAAUUUGAGUGUUCAGUCUCAACCAAUAUACUCAUGCAGGCUUAGAGUUUUUCCCAAUUAUUUUAAUGCAAGUCAUUUCCUCACCAUCUGAUAACAUAUCUGGUUAUGUUAAACUAAAUCAAGCUUUAGAUUUGAACUUCUGUACAAUCUAAACACUUCUUUUAUAAGCUUACUUGAGUUCAAUGCUGUAUUAGUUUUAUGUCUGCUCUAUAGGCAGCUGAAUGCUGUCAUCUUGAUGACUACAAAUCACUCAGAAUGUACUGUUGCCCUGUUGGCAAAUGAAUUUUUCACAAGCUGGUUUGCUGCCUAGUUAACGUCUUCACAAUAAGAACCAAAUCUGGCAUGCUUUGUGUAUUGACAUCAAUGCAGGAAAUAGUCCUGCGCUCUGUACUCUGAUGAUGCUUCUACUAGAUUAAUUUUCAAAUCGAAUUUUCUUAGUCUUUUAGUACUCCCUCUGCUACAAAGUGAUUGUGGAUAGUGUUAACAUAAUUACCUGUUGACCAUGUUUGCAAUGUUGUUCAUACAGACCAUGGUUUCUUUUCCUUCGCAUGUUGUUCUAAGUUAGCUCCUGAGUUGAUGACUGUUAUUUCAGAAUUUGCAUUCUUUCGAGAAUUUGCAUGUUGGUCUAAGUUACACUUCCUGGUGACUGUGUUUGGCUACCAUGAACCAAAGCUUGUGAUUUCUUCAUUCUCUAUCUAUAGAAGUACAGGACUCAUAAAUAUAUUAGCAUAAGGAAGCCAUCACAAUAACCUUCCAUCUUUUGUAUGCCAGGGAAAAGUACUCUUGCUUGUGCACUGAGUCAUGAGUUGCAUUAUAGAGGCCACAUCACGUAUGUACUUGAUGGUGACAACCUUAGACAUGGCCUCAAUCGAGAUUUAAGCUUUAAGGCAGAAGACCGUGCAGAAAAUAUACGAAGAGUUGGUAAGUUCUGAAAAAAAGAAGACAAUUCACUAGAAAUUCUUUCACUAUAGCUAAAUCUUUUGUGCAGGUGAAGUGGCAAAGCUUUUUGCCGAUGCUGGUAUCAUAUGCAUUGCUAGCUUGAUAUCUCCAUACAGGAGAGAUCGUGAUGCAUGCCGUGCUCUACUUCCAGAUUCUAACUUUAUUGAAGUAUGGUCACUUAUGAUUCUUUUAAGUUCUGUUAGUGUUAAUAAUCUAUCUAACUACAUGCAAGCUCUGUAGGUAUUUAUGGAUUUGCCCCUAAAAAUUUGUGAAGCUCGUGAUCCUAAAGGUCUGUACAAGCUUGCACGCACAGGAAAGAUUAAAGGUACAGUCACCCUUUGAACCUUUUCUAGACAUUCAAGUUUCCUCUAUGGGACACUCGAGGUGAAAGAAGUGACUUACAAGCAUUUCCAUUCGACAAACAGGUUUCACUGGAAUUGAUGAUCCAUACGAACCGCCAGUUAAUGGUGAGGUGAGCCUAAAGAGCAUGGCUUACUUCCUACAUGAUCACACCGUACAAUUUCUAGAACUGAAACUCUGAAAUAUAGUCUCCUCACUAUUGAUGUAGUGCUUCCGGACAUCAUUAUGCUGUGACUACUGAUGUUUAGCACAAACAAGCACUUCCUUUCUACGCUCUUAUUCCUUAUUGUUGAGAAAUAGAGCUAUAAGCAUUUUUUUAUUGUUUCCAUCACUAUCUCUAUGCUCCAGUGAUCCUCAUUCAAUGAAGAAUUAACAGCAUGUAACAAAGUUAAAAUUAGCAAUAGCUUGUAUUUUCCACUAUGGACUACUUAAAGCUGAUGCCUGAUGACAAUAACACUAAUUCCUAGUUAGCUAUGAGUUUAGUUCAUGCAAUUUGGGAAUGCCAUACAUACAUCUGGGUUCUGAUUAGCAGCUUUAGAAACGAAAGCAAUAUUUUCUUAUAUUUUAGAUAUGUUUUCCAUAUUAAGUUUGACUUGCUCAUUUCAUUUAAUAAAAAAAUAGCUAUGGUCACCAUUCAGCAGUCGACCAUAACCCUUUACCUCUAUUUCCCUAGAUAAAUGCAAAUUUAGCCAUUUGUUUUGAAAAGCUGGCUUGAUCUUUGUGCGGUCUUAUACAGAUAGUAAUUACGAUGAAAGAUGGGGAAUGCCCUUCACCCAAAGCAAUGGCGAAGCAAGUUCUAUCAUACCUUGAAGAGAACGGAUAUUUGCAAGCUUAGCACAUAUUUGAGAAUAUUGAUCUGAUUCUUGUGUGUCCAUUACUUGUGGACACAAUAUGAUCUGUUGGCCAUGAAUAAAAGGCAUCAACACAUAGCAAGUAACAGAGGCGCAGUUUGUUCAGAAACGGAAUACAGAUUCAUUCGUUUCAUUGUUGAUGAUAUUUGUUUCGUGUGUAUUGCGCUUACACAGCUGCCAUUCAUCUGCAUCAGCAAUUCAGAAUGCAUUCGGUUAACUCGCGUUAACUGUUCGUGUGAAUUGGUAGUUGUUCUGUGCUUGCUAAUUGGGUUUACUGUUGGCAAUGUAUUUGUUACAAGUAAAUGCAAAUAAAUUGUGUAAUUUGUAUAUCAGUUGUUUCCUCUUGGAAUAAAAACUGAGGAACAUUGUAACGCCUCCCAUUGAAUUCAUACCUUUUGGCUUAUGCUUUUUCUUUCUUUUUGCACACAGUAAGAUAUAUUCAAACUUUCUCAGUGACUGUUUUUUUUUUAGGAUUACUUCUCAGUGACUGUUAUAUUCAUAUCUUGAUUGAUCUUGUUGGUCUGUUUCCCCCUCCAUGGGCACACAAAUCAGCCAUCCUGAUCACAUCACGAGCUAAUAUUGAAAUCAUGAUCAUCCAAAGAGCCACACCACACAGCACUGAUACAGGGAGCCGCAAAGCAGCUGGAAAUGAACGACUGACAAUGAGGUGCCGGUGCCAAUACGGCCGACCAGCACCUGACCUUGGAAGCAACGACGCACUCCAUUGGACAGAAUUGCAACCAUUUCCACAGGGCUUAGGCAGCAUGAUUACCUGAAAGGCUGCAAGUUGCCUGUGCUGCUUUGGAUAGAUCGUCCCACUGGCCAGUGGGCUCCCCACUCACUCGCUACGCCGACUGGCUGCUGCAUGCUUCCUGUCGGCUUCGCGUCUGAGUCUAAGUCAUGGCAUACAUACUCUGAAGGUGAACUCCGGGUCCUGGGUUCUGACCACUUUUCUCCUAAUAGAUAGGGUCUAGGAGGAAGAAGCUAAUAAAACAAAAGGCGAGUCACAGAAAAACUUGGGUGAUGGAUGGUGAGGUUAGGGCAGAAUUCACUUUCACAUCACGGUCUUUUAUCUUUUAGGCCUGGUUUAGUUUACUCCAAAAAUCAAAAUCUUUUCAAGAUUCCUCGUCAGAUCAAAUCUUAUGGCACAUGCACAGAGCAUUAAAUAUAGAUGAAAACAAAAACUAAUUGUACAGUUUUUUUUUAAAAUCGCGAAACGAAUCUUUUAAGCCUAGUUACUCUAUGAUUGAACAAUAUUUGCCAAAUAAAAACGAAAAUGCUAUAAUGUCAAAAUUCAAAAUUUUUUUAUCUAGUAAGUCCGUGUGCAGCCCAAGUUACCUAACCAUAGCAUCAACACACGGAAACGACAGAGAAAAUCGUCCGCGGUCCGGCCUUCUUCUUCCUCCGCCCUUUGAGUGCAUGUGCAUGCAUGUAGGGCGUAGGCGACGGUGUAUGCGUCUGUCUACGGUCUGUGGAGUACGGAGAGAACGGGAGAAGUUUGCGGCGGUAAACAAUGCGGGGAGCUCACCCAGGUCAACUCCAUCGGGCGACGAACACGAACCAAACUGUCCCAGGCCGGCCGUCGAUGGCCGCCCGCCUCACGUUCCGCUGGUGCGGGGCGAUUUUGAUUCAGUCCAAGUCGGAGCAGGACAAAAAAACAGAACGGACGAGUUAAAUCAAAUCGAUUGACCUAGCCGAACCCCCUUUCUUUUUUUUCUGCUAUCUUUUUUUUCGCUCGAUCCGCACUAAUAACCGGCGAUUAAAUCAAAUCAGGCAUGCGCGCCGAGCUGACCACCUUCGCAUGUAUGUAGCCCGUGCAUCAAAAUAAUCCGGUCGCUAAUCACGCCAAGUGUUAGGUCAGGUGGACGCUGGUGGGUCGCUGGCUGGAAUAGUGGAACGAACGAGAGCUAGCAGCUGAACAGCACAGGGAGAAAAAAUUCCGAUAAGAACGUAGCUGGUGUACUGCUAGACGGCAUACGGUGUGAUUGUCCGAUGGUUAACCGUCCUUGGGCGUGUGUGGUUUGCGUCAGCAGAUCCGUGACGGCUUUAGCUGAGUACAAUGCUAUAUAUACCGGCAUACAGUCUUAUCGAUCAGGCCGGCGAUGAUUAGCCUGGCCAAUCACUAAACCUGAGCAGUCACUAGUCAUCGUGCUUAACGUCGUAAACCGUCCUGGCCAGGCGUGUGGUUCGCGUCAGUAGAUGCGUGAAGACUUGUGACAUGCGUAGAGAAAUCUGUCCGGAGCGUAGAGGUACGGUCAAUUCCAAGAAAUUUGGCAGGGUGGGUUUUUGGGCAGUGGCUCGCGGCCUGCCUGAGCUAGCUAGCCUGACCGAUCAAAUCAAAUCAAACCCAUGCACGCUAUUGCUCCGGUCUGGAUGGCUUGCCGGGUUCGACUUGGACCUCGCGCCACUUCGCCGGCCGGCGUACGCGUAGUACGCCUGCGCAGCGCAGCGACCCAUGCCGCCUCGAGCGAAAAUGCGUCCGUGGCCGGGGCAUUUCCACUACCUGCCGGUUGGUUCCGUUGGAAAGUCACGGGUCGGCCCCGUAGAUUUCCGGCCACAUUCGCUUGGGCGCUGAGCUGCCCACCUGCCGUGUGCCGUGUGCCCGCGGCCGCUCCCGUCCAACGCCGGCAUACCGAACAUAACGGCCACGGCCACGGAUGGAUGCGUCAUGCGUCCAUCCAAAAUCCCGAGCCGGCCGGACCCGGCCGCAGCUGUGUCGCGUGUCGUCACGUGCGCAAUGCGCGCGGGAGAAGUCAGCGGCGCGCGGUUGCGCAACCGCACGGGAUGAUGCCAACGGGGCCGGAAUUCCUCGCCCGCACGGAUCCGCUUGCCAAUUUGCAGGGGACAAGUGUCGGAGUAGGCUAUUCCGGACUUAGCAGCCGGGGUACGGGAACAUGGGUACGUUCCCCGUUCCGGGAACUUCGUCCCGAAACGUGGAACGGGAACAUCAUGGAACAUCGUUCCCAAAUGCGGUGGAACACGAAUCAUAUAUAGGAGCAAUCAUAGGAAUGUCUUUCUUUUCUUGCACGAAUGAAUAAGCACGCAAUAAGAAUUCAGACUAAUCACCUCUUAUGUUUAUCUUAGAUCAUUUGCAAUUCUAAAUGCAACCAACGACAAAACUUGCUUUCUCAACAAAAAAAAAACCUAUGACAAUAAUGAUGGUGUUUAUCUUGGAGCAUUUGCAAUCCUAAACGCAACCAACUAUACUACGUUGCACGUUUACGAUGCACGCCGGUAUUUACCUUGUAGGUUUGGCAUGAAGUUAUGAAAAGAGGUAGCAUUCUAGUCUCUUACUUCACAACAUAUCAUAUAACAUAAGAUUUACUCAAACCUUAAAAACCACUCCCUCUGUCCUUAUAAUUCCUAAAAUUAUCCUAAGUCAAAUUUGCAUUUUUUUAUAAAGCUAAUCUCCACUAUAAAUCUAUCUCAACAUGCAAGUCAUCCAUAUCAUCUCUCACCAACUAUCCACACCAUCUACACUAGUAGUCAUAUAACCCCACUAAUUUUCAACAUUUUAAUACAAGCUAUCCACAUCAUCUUCACUUGAUUUCAUUCAAAAUUCUUCACAAUCUCCACAACAACGCACAUGGUAUCUUCUAGUUUUGUUAUAUUUAACUGGAUUCAUAGAAAAAAGCACAAAUAUUUUUGUUACCAAAUAAACAUACUAUAAAAAUAUAGUUUAUGAUGUAUCUAAUGACACUAAUUUGGUCCCAUAAAUCUGGACGCUCUUUUAUGUAAAUUUAGCCAAACUUAAAAAGUUUGACUUCAGACAUCUUCAGAAAUUGAUUUAUUUAGAGAUUUGGAAGUACUAAAUGUUUUUGAUGAUUUAUAUAUAGUUUGUUGAAGAGUCCACAACAAAAAACAAACAAAUUCAAAAAUAACAAUAUAUAUCUAUAUAUGUUUGGUUGGAGCAUCCUAACACCCUUUCUUUAUCUAACAAUAUUUUUUUUAUAAACUAAUUUAUACACUUUAUAUCAAAACUUAACCCCAACUUGUAUCUGUAAGACAUGGUACUUAUUUAGCCAAGGUAUAUAUACAAUAGAAGUCGAGUGUGAUGUCAGUUGCGAGAUAUAGGAUUACUAUGUGAGUCAAAGAAAGAUUUUGGUCCAUGCUGAAUGAUAAACUCGAGACCAAGUGGGAAUAAGUAUGUUGCUUGGUUGGUUUGAGCAAUAGAACCGACUCUAAGGAGUAGAUUUGUGCUCUGGUUGUGCUAGUCUUGCCUGUGUCAGUUGAGGACCAUUCUACUAGCAGGCUUGCAUGGUUAGGUACUGAAAUCUGAAAGUACUAACAUACUAAGUCUUUACUUCAUGUGACUCAUGAAUCUGACAUCCCUCUCUACUGCCUAUUCUAAUUUAUCAUUUGCACGGCUAGUCUUGUGGUUGUAUACUGAGGGAACAUGAGCAGAGCUCACAAAUGGCAAUAUAUACCUUCAUACCAAGGGAGUACAUUGUGUAAUCAUGCUCACUCUCAACUAUUGCAGGUGUAAAUAUACCACCUGAAUCACAGGGAUCAAAGUUAGUGAACAUGACUCAAAUAUGCUAUAUCUUGUCUUAUCUUGGACUCGGAGUAAUAUCUCUUAGCAUUAUCUCUAUUUAAAAUUUAUAUUUAAGUACUUCGAACCUAUUUAAUUUUCUGUUGCAAGAUAGAAACUCUAAUUCUUUAAAUAACUUUUAUUUAGAACAACUCUAUGUGAUAAAUUAUUUCUAUCACAAAAUUAAAGGUGUAUCUUUUUUAAUAAAAAUACGUAAACACUAAUACAUGCAUCACACCCACCUGAAUAUAUAUAUAUAUAUAUAUAUAAUAAUAAUAAUAAUAAUAAUAAUAAUAAUAAUAAUAAUAAUAAUAAUAAUAAUAAUAAUAAUAAUAUACACCUUAUAACUUCAUAAGCACCUAUGAAAAAUAGAUCUAACAUACUCCAGAAUGAUGGAGUCAACAUAUAUCUUGUUAUCAAUAGAAAUGUUUUCUACCUCUAAAGAACAAAAAUGUGUCCAUGAAAUGUGCAAUUUUUGUUAUUCUUGUUUGAUACAAGACGUCAUAAAAACUCGAACGUUUGAGGUUGUUUAGGAAUGCUCGAUGAAGUAUUGAAUUGGCUUGUUUUAAGUAUGUUUAGUGUUGCAACGGGGCCCGAACUCUCGUCCGCACGGAUCCGCCACGGCAGCAGCCAAUUUGCAGGGGGCAAUGUUGGAGUAUGCUAUUCUGGAAAAGACAGGCCUGCCCAACCCAAUCAGGCUAAGCUUCUGUCAAUCACGUCCUAAUCGUCCUCGUAUUUCUGUUUCGUAGAAUGUAUACUGUGACAAGACUUUGUUGUCAACAAAAUAAAAGAAAACUGCGACGGACACAUCUUGAUUAAUACUAUUUUUUUUUGGCAACACCUGAUUAAUAUUAUUCACUGUAAACUUAGCUAGAGUUAAACUUGUUUGACUUGCACAAAUCCUAUAAUUAUUUUUUUGGACGGAGGGAAUAACUAUUUAUUUAUUUUAUUUAUAUUACAUUUUUGUGGUCAUAAAAUUAUGACCAUUGGAUGGCAUAUUUAAUUAUAUAAAUCUUAAAGUAUCAAAUUUUGUUUUGUAGUAGUUGAAAAUUGUUAAUCAAAAUAUUAAAAAUUGUUAAUCAAAUUACGGUCAAGGAUUUUGAAGUUUGAAUUUGAUAUAUGUGUGUGUGCGCGCCUUAUAAACUAGAUCAAAAGGCCACAAUGCACUGGCUGUUCGUAAGAUAUGACCAUGUCGUUUAACAUAAGAUUUACUCCCUCUCUCUUUUUUUUUGGGCAAGGAACAUAAGAUUUACUCAACUUUAAUAACUACAAAUAUCCAUUGAUUCCUAAAUUAGCUAGCUUAAAACAUCUAAGUUAUAUGUGUUAAUAUUAUAAAAUACUUCCUUUGUCUCUUUUAACUGUCAUUUUCAUUUUUCGAGAGGCCACAUACUUAACUUUAACCAAAGAAUAAAAGUAUUAAUAUUUAUGAUACAUAAUUAGUAUCAUUAGAUAAAUUGUCAGAUCUAUUUUUGUAAUAAACUCAUUUAAAGAUAUAUAAAUAUCUCUAAUAUUUUCUACAGGCAUAGUCUUAUUUAAUAAAGUUUGAUCAACACGUAUCAUAUAGCGAGAUUAUUAAAAAAAAAGGAUGGAGGAAGUAUGUGAACGGCCUCACAUGUCUGCCUAGGGGCAAUCUAAGGUUGCUUCAUGUCAAUUCUCUUGCUGAUUGCUGAUCUGCAAGCGAAUUGGCAAGUAAGCGGAUAGCAAGCAGCAAGGGAGUAUGAAAAACAAGCUUGACUCACUAAUCACAAGGCAUCAGAAUACGGAAACCUAUUCGUUUCUCCUACAGAGUCCAGACAGAGGCGCAGAACGCUACUGAUCCUAGCAUGAAACACAGAGUGUGCUGAAGGCGAUGGACGUCGCUGUUGCAUGGGCAAAUGCAGACAUCCACGCGCGCAUCAUGGCGCAAGCUCCAGAAAUGAUUCUUGACGAUAUCGCGCUGACCCCGCUGCGGUGUGGACGCGCUCCAGGGAUUUCGGCGCGGCCUCGGCCAACACCAAGAGAAAUGGGCAAGCAGCCGCACGCACGCAUUGCAUACUCUGCAUCUGUUGCUUCGCUGCACCCGAAGUCUGUCUGGACCUUAACGUGCACACCAGUAGCCUGUUAUUACUUAUUAGCCUGCUAUAUACUAGUAGUAUACUUAGGUACUACUCCUAGCAGUAACUAGCACUUAGCAGCGCAGCUUUCCAAGAGCUGGUGAUUGGCAAUGAACUAGCAUCACAAGCAAGAUGAAGUAGUUUUCUUAAUGCAUCUCGAUCGCUUUACCCCGUCGCCGAGUAACCAACCUCCCGGGAUGAACUCAAGCGCCUGCGCGGUCUUUGCCCUCACGGCACUCCGACGAGAACGAGAGCCGCUCGCUGCCAAGAGCGAGGAGGCCACGCACGCACGCACCCAUGCGGUGCCCCCCGUGGUGUGGCGUAGCGUACGGGGAGGCGCCGGACCGGUAGCUUGCGAAUGUUGGCUGACAACGCUCACCCCGUCGUCAGCAAACCGUCGUCGUUGCCACUUGCCGGGGUCAAACAGAAAGGCGUGAGCCGGCGGUUAGCAGGCAAGCUGCCGAGGCUAUCGACAACCUGCGACUGCGAGGCCGGCCGGGCAAGUGUGGAAACGAACGCAAGUCAACUAAAUUCGUUCAUUUUUUUAAAAUAAAUAAAUAAAUAAACGGAUUAUUCCUUACGUUCUUCGAUUAGAGCUCUCAACCUCAAAUCUGGCCCUUCACCCCUCAUUCCCUCAAGCGACUCGAAUAAUUGACUGUUUUAUUCUUGCUCCUGCGUCUCUCCAUGACGAUGUGCCACUCCUCACCGCCCCUUCUCCUUUCGUACCCUCGCUAGAGCGGCCAUCCAUCCAUAUAGUUCACCCCGAAAUUCAAAAAGUUUUCAAAAUUCUCCAUCACAUUGAAUCUUACGGCACAUGCAUGAAACAUUAAAUAUAGAUGAAAAUAAAAACUAAUUACACAGUUUGACUGUAAAUCGCGAGACAAAUCUUUUUGAUCCUAGUUAGUUUAUGAUUGGACAAUAUCUGUCAAAUAAAAACGAAAGUGCUACAAUAGCGAAAUUUAAAAUUUUCCCGGAACUAAACAAGGCCUUAGACAAGUACUGCAGCAAUGGAAGGAAUUGGGGAGCCCAGGCAAGGAGACGAGGCCAUCGGGUGAAAAAUAUAAGGAUAGAGGUGGGAAAUAAGUGACGAGUAUGUCCUACAACUAUCAAAUCAAAAAUAGAAACUCUGAUUUUGAGGGCACCUGCUAGAGUUGUUAUAAUAAUUUAUACAAAUAGGGAUGUACUUCAUCUGUUUUGUAAUAUAGUUCAUUCUUGCAUUCAAAAUUUAUAAAAUAUAAUACAUUCUAAAGGCAAAACCCAAUUUUAUAUUAAAUGUUUUCCAUUUAUCAGCCAAUUAUUAUUAAUCAAGUUGACGAUAAAGUGAAGGUACAUACAUCUUUUAUAUUCUCUUUUAAUUUGUCUUAUAAUUUCUAAAAUGUUCUAUAUUACACAAUAGAGGGAGUAUGUUCGGUUUUUUCGUCAAUCCGAUAAUUAAUGAACUAACGAACGAGGCCAUCCAAAAGUAGCAAGUGGAUAACUGCUUGAAUAACAACUGUACCAUCCAGAAGUAGCAAGUGAAUAGCAUGUGUUUAGGAAGCCUUUAUUAGCAGUUUUUUGUUUCCUUAGAAAUCUAAUUUAAGGAGGCUGAAAGCUCCUCCAAAUAGGUUUUCUUCUUCAAGUAGACAAAAACUUCAGUUCGUACUAAAAGUAGAGAAACUCCCUGAGAGCACCUUCCUAGUUUAAUUUUUUUCAGAAAACUUCACAAGGAGGAACUAAAGCACGUAGCAUAUACUUUCUCCAUUCCAAAUUAUAAUGCAUUACAAAAAUCUUGUAGACUCAAAACAUUUUAAGUUUAACCAAAAUUAUAGAAAAAAUUAUAAAGAUUUUAUGACAUUAAAUAGACAUACUAUGAAAAUAUAAUUAAUAAAGAAUCUAAUAAUACUUAGUUAGUAUAAUAAAUGUUAUGAUGUUAUGAAAUAAAUUUUGAUCAAACUUGAGAGAUUCUUGGAAUGUCCAUAAUUUACCUUGUUUAGUUCCAAAAAACUUUGCAAAAUAUGAAUAGUAUCACUUUCGUUUGUAUUUGAUAAAUAUUAUCCAAUCAUGUACUAACUAGACUCAAAAGAUUCGUCUCGUCAAUUCCGAUCAAACUGUGCAAUUAGUUUUUAUUUUCAUCUAUAUUUAAUACUUCAUGCAUGCGUCUAGAGAUUUGAUGUGACGGAGAAUCUGAAAAAUUUUGUAAAAUUUUUUGGAAACUAAACAAGGCCUAAGAUAGAGAGAGUAGUACUGAACCUUGUUUGGAUGAAUGAAACGAAACGAAACAAUGACGUCAGAAAUCCGUUAUACUUACUAUACCCGGUGGACCCGUCGCAGGAGGAGGUCCUCGUCAGUGGAGACGAGUGACGAAACGGGGUCAAAAAAGAAGCCGAGCGCACACACAGCAGCGCGGACCCGGCGGCCCCCGGCCGGACGCUAGAGCCGUAGCCCGUAGCGACUGGCCGGUACUUGGUUUGAAGGACCCCAUGCGCGCGCGCGCGAAAGGAAGGAAGGAAAUAAAACACACCACACGGCCCAAGACCCAUCGGCCGUUUGAACAUAACUAACUAACCAGCUGCAGCGGGAAGCGGGAACCAAGCAACUCCUAUUCCCCGCUAGCUAGGCCGCAAGCUACCCCGGCCGGCCGGCCGCGGUGGCGAGUAGUGGGGGAAGCUACCCAACAAACCUCUAUAAAUAGCCCAAGCAGAUGCUGCGGCAUGCACGGUGCAAUCAGCAGCUCGGCUCUUCAUCAGAGCUUAGCUAUAGCCUAGCAGCAGCAGCCUCCUCCUCCCUCUCUCUCCAGCAUCUCUCUCUGCCUCUUCAUUCGGCCAUCUCUCAGUACACAGAGAGAUAAGUGAGAGAGAUAUAUGGAAGAGAGGGGGGUUGCAGCAAUGGGGAGAGCCCAAGCCUUCUUGUUCCUGUCGCUGCUGUGGGUCGCCAUGCUGAGUGGUAAAUAAAGCUCGAUCGAACUAACUAGCCGCCAUUCGCUAGCUAGCUAGCUAGGCUCUUCUUCUUCUUCUUCAAUUCGUUCUAGCUUCAUUUUCUCGUUCAUCAGCUGAGUUCUGAGACAAUACGUAUUGGUUCUUCCUCUCAUCUCCUCUCCUCGCAGCUGCUCCUCGCGUGGUGCAAUCUCUUCCUUACGACUACUCGUCCAGCUCUGAGGUAUGCAUGCCGGUCGCCUAACUUCUUCUCUCCCUCUCUUCUACGGAGUGUAGCUAGCUAGCUAUAGCUCAUCGUCCAUCCAUACCUGUGACGUGUGCCCGGCUGCCGAACUUUGUUACCGUGCUGCAUGGAUCCACCAGAGCCCCACCAUCGUCAGCUUCCACAUCGCAUUGCGCAUGUCACGCAUCCUAUCCCUGCUGAGGGCUGCCGCUAUAUGCAUUUAUUUUUUAUUCUUUCAAAAACAAAAUCGUAGGAAAUAAAAAAAAAAGGAACUGUACCAUAUGCUGGCAGCAGUUUACUACUUGCACAUACGAGCGGUUGGUUAACACCGGCCGUCGUAAGUUGCCUGUCGCCGGCGGCGGCGGCGCGCGCGCGUGACAUGUAACUGACAGGUGACAUGCGUGUGCGUCGUGGGCCAUUUCGUGCACUAGCUGCGCACACAAAGAGAAUACUUGUCUAGCUUGCUGGUUUCCGAUCCCGUGGCUCAUUUGUGCCGGUCGGAGUCCACUGAUGAGGCACUCACAUCACUCACUAGCGACGGAUCGACGAGAUUUUGACAUGUUGCGUGUAUGUAGGCACGCGCACAGGUCACAGAUUAAAUGUUUAUUAGUGAUAAUAGAAUCAUCAUGCGAACUUUCUUUAAUUAGGCCCAGUCGAUCUAUUGGCCAUGUGAACACAGGACAGGAAGGUUACACUUCGUUCAUAAAUACAAGUGUGUCUAGCUUUUUGGUUCAUUUACUAGUAAUAUUUCAGGCGCAAUAGUCUACCCACGCUUUUGAUCGGGCAGCAUGCACAUCGAUCAUGGGUUGGUGCAGAUGGACCAAACAAGUAGGAGCAACAAGAAUUCACAGCCAUUCUGCCAAAUUUUCCCUCCUCGAUCGAACAGGAGCAAAUAUUUCCAACAAGAACAGAAUAAUAUAUAAGUUGGCCAGGUGCCUAACCACAGUGCCCAUCUCGUUUUUGAGUUCUUGACCCGGUCUGAUGUCAUGAACCGGCUCUGUAUUGUCAUCAGAUCAUCAUCAAAACGCACAUAGCUUCUGAAAAAAUUACUUGGAAAAGUUAGCCGAUACUCCCAAAUACUACUUAUAAAAGUAGAAUAUAGCAAUUUAGCAACCAAAAAACCAACCCACUGAUCGGUGUGCCGCAAUCAGAGCCCAAAUACAACUAACUUUGCUGACUACCAGACUGUUGUUUCUGACUUUCUGUGUGUCAACACAUCUUCAUUAUAUUCGUAUAUCGGCGUGUGCCUCAUGACAUGUCGACGCGGUCAAAACCAGAGCCCCUUUUCGCUUGAAUUUCUGGUGUGCACCAAGCAGGGGAGGGCGUGUGUACCCCCAGUGUCUGCCACACACCGGAUCAUGCUAUCAUGCAGACCGCCACUGAGGCUAGCUUAUUGGACAGAUCACUGAUCCCUCACCUGCAGCUUAAUUAACCUAUUCUGGUGUAAUUUGGUUGGUGAAGAUAUUUGGCUCGGUCUCAGGCUAAAAAAGAGGUUACUCGUGUGUGAAUCCGUCCGGCCGGUGCAGUAUAUAUAGGAAAGUCAGGGGCUUCCAAACAAAGGCCUAAAAGUGACUUGCUUUCAGUUAUUCUGCACACCACAGUUUGGUUUCACAGUCAGCCACCUCAAUUGUUUCUUGUGCCAAGUAGAACGUGGUUUCGUUUGUUAGUCCUAUGUUAGGCCGUCAGUUAGAUACGCGAUCACUUGGACUUUUGCAGGCGAGUCAAACACUAUAUAUGUAUACGGUAUAAUAUACCUGCCUCUACUUCUAAGUACUACAGUAGUUGACUUGUAGUCAAAUAAUUCAAAAGAAAAGUUGAAAUAGACCAAUAGCUAUAUUGGGGCUGCAAAUGAGUGACAGUGCACCAAACUAAAAUCUGGCAUGUGCGUAGUAGCAUCCUCUUACUUUAGUCCACGGUUAGUUACCGUACACAAACUUUUCAACGGCUUUUACUGGGAUCUUGACAGGCCCGGCACUUCGACAGUUACACUACAUACAUCUUUGGUAGGCUCAAUACUUUUCAUUUUCUCACCGCGCGCGGCCAUCUUUACGGAUGGUGAAAAAAAAAUGUAACGAUACUGUUAUACGGAAGGUGAAACUUGUGUUGACUUUUUUUUUUCUCGAUCGGGUGUUGACCUGAACACUCAUGCUGCGAAACGUGUGUGUGUGCAGUGCUUGCCGGAGCCGCUGGAGCCUCAGUACGGCGGCGGCAUCCUCCGGAACGCCAACUUCAGCGCUGGCCUCCAGGGCUGGUCGUCGUUCGGGUACGGCGCCGUCGAGGAAGGCUUGUCAGAGAGCGGCAACAGCUACGGCGUGGCGCGGAACCGGACCCGGCCGUACCAGAGCGUCAGCCAGAAGGUGUUCCUGCAGAACGACACGCACUACACUCUGUCAGGUCAGUGUGUGAGCUCCCGGCUUUCCUCCGGGGGAAAAAAAUUUCAAUCGCAGCGAUGAAUCAUCAGCUCAGCUUAUUGAGUUUGUGUUUUUUCUUCUGGUACUGGUAUAUGCAGCUUGGUUGCAGGUCAGCAAUGGUAGCGCCGAUAUCAGAGCCGUGGUGAAGACCAACGGCGAAUUCAUCCACGCCGGCGGCGUCGAAGCGCGGUCCGGCUGCUGGUCCAUUCUCAAAGGCGGCCUCACCGCCCCCGCCUCCGGCGCGGCAGAACUCUACUUCGAGGUAAACAAACCUGAUGCAUUUGCAUUGCAUGAUCGCUGCAAGAAGAGAAGCCGUUAGUGUCAGGCUAUAUAUGCUCUGUUCUUACAACUCACAAGAAGAGCUUGGAUGCAUGCAGAGCAACACGACGACGGUGGACAUCUGGGUGGACAACGUCUCGCUGCAGCCCUUCUCCCGCGAGGAGUGGGCGGCGCACCACCACGCGGCCAUCAAGUCGGCGCGCAAGAAGACGGUGCGGCUCCGCGCCAGGGACUCGUCGGGGAAGCCCGUGCCGGGCGCGCAGGUGCGCAUCGAGCACGUCCGGAGCGGCUUCCCGCUGGGGUCUGCCAUGAGCGCGGAGAUCCUGCAGAGCCCGGCGUACCAGCGGUGGUUCACGUCGCGGUUCACGGUGACCACGUUCGAGAACGAGAUGAAGUGGUACAGCACGGAGCGGGUGCAGGGGCGGGAGGACUACUCGGUCCCCGACGCGAUGCUGCGGUUCGCCAAGAGCCACGGCGUCGCGGUGCGCGGCCACAACGUGUUCUGGGACCAGCCGAGCCAGCAGCCGUCCUGGGUGCGGUCGCUGUCGUACCAGCAGCUCCAGCAGGCGACGGCGCGGCGGAUCAAGUCGGUGAUGUCGCGGUACGCCGGGCAGGUGAUCGCGUGGGACGUGGUGAACGAGAACCUCCACUUCAACUACUUCGAGGGCAAGUUCGGGUGGGACGCGUCGGCGGAGUUCUACCGCAAGGCGCACCAGCUGGACGCGCAGGCGCUCAUGUCCAUGAACGAGUACAACACGCUGGAGUGGCCCGGCGACCCGAUGGCAGGGCCGAGCAAGUACCUGGGCAAGCUGUUCCAGAUCAAGAAGUUCCCGGGCAACGCCAACGACGCCAGGAUGGCCAUCGGUCUGGAGGGCCACUUCUCCGUGCCCAGCAUCCCCUACAUCCGCGCGGCGCUGGACACCAUGUCCAAGGCCAACGCGCCCAUCUGGCUGACCGAGAUCGACGUCGCGCCGGGGCCCAACCAGGCGCACUACCUGGAGCAGAUACUCAGGGAGGUGUACGCGCACCCGGCCGUGCACGGCAUCAUCCUCUGGACGGCGCGCCACCCGCAGGGAUGCUACGUCAUGUGCCUCACCGACAGCAACUUCAGGAACCUACCCACGGGCGACGUCGUCGACAAGCUCAUCGCGGAGUGGAAGACGCACUCGCACGCCGGCGUGGCGGACGCCGACGGAUACUACGAGGCCGAGCUGUUCCACGGGGACUACAAGGUCACCGUCAGCCACCCGGUGGCCAACUCCACCGUGGUGCAGAGCCUGAGCGUCGACAGGGAGACCGACACCGAUAGCGAGUACACCAUACACGUCUAGCUGCUGCCUUAGCUAGCUCCUACAUAUAUACCUACGUAGCCUCCUUCCAAGUACUCCUACUAGCUAGGACUAGGAUAGGAGGGGAUUGAUAUACAUACGCAUACACGUGUGCAUGUGCAUGAUUGUGGGUCUAGAUUCUAGGGUAUUGUGGUUUGUGAUGUCGUCAGUCAGUCAGUCAGUCAUAUACACAUACAUAUAUAGGGCGCCCGAGAGAUAGAAUUCCUGGUGAGGCGAUCCAUGUGAUGUUCAUAUAAAACAAAAGGAGGAAUUCGAUUUGUUCUUCAAUAUACAUGCAUCCUCUAUAGCUUUAUCUCAUCCCUGUGCCUGUGGACACGAAUCGUAAAGAACAAACAUUACCAAUCUCACUACCUACUAGUACGACGCUAUUAAUUUUGCUAAAGGUAGCUUAAUAGAGAUGUGCCGUACGUGUCAUAUCAAAACUCAAACCAAGGCACGAGACACUCACACUAUUGAUACUUUUGAAAUCAUGUAGACCCUUAAUUUGGUUUUAGUAAUUAAUAAUGACAACAAGUUAUUUGUGACUUUCUUUUCUUGGCACUAAUUAUGAUAAAUAAAAGUAAGACUCCCUUUGUACUAUAAUAUAAAUGCAUUCUAGCAAUUUUAAGACAAAUUAAGAGAGAAACAUAAAAGACACAUGUACACUUAUUUAUUUUCUAAAUUACUCUCUUUUUCCUGCAAUACAAUUCAUUCUAGUAAUUUUAGGACAAAUUAAGAAAAAAAACAUAAAAAGACACUAUUACCCUCAUUUUUUUAAUCAGACGCUACCGUCAACGUGAUUGAUGGUAAUUGGUUGAUAAAUGAAAAGUAUUUAAUACAAAAUUGGUUUUCGUUCUCUAAAAUGUAUUAUAUUUGAGGACGAAUUUUGAAUGCUAGAAUGCACUAUAUUACAGGACGGAGGGAGUAGACACUAUCAUCAAUGUGAUUAAUGGUGAUUGGUUGAUCAAUAAAAGGUAUUUAACGUAAAAUUAGUUUUUAUCCUCUAGAAUACAUUAUAUUUGAGGACAAAUUUGAAUAUUAAAAUACACAAUAUUAUAGGAUGGAUGGAGUAUAUACAACAAUUAAAGUUUCAAAUGUUUGAACAAAACUUGUCCAAACACAAGUAGUAUUUAUAAUAAUGGAGGGAGUAGUAUUGUAGCAAUACAAAUAAGCUGAUGUAUGCAGUUGUUCCCAACAACGUGCAUUACCCUAAAUAGUGACCAAGUGGGUCUGGGCAUGCGUUACUUAGGAGUAAUGUUACCUACUAUAUGUGAAACGGCCUUCCUACUAUUUUUAUCCCACCUUAUUGCAUUUGCAUCUUGAAGAAGAGUUAGACCAAAUAUAGCUCUUUGGUCCCCCGUUGUUCUCUCUUCUAAAAGCUUUUUUUUGAACAUUUCUCUCUUCUAAAAGCUACUAUAUAAACAAAAGCCUUUCGAAGUAUACGGUGCGCAUCGUAGAGCGUCAAAAGAAAUAAUAAGAUGGUUUCCACAGGAAAGUUGGUCUUCAUCGUGUUGAUCGUGCUAUUUGAAGGUUAGUUCUUUCUAAUUAGAUUUAACUACGCAUUUUCUUUUUUCAAAUGUAAUAGCAAAUUUACUGACUCAAUCAAUAUGUAUAAGCAUAAAAAACAUAUUGUUUUUUUACAAUAUUACAUCAGCGGGAGAACUCUAAUUAAACUACUGACUCACAAUCGAGGGCUGUUCUGUAUGUGCAAGAUCAAAAUGCUGAAAUUUCUUGAUGCUGAAAUUUCAAAAAAAAAAAGGUUCUGAUGCUGUGAUGCAUAACCAUCUAUCCUCUCGACGCAGGAUCCUUGGUCACUUCAAAAAAGGGCUAUUCUUCAGAACAGCCAACAAAAACGACCGGUGGCUAUUCCCCCAAGGAAACAUCAGAAAAGGCAGACGUUUCCUCAACGAAAUCAUCAGGAACGGUCCCCUAUGACUACUCCGCAAACAUUGAGGUAAGCAGCACUUUUAUGCCCCUAGUAAAAACAUUCCCACACACCCUGUGAGUUGUGAAGUCGUCGUUUCCAUCAGCACUUAUAUGCCCUGCUCGACACCGUUGCUUGCAUUGCAGUGCAUCAAGGAGCCGGAGAAACCUCUGUAUGGAGGCGGCAUCAUCAGCGCCGCCGACUCCAGUGGCAAGAAGUGCCCUAUCAAGGGCUCCGUGCUCAAGGUCGACCUCAAGAAGGACUACCACUACGCACUCUCCGGUAAUCGGCACUCAUAUACAUUGUCCAAUUCACUCAUCCACGAGAUCGUCCUUGUGAUCAGUCGACCACCAGGCGUCGAGGACGAUGCAGCUAAUACUACCUCAAUGUUCUCCCAGUUUGGCUGAAGUUUUCCAAGGGCACCGGCGACAUCACUGCCAUAAUCGUGACGCCCGAUGGCAAGUUCAACACCGCCGGCGCGAUCGUGGCCAAGUCUGAGUGCUGGACCUUGCUCAAGGGUGGAGCCACCUCCUACGCCGAAGGCAAGAGCGAUCUCUUCUUCGAGGUAAUGUAAUACUCAGUUGGCAGGACAAUCUUUGCAAACUAUUAAUCAGUCCAACGAGACGUUACAAUAAUGAGUGCAGAGCAACUCCACCGCGGAGAUCAUGGCGGAGAGCAUAGCGCUGCAGGGAUUCAGCUUUGAAGAGUGGAACGCUCACCGCGAAGAAGUCGUCGCCAAGGUAAUGCGGGUUCUCCAGCCACCCAAUGCCAAAAAAUGGCAGUGGAACAUAAUUCCGAUUCCGAUUCCAAUGCAGGAACGCAAGAAGAAGGUGAAGAUCACGGUGGAGAGCGGCGGCAAGCCGUUGCCGGACGCGGAGCUGUCUGUGGUGUGGGUGGCCAAGGGGUUUCCCCUGGGCAACGCCAUGACCAAGGAGAUCCUGGACAUGCCCGAGUACGAGGAGUGGUUCACGAAGCGGUUCAAGUGGGCGACGAUGGAGAACGCGAUGAAGUGGUACAGCACGGAGUACAACGAGGGUGAGGAAGGGUUCGUGGUGGCGGACAAGAUGCUGGCGCUGGCGGAGAAGCACAACAUCUCGGUGCGCGGCCACAACGUGUUCUGGGACGACCAGAGCCACCAGAUGCCGUGGGUGAGCAAGCUCAGCGUGGACAAGCUCAGGGCCGCCGUGGCGAAGCACCUCAAGAGCGUCGUCUCCCGCUACGCCGGCAAGGUCAUCCACUGGGACGUGGUGAACGAGAACCUCCACUUCAGCUUCUUCGAGGAGAAGCUGGGCAAGGACGCGUCCGGGGAGAUCUUCAAGGAGGUGGCCAAGCUGGACCCUAAGCCCAUCCUGUUCAUGAACGAGUUCAACACGAUCGAGCAGCCCUGCGACAAGGCGCCGCUGCCGACCAAGUACCUGGCCAAGCUGAGGCAGAUCCAGUCGUACCCGGGCAACGAGGACCUCAAGUACGGCAUCGGCCUGGAGAGCCACUUCGCCAAGCCCAACAUCCCCUACAUGAGGGGCUCACUGGACACGCUGGCGGCGGCCAAGGUGCCCAUCUGGCUCACCGAGGUGGACGUCACCAAGGGGCCCAAGCAGGUGGAGUUCCUGGAGGAGGUGAUGAGGGAGGGGUUCGGCCACCCGGGCGUCAAGGGCAUCGUCAUGUGGGCGGCCUGGCACGCCAAGGGCUGCUACGUCAUGUGCCUCACCGACAACAACUUCAAGAACCUGCCGCAGGGGGACCUCGUCGACAGGCUCCUGGACGAGUGGAGGAAGGUGCCCGAGAAGCCCAUGACGGACAGCAAUGGUGUGUUCGAGGCCGAGCUCUUCCACGGCGAGUACCAGGUCACCGUCAAGCACGCGUCGCUCAAGGAGCCCAUCGUGCAGACGGUGGACCUCGACACCAAAUCGGAGGCCGCCAUAAAGGCCUAGCUAAUUAACUGCUUAAGAGUACUCCACGCAUCAUGUCGGUGUCGCUCACUGUAACAUUCCCAUUUGUAUGACGGUGUCGCUAACUUGUAACAUUCCAAUCUGUUUUUCUAUAUAAAUAUAUAUACAUAUGAUCUUUUUUAUUCCAAAAUCCAAAUAGUUGGCCUACAUUUCGUGAGGAGUUUCUUAGACUCAGUCACAUUACAGUGAGAUCAGAACAACAAAAUCGUCUUAUCAUUAAAUUAAAUAUAACAACUCAUUAAUUAAGAAUUAUGCACACAAAUUAUUGUUAUUGCGUACUUCAGCCUUAACAUAGUCUAAAAGGAAAAAAACAUAGUCAGACAUGCCGUUAUUUAUGUUUGUUUGUUUGUUGGACAAACUAGUCUAUCAAACUUCAUGUAGUAAAAAGUGUUGGCUAAGGUUUGUGCUACCUACAAAUGUGACAAAGAAUGGCAAGGAAAACAUUCAAUAUAAUUAAACAGAUAUAAACGCCAAAUUCUUUGGGUUUUAUCAAAACUUUAGCAAGGUUGAUUUGUGCAAACAUACUCUAAAAUAAGUAAUACAAUUCAUUAAUUUUAGCGCUGCAAGGUUUGUGCAACUAAGAUUGACAAGGUAAAGCGUGGAAGUGCUAAACAAAAGACAAACCUACAAAAGAUAGCAAUUCUCAACGCUCAGACUUGUAUGUCCAAACCUAUACCUUAAAGUUCAUCUGCAUGCGCAUGCCACCUACUAAAGUAAAGAGCACCUACACUCUUAUAUGUCCAAAUCAUCAUCUGGAUCUUCAUCUGAGUCAGGUUGCUCGUCAUCUGAAUCACGGAAGUAAUGUAUUUCACCCUUUGCAGUUCCAGAUUUGGGAGCUUUCAUUUCAUCCACAAGGGCCGGUGCGGUUAAAUUGGGGUCACGCUGAGCCUCAGGUAGGGACCGGCGACCAUCAUAUAUACGAAUUGGUUCACCAUUUCCUGAGAUAAAAUGUGGGAAAGUCAAGUUCCAGAUGCAAAGCACCUCCCAGAAUCAAAACACAACCUUAAACUGAUGCUACUUAGAAAUAACUUGGCUUCAUAAAAUUUACCUUGAUGUUCAAAAGGGAGAACAACAUUUGCCCUGUCACUGCGCUCUUUCUCUGACAGCUCAAGAUUGAACUGAACCUGUUGAACCAACUUAUCACAAUUUACAACAACGACUAAUAUUUAUAAAUGGGAGUAACAACUAACAUAAGUGGCACACAACAGUGUUUAAUUGUUCUAUAAUCUAGAGUGUAGAACUAACCUUAGGCACUAGACUUUGGUUCACUUCUAUACUCACAGAAGGAGCAGAAUCAAAUUUGAUAUCAUUGCCAUCAAUAUACAGGUCCUCAUACUGCACAGGUAGGGUUUGUACCAAAUAUCAACCAGCUUUCCUCAAUUGAAUUUAGAAGGAAAGAAAAAAUAAGAACACUGAAGCAACAGGGAGCCUUACAAGGUGCUUCACCCGUCCAUUUCGUCUUUUAAGGCGCACAAUAAAUUUUACUUUUGAAUAAUUUUGCUCAAGGAUAGACAUGUUUCCAGGACUCUCUCCACAAACAGGAUCCACAAGUGCUGGCUCCACACAAGCAACCAUAGUAGAAAGACAUUCAAAUGCUCGGGGCACCUUGGGCUCAUGAAGGUCUGAACGUAUCAUCCAAAAUAUUGAUGAUACUUGUUCUACAAUAGGACACAUAUAUAUUAAUGCACUUUUAGUGUUACUUGAAGGCAUUUAGAAGUCCAGAGUUUGAGAUAAGCAUGUACAAUGUUACAGAUCUAUACUCACACUAAAAGACAAAUAUGAUUCACAUCCCUGAAAAUAUUAUUACACUGCAAGAAAUUCAGUUUCAGCUGCUCAAGGUUACACUAACACUAUGAUAUGCAUUGAAGAUAGAACAAGCAGGGAUACCAUGGCUUCGAAGAUUACUAAGAAGGCCUGAAAUUGAUGGCACUGAAGCAUGCCUUAACAUGGAGCUAAUCUGAAAUAACAUAGAGGAUGUUUGGUGUUAAGCAUCAAAUGAAAGUUAAAUAUAUAAGAGCAAUGAGUCAAUGGACUUUCAUCUUUUCAAUAUUGGAUUAUAUAAAGAGAUAAUAUAGGUGUUUCCUUCAAACAGUAAACAAUGACAACUAAAACAAAAUAGUGGAAUACUUUGGAAUGAUGUCAUACUGCUCUAUUGUUGGUGAGAUAAUGAUUUGGCUGUUAGUUAGAGAUAUGCUAAUGAUAAUUCACCACAAUUACAACCUAUUGAACAGCAACUGAACUCCAAUAACAAAACCAUUGAAGUAUAAGAAUAUAUCUUCUGUUUAAUUAUGUCUCAUACAUAAUCCGAACUCCAGGUAUUGUUAAAUCAGUUCCAUACAUAAUUAAACAUGGGCGAUGAAACAAUCUUCAACAAAUGAUAUUAAGCUCAGUAGGAACCCAGUUUUGUCUAUGGGGGAAACAAAGUUACUAUACAUAAUCCGAAGUAUUGUUUCCACCCACAAAAAGGUCACAGAGAAGUAGUUAGUUCUUACUGAGUCAACAGCCACAGAAAAAUACUUUUUGCCUUCUCCUUCAAAAUCUGACAUCCAUAACGUAAGCAAGUUAGGAUUAGGGAAGAAACAAAGAGAUAUUAACAGGUCAAAUGUUCUAUGGUAGAUAAUACCUCCUCCAAGUUCAGUAGUGAAGGACAGCAAUUUUGUAACAUCCUUCACACUUCUAUAAACAGUAAUGUUCUCUUUGUUUGUUGAGAGCUUUGCACUGUUCCCUUGAUGCUGCUGGUUUUGAAUCUUCUGCUUCCAUCCAAGGGGGUCAGAAUAGCAAUCCAAUAUUCGAACACUGUUGAAUGCAUGCAAAAUUGUCAUCUACAUUUUAUCAAAAGGAAUGCAUUCUGCCUUACAGAUAGUGUGACAAAAGAGUGUCCAGAUGGCUUGAGCAUUUAACUCUUCAGAUGGCACGUCAAACUGCCAAAUCGGUAUAUCAACUUCAGAUUUAAAUUGAGAAGGAGAUUUUAUGAGCAUUUAUGAAUUUUAAGUUUAAAAUUUCUUUGCAUAGUGGCCCCACAGAUGUUUCUGGUAUUUGUGUUACCAACUAAUCCAAAGUCUGAUUUUGCACAAGCUGAGAUACCAAUAGUUAAAUUUGUGCUCAGCCAACCAAGACGAACAACGAAUCAAAAUUAGUGAUAUAUUUUAAGCAGGAAUGAAAAUGCAUAAGCUCCCACCCCAGAAAGUUGGUUAAUCUAAGAAUCUUCUUUGAUCUAUGCUUAGCAGCAGCUACAUUGGCAGUAGACCACCCUGGUACGAAAGAGGCUCUUGUUUAUCAAUUACUCCAUUUUUUUUUGCCAAUUCUGCACCAUCUUUUGCCAUUAAAAGAAAAAUCUGAAUAGAAACCCCAAAUUGGAGAUAAAUUCCAACAUCAAUGUCCAUGUCAGAGUAACAUUCCGUGUGUCUGAAAAAUAUUCACGGUUUUGGACCGUGCACAAACAAACAACUUCUAUUUAUCAGAAAUGGUUCUGUGAGAUCAUACCAUCGGUUCAAAGCAUUUGCGUCAAGGCCGCGACGCUGCAUGAAUUCCAGGUACACCUGCGGGCUCCGAUCAAAUGCCACAACAACCAGCCCCCUGCACCAUCAAAAGUUCACAACCAAGCUAAUUCACAUCAUCAGCCAAAUCUACGCAAAGCCUACGCACCAGGAGGCUAAGAGACUAACAAAACCUGGCCUGCGCCUUCCCUGCGGCGACCUGGGAGGCGAAUGCGGCCGCGAUGUGGAGCAUCGCGCCCGCCGCGAGCGAGCAGCACUGGAGCGAUCCCUCCACAGCCAGCGCCGGCGCGUGCUCUCCGUCGAGCCGUCCGUCCCGGAGGCACCUCACGACCGCCUCCGCCAUCCUCGCCGCCGCUUAGUGCCUAAACCCUAGCUCACACAAGAGCCCGAGACGGGUCGCCAAACUCCCGGGAGGCCGGAAGAGAGUACGCUGGACCCACCUGUCAGAGAGACACGGGACCCCUUACCCGUGUCGGAUACUCGGAUAUAGCCAGGCCGAACUCGUUUGACCCCACCUAGACCUCUUGUUAGUUGUUACCUCCUGCUCCGCUACUCCUCCCGUCUUCCGGCGGCCCCGGGGAAAGGAAGAGGGGAGAGGGGAGAUGAAGGCGUGCGCGAAGGCGGCGGGGGAGAGACUACCGCUGGUCCGUGCUCCGUCAACCAGUCAGCCUCUGGCUCGGAGGUAUUAUUAUCUCUCUCUGUCCUCUGGUCAAUUUUCCUUCGCUUGCUCCCUAAUCGUUCGAUGCCCUCGUUUCAUAAUCUUGAUAUGCUAUAAGCAUUAUCAGUUAUUUAACUACAUAUAUAUAUAGAAACAAAUUGACAUGUAGUAGGAGUGUAUCCAUCAAGCAUGACCUGUUCUAGUGCGCAUAAGCAUGCCACUGCCCGUGCCCAGUACAGGAGCCAGAGUAUUGUGUCACCGGGAUCAGGCGCUGGGCUUCACAGUCUAACAUACUGUAAUAUAUAUUUUUUGUUUCCUUAGAAGGGUGAUUUGAUCGUUUCACAAUUGAAAUCGGAAAGUUCAUCGGGUUGAGCUGGCUCUGACAAUUACAUUAGCUCUGCCACUGCCACAAAUUGGCGCGUUAGUAUCGUUACUGGGUUGCCAAACUUUAUUUAACAGUUAAAUUACUAUGGUAUGUUUUUAUGCUCCUUUGUAUGUGUGUGAGAAUGGAAAAUACAAAAUGCAUGAACAGUUGCAUUCCCUCCCAACUACCUGGAUACAAACCAUGUGAUGGCAAGUGAUUCUUUUGUAUUUGAACAUCACUGUAUCUGUAAAGUACCCACCAGUAGCAGCUAGCGCCGUCCCUGAGACUUUGGUGGCCUGGGGCAAAUCAAAGGUGGCCCUAAGACAAUUUUUUUUUGUGCCGAGUACAAAUCAAACUUUUAGCACACUGCACGAACAUGAAUCAUUAGUGAUAGGGAACUAAACCUGUUAUUUUUAAUAAAUAAAGAUAUUUCAUUGAGCUGUUUUCAAAUUCUCAGUCCAUUCUUCAAAUCCCUGUUCAUUUCGCUGAAAUUUGGCUUAUGCUGAUUUGUUGUGAGAGGAAAACGUUGUUCCUUAAGUAAUGCUGAGGAACAGGGCAUAGUUUUAGAUUCCAAAGGCAAAAGAAAGAAAAAAAUUCUUAACAAGUCUAUAAUUCAGGAUCUUUUUGAUAGAAUAUGUGACUAUGUGUAUCAAUUCAUUUGCUCGUAUCUUUCCACAUCAAGAUAAAUGCUUUAUACACAUGUUACUUACCACAUUAUAAUAUAAGAGAUGAAAGCAAGGAAUAAAUUCACAUGAAUUUGAUGUUUUGGUACACACUGAAGUCAUUAGUAUAUAUUAGAGCCUGUCUUGAGUACACAUUUGACUAUUUGAGUUUUCAGUGGUAACAGAGUCUAGGCUAGACAACAUUUCAGCAGAGAGCAAUGAAUGGAUAUCAUGAAUCAUGAUAUGAGAAGCUUAUAAGCAUUAAGAUAUGAGUUGAGGGGGGUUAGUGCUGGAACGCAAAAGGCUGCACCAUGGCCAAAGGUGCAGAAACAAAACAAUCCAAAUUAGUGUGCUUGUAUUUUGUAUUUGUAAACAAAUAAUACUAGCUCAGGUCCCAGUGGCCCCGCUUUCCCUGCCGUUGCGCUUGGGCACCUUGGCCUGGCAGUAGUACCUUUAUGCUGAUUGAGCUUCUUGUUACCCCCAUGAUACCGACUUCAUAUCAUUAUUAGUAUAGAUUGGGUCUGUUGAUUGAUAUUCUGUGUAUCUUUAGUCACGAGAAAAUUGGGAUUUUAGGUUUCUUGGUUUGCCAGUGAACUGUAGACACAAACAGUAUUGAAAAAUUGUGGGCAUGAUGAAUCUUCAUCCUCAGUUUCUAAAUUAUGUCACAUAUUGCUACUGAAAUAAAAUAUUCCAUGAAAAGUAUUUGCUUGAGAAUUAUGUUUUUCAUGGAGACUCUUUUUUAGUGCACUCUGCACUGGACAACUAUUUGUUUCUUUUAUCGGCAUUACUACAUGCAUGCUAACACGGUGACACAUUUCUAUGUUCAGCUUUGUUAAGGUAAGCAGAUUACCCUCUCAACAUGAGACGAAGUGUCAAGUAUCCUGCUCAGUUAGGGUGUCAGAAAACACAGCUCGCAGAAUAUAUGCCACAGCAGAAAACAUUUUCCCGGCAAUGAAAGAUCAUGUCUUGAAAGCAACUGAUGCAAUCAACAGAGGAGAAGUGAUUGCGGUGCCCACUGAUACCAUAUACGGGUUUGCGUGUGAUGCCUGGUUAGUGUUUUCUUCAUUCCCCUAGUCCCAUAGGAAUUUUAAUGCUUAUAUGCCUUGCCCUAUGUUAGGACAAAAUACAGUUAUACAGCAAUAUUCUGUAGCACAGUGAGUCCAAAGUUCCUUCAUAAUAAUUGCAGGAUCAAGUAAUGAGGAAUCUGUACCCAUAAAAUUUGGUGAGAGGAAACACACACAAACAUUUCAUAUAUCUCUUUUAGUUACUUUCUGAUUCUGCUUUUAUCCCCAACUAGAAAUUAGGACCGAUUCAUCCUUUCAAGUCUCAAGAUGAGAAUUUCAUUUAGGAGUUUCUUUGGCCGUGUUUCAUUUUUUGUAUUCUUUAUUUAUGUUUUGGUUUCUUAAAACACUCUUCAUGACAGCUCUGCGGGAGCAGUUAAUCGUAUUUAUGAGAUCAAAGGGCGUAUACAAACACGGCCUCUGGCAAUUUGUGUUGCUGAUGUCUCAGACAUAUCACGGUUUGCUUUAGUGGACCACUUGCCACAUGGCUUGCUUGAUAGUCUACUUCCUGGGCCUGUCACUGUUGUUCUAAAACGAGGUCAGUUACCACACUGUUUUUCUUAGUUUUAUGUAACAUCUGUCUUAAGCAGGCUGUGGUGUUGAUCAUAGUAUUCAUUUGUUUACAUUUAGGUGAAAACAGCAUAUUAGAGAGAUCACUUAAUCCUGGCUUGGAUAGCAUUGGAGUUCGUGUGCCGGAUCUGGAUUUCAUACGAUCCAUUGCUCGUGGCGCUGGAAGUGCACUUGCACUUACCAGCGCCAACUUAAGCGGACAGCCUAGUAGUGUCAGUGUCAAAGAUUUUGAGGGUUUAUGGCCACAUUGUUCAUGUGUCUUUGAUGGUGGAGUACUUCCUUCUGGGCGUGCUGGUUCAACAAUUGUUGAUCUAAUAACACCAGGAGUCUACAAGAUAUUGAGAGAUGGAAGGUAAGCGGUACUAGUCAUAUCAAUUCCUUAAAACUUUAAUGAAAUGCCCUCAUCAAAUUGAGCGAUGGAAGCAUGAAACUGUUUCUACCACAAUGUUUAGACUGAAUAAUCUUUGACACCAAGUGCAAAAUCGCAGCUCAAGGAAGGAAACAGCAGCUGUGCUUGGCAAGUUUGGCUUUGUUGAAGCUUCGUGACGACUUGGUGCUUUAAGAAAGUUGGCACGAUCAAAGAGUUGCUUUCUUAUCCAUAGCAUCUCCUGUUUAAUUAGUGAUGUAUAUCGGAGCUUUUUUUUUUUGCUGUUUGUGCUUUUCUUUUACAAUCUUCAAACGUACUGUUGUAAUGUGAAUGCGAUCUUGAGUAGAAUAGCAGAGUUCACAUUAUUUAAGCUGUGUAGAGUGUGACAUGGGUUUGUUUUUUAGCAAAUGAUGCAACUAGGUUGGGGACUUUGGAUGUGUUGUGGACGAAAAUUUGGCAUUUUUUGUGCCUGCGCUUUUCGCCCAAUUCUGCUUGUUGGCUUCUAGAUGACGUCAACUGUUUACAUAACUUACUAAAACGAACAGUGGUCAUAAUCGUGACUCGUGAGUUGAGAUGAUGACAUCUCAAAGAAUAAACUCUCUCUGGAAUUUCCUUAGGGAUAAUUAGGAGUUUUAUUUUUACUUUUGCUAGGGCGCUAAUGUUCUUUUGUUUUGUCACUAUUCGUUCUAGCUGAUUAUGGUUGAAAAAAUUAAUUGCUCCGAUGGAGAUCUUUGCAACACCGAACACAAAUGUUCUACCUAAUGAAGCAAAAGUCUAGCUCCAUAGUUAUAUGAGAGUACGUACAUGCCGUUGUUUGUGGUUUUCAGUUUACAGUCUUUGAACUUAUUCUUGUGACUUGAUGUUGAGUCGAAUAGCAGAAUGAUGUAGAUUUGUUUUGAUGCAAAUGAAGCAACCAGGCUGGGAACUCUUUAUGUUCUGUGCACACGACAGGAAAUGUAAGAGAAUCGGAGUUUUUCCUCGAGUCUCAUUUCAGUGAAAAAAAAAUGCAUUAUUAUAAGAAAAAUAAGCAUCAGAAUGGCGACAGAGGCAGUUAACGUUGACCUGAAGCCAAAGCCAAAGGGGGGAUGAUAAGCUUUAAGGAAAAAAAAAAGGAAAAGGGCGAUAAGCUGAAGCAUGGAACAUUUUACUUUGGAAUCUUGGAGAGUAGGAUUAAAAAUGGUCUUUUCCUUUGCUUUCCAUUGCAAUUUUCCAAGGUGAAAACUGAUGAUACACACGAAUGACUAAGCUUCUAUCUAAGCUUUCACAGUUCUGACGGGCAGCAGGUAAUUAACUGGUAAUGAUCCAGUGCCCUGACUGAAAUCUUACAUUACACCUAGCAACUGAAGAAUAAGAAUAGCCCGGCUGGUCUAGACCUGCAUGUCAAUGAAGUAGUGCUCACUGCCUGAGCCCAGCUCCACCUUGACGCUCCGGGAGAUGGAGCUGUUGAGCGCGGGGUGGCUGACGGUGACCUUGUACUCGCCGUGGACGAGGUCGGCCUCGAAGUAGCCCUGCGCGUCCGUGGCGCCGGCCCGCGGGCUCGCCCGCCACUCGGCGAUGAGGCGGUCCACGACGUCCCCCUGCGGCAGGUUCUUGAAGUUGUUGUCGGUGAGGCACAUGACGUAGCACCCCUGCGGCUGCCACGCCGACCAGAUGACGAUCCCCUGCACCGCCGGGUGCGCGUACGCCUCCCGCAGCACCUCCUCCAGGUGCUGCGCCUGCGACGGGCCUGGGGCGACGUCGACCUCGGUGAGCCAGACGGGGAUGCCGGCCUGCGCCAGUGUGUCGAGCGCGGCGCGCAUGUAGGGGAUGUUGGGCUUGGUGAAGUGGCCCUCGAGGCCGAUGGCCAUGCCGGCGCCGUUCUCCGGGUAGGCGGCGAUGAUCUGCUGCAGGCGCUGCAGGUACCUGGCCGGCAGCGCGGCCAUGUCUCCCGGCUGCUCCAGCGUGUUGUACUCGUUCAAGAACAUGAGCGCGGAGCCGGUGUCCAGCAGGCGCGCGGCGGCGUAGAAGGCGGUGGACGCGUCCCAGCCGAAGCGUCCCUCGUAGAAGUUGAAGUGCAGGUUCUCGUUGACCACGUCCCAGCCGAUGACCUGGCCGGCGUAGCGCGACAUGACGGAGCGGAUCCGCCGCGACGCCGCCGCCAGCAGCUGCGGGUAGGGAAGCGACUGCACCCACCCGGGCUGCUGGCUCGGCUGGUCCCAGAACACGUUGUGGCCGCGCACGGCGAUGCCGUUGGACUUGGCGAACGCCAUCAUGGCGUCCGGGACCGUGUAGUCCUCGCGCCCCGGCGCCGGCUCCGUGCUGUACCACUUCAUCUCGUUCUCGAAGGUGGCCACCGCGAAGCGGGACGCGAACCACGUCUGGUACGCCGAGUUGGUGAGAAUGUACCGGCUCACGGCCGCGCCCAGCGGGAAGUUGGUCCGGACCGCGUCCAGGGACACCGCCGCGCCUUCCAGCGGAUUCCCCGCGGAGUCCGUCGCCUGAAGCCUCACCGUCUUCUUGCGCGCCGCCACCACGGACUGGGCACGGUGCGCCGUCCACUCGUCCUUGGAGAAGGGCUUCAGCGACACGCUGUCCACCCACAGGUCCACCGUAGCGUUGCUCUGCAGGGACGGACACACGAUCAUGUGAAAUUUGCGAAGCCAACGAACUAAUGAAUCUUAUUACUGAAUCCUACCUCGAAGUAGAGCUCGGCCGGACCCGAAGACGCGGCGGUGAGGCCGCCCUUGAGCAUGGACCAGCAACCGGCCUUGGCGACGACGCCGCCGGCGUGGACGAAGUCACCGACGGUCUUGACGACGGCCCGCACGUCGGCGCUUGCGUCGCUGACCUGCAACCACGCUGUAACCAGCCGGGGCGACGACGGAGCUGAUCAGUAACAUUUCAGUCCCGAAAGGAAUCGGAAACCACACGCGGCGAGGGCGAUCCAUCGUUACCGGAGAGGGUGUAGUGCGUGUCGCCCUGCAGGUACACCUUCUGGCUGACGCUCUGGUACGCCCGCGUCCGGUUGAGCGCGACGGCGAACCCGUUGCCCGCCGCCGACUUGCUCUCCGCGAUGCUGCCGUAGCCAAAGGUGGACCAGCCCCGGAGGCCCGCGCUGAAGUCGGCGUUGCGGAGGAUGCCGCCGCCGUACUGCGGCUCCAGCGGCUCCGGCAGGCACUGCAGCACGCGACCAUCAUUACUUUUUUUUUUCGUUAAUUUGAUUUUAAUCGAUCAAUUUGAAUUUUGGCGGAUGCAGCUGUGCAAGUUUCCCAUCGGAAUCCUUAACGAAGGGAUGUUCCUUUGAUCUUGGCAAUAAGCAGAUGCUUUGCUUUGCUGGUAUAACUAGAAACAUGCAUGCGUGUACCUGAGAUUAUCAGACAAUCGAUCGCUCUAACGAUGGUUUUAGCUUACUUGUGCAGCAUGCCACGUGGACCAAAUCUUUUAAAUUUGGGGAAGUGUUGUAGUCUAAAAAAUGCUAGAUGACGUCGUUUGUGUUUUUUUGUCGAGCUUGGCGUGGCUUAUAUGACACGUAAACACACACACACUUGACAUCGACGGACACAGCUACGCCGGCGCCGGCGCCGCCGUCGUGCAUGGCACUGAAAAGCAUAUAACGUACGUACGGGAAAAUUAACAUAGGGGACGACGGGAAUUCCAUCUUAAGCAGUAUUAGCUCACAACGGGAACGAAUUGCGUGCGGUGGGGUGGAUUAUCGUGCAGCCCGUGACAAAAGGCAGCCAAUUGGCGGCAAUGAUUAUAUAUUAUUUUGCUAAACUAAGCUCGAAUGCCGGCCGGUGAAGCUUCUGCUGGACCACGAAUGUGUCCUGCCCAGAUGGGUUAUGGGCAGGUGAAACUGCGAAAGCAACAGGACACACACACACACACACAGGAGCGGAGCAGGGGACUUGCCUCGAUGCUUGCAGAGUAAUCGUAUGGGAGAGAUUUCACCAUGCAGCCUGCACAGACGGAGAACGAACCAGCAAAGUAAGCAGCAAUGUCAGUUAUAGUUACAGGCCAAGUUUCUCAGAGAAUGCAAUGGCAGAGCAGUGAGAGGAAUGAACCAGAGGCUUGGUCUACGAGUAACCUUACCUUGCAGGAGAGCAAUCCAUCCGAGCCAGAAGGCGAGUUUAUCCACCAGACCGUUAACUUUGGUCAUCUUAGCUUGUCUCAGCAGGCACCCACAAUCUGCAGCAAAUUAGCAUCAAUAACGCGCCUGUCUAGGCAAUAUGGCGGCGACAUGCAUGCUGGUAGUUCUAGAGAGCAACAGAGCUCUAGCAAUGGACAAUGGCGCAGCAUGCACAGUACCCCGCCUGCGUACAGAAGCCAGUGCAAGGUGGUUGUGCUGAGGCGGUGAAGAAGAAGAAGAAGAAGGCGAGGAAGAAGACGGCCGGCGGACCCAGCGGGGCCUGUUAGCUACUCCGAGGUUUGUUGUGCGAGCCUGUGCUCAGGUGAAGAGAGAGUGCAGUUCGGGACCACGGAAUGAGAGACAUGACCUUUGCGUGGCCUCCCCAAUCCCCAUUUAUAGGCGACGGCGGCGGGCGAACACCCCCGCGAGCGGCCCUGGGAUAUCCGUUGGCACUUGCUUGCCGGCCGCGGUCACCUACGCCCACGGGAGAGCUUCCCGCGAGGGCCACCCAAAGACAAAGAGUGAGUGCCCGCCCGGGCCUUUGACUUCAUUUGCCGCGGCGCGCACACACUUGCCGCCGCCCUCUGCGUAUUCUACUCGCAACUGUGGUGGCCGUGGCUCGGCAGACGGUACGAGAAAUUUUAUGGACCUGACCCUUUUAGCGUCACAUGUAUUGGCACCAGUGGCGGAUCUAGGAGGGGGGAUAAAGGGGAGCUAAAUAGUGAACAUUUAGAAUUAAAGAUAAAAAGAUUAAUAAUAUUUUAAGGCUACUUAAUACUAAUUUAAUGAACAAAUCAGACUUAUUUUGGAUCCGCCCGUGAUUGGCACGACGUUACAUGACAUUUUGGAUGUAGAAAACGUUAUCACGCUAGUAGUGUUCUGUCACGCCACUGAAAAUAGCGUGACAAGACAAAAAAAAUUAAAAAUUAUAACUCUUUAAUACAAUGUCAGAUAAAAAUGAAAUUUAUACGAAGACUGUAGCUCUUGAUGAGAUCUACAACUUUAUAGUUUUGAGUUUCUUUGUUUGAGAAUGUUAAGAUUCUAAAAAACAGUAUAAAAUUUCAGGAGCAUAAUAAUUGUGUACUAGUAGGUCUUGUCGGAUUAGAAAAAUAAUAUAUUUUUUUGUAUAUUGUCAAAUAAAAAUACUUUUUACAUUAAAGUUGUAAGCUCUACAACUUUGGAGUUUUCAGUUUUGACAUUUGAGAUCAUUAAGAUGCUCAAAAAUUAAUAUAAAAUUUUAGGAGCAUAAUAACCAUGUACUAGUGCUUAUCGUACUGUUGUCAAAUAAAGAUACUUUUUAUACCAAAGUUUUAAAAUGUAUUUUUGUAUGACAUCAAAUAAAAAAAUAUAUGAUUUUUCUAAAAAGAUAAGCUUGGUACAUGAUUAAUAUGCUCUUAAAUAUUAUUUUUUUAUCUUAACUAUCUCAAAUAAAAAACCUUAAAACUAAAAGGCACAGUUAAUCUCAUAGUUAGCUAUAACUUUAAUAUAAAAUGUAUCUUAUUUGGCACCGAGUAUGAAAAAGUAUAAUUUUAGUAAGGCGACAAGACCUAGCGCAUGAUUAAUAUGUUGCUAAAACUUUCUAUUAAUUUAUAGAGUAUGUUAAUGACCUCAAAUAUGAAAACUCAAAACUAUAAACUUAUAGAUAUCAUUAAGGACUACAACUUUGAUAUAAAAUAUAUCUUCAAUUGACAUCAUACAAAAAUGAAAUUAUUUUUGUAAUGCGACAACUAGUAUGUGAUUAUUAUGCUGCUGAAAUUUAUAUUAUUUUUUUAGUAUCUUAACGAUCUCAAAUGUAAAAGUAAAAAACUACAAAGUUGUAGAGCUAUUGAGAGCUACAACUUUGAUAUAAAAAGUAUCUUCAUUUGACAACAUACGGAAAUUUAUGCCCCUGAAAUUUUAUAUUAUCUUUUUAGCAUCGUUCUUAGAUGAAAAAAACUCAAAACUACAAAGUUGUAGAUCUCAUCAAGAGCUACAAAAUUUAUCUUCAUCCGACGUCGUAUCAAAAAGUUAUAAUUUUUUAAAGGUUAUGUCUUGUCAUGCUACUCCUAGUCAUGUGAUAGCUUUUUCUACAUUGGAAACACCAUCUAAGAUAGAUGUUGCCGCACCAAUACAUGUAGCGUGACACUUUAUUUGGUUGCCCCAGCAACACUGGCGCGACUAAAAAGGUCAUAUUUGCAAAAUAAAAUUUAGAGCGAUUGUUAUUGAAAUAUUAAAUAAAAGGGAUUAAAAAAUAAAAAUAUUCCGAGGCCGGUUGGGUGUUUCAUGUUUGGUAUCCCCCUGCAACUGCAAGCAAGGUGACCGGGCCGGCACGCACGAAAGGCCUUCUCGUCUGUGCAUUGGUUCACUGACUGCAACAGCCACGCGUUCUCAGGCUCAGCGACUGAACUUCUCCUGGAUGGAGGCAUUAGUUCUCAGCCACUGAACUAGUGAACUUCACCUGGAGGCAGCCAUUGCAUGCAUGGUUUUCAGCGACCAGGGGGGUCCAGGCCCCAGGGUGCCCGGGCUGCAACUCGGGCGCGGCCUAAAAAUUCCUUUAACAGUUCCUUUGUUCAAACAAGAUAAUCUAUAAAAAUAUAGAUUUCGUCCUAUCUAAUUUGCCCUAAAAAUAGAGUGCACUAUUUUUAGCCCUCCUCUUUGAGAUGUUUCUGGAUCCACUACUGUCAGCGACUGAACUUCUUUCUCCUGGGAACCGGUUCGGUGCACCAUAUCUUCUGGUUCUGUUAAAGGCCACGCAUUUGGGAGGGAUCUGAUAAUACUGGUUUAGGUGAUCUGCAGUGCAUGAACAACCGACGUCAGAAUUGAUUAGCAGAAUCGUUGUGUGCUAGCUAACCAGAGCCGGCUGUGCAGUGGCUCAUUGUUGGAUGCAUGCAUGUGAUUAUGUGAACCAGAGCCGGCUUUGGCAACUGGCAGCUCAAAGGGCCCAACGAGUUCAUGUCAUGUUUUUUUUUUUAUGUAUGUAACUAUGUAUAUAGGAUAUAAAAGAAUACACAUAUGUGGUACACCAGGGAUUCGGAACAGAUCCUGGUUCCUCCACCAUGCGAAUGCGAUGGCCGUAUAUACCAAAAGUCGAAGCUGAACCCCACAAGCUUCUCUUUACCUGUGCACGGGCGAUCGCCCAAAACUUCUCUAGAGGAAAGAACCGCCAUCAUCAUGUGAAUGUUGGGGGUCAUAUUCAGGAUCUGCCAGCAGUUUUAACUUAUACGACUAGCUUUUCGCUCGUGCAAGACUACUCGUGACUCGUGACCACAGCACGCACAGAUGGCAUCAUACUUGCCUGGGGGAGUAAUGCGUAAAAGGACAAAGAAUGUAGCAGUUAGUAACACUGAGUGCAGCGCAGCGAAGGAAUGAGGGUCCUACUGUGGCCUGUCCAUCGCCACUUACCGUUCCUUGGAGGGCAAAUAAGUGAAAAAAAAGGUAAAUAUUCUUCAUCUCUUUGCCUACCUUGCUCGGGUAAACGUAGAUGCCAAACUUGAUGCUCAGUUGAAAAUGAAACAAACAGUACUUGAUGUGACUAUGUGGUAUCUAUUUUUUUUAGUUUGUCUUUUUGUUCAUUUUCAAAUGUCUAGAAAGAGCGUCAUUCAGAAGACAUGAAAACAGAUGCUGUGUGACACGGUGGCCGCGUCAUACUGACGAAAACGUAGACUAUAGGAAGUUCAGAGCUUGGCAGUUGGUGGCUCCUGCAUGCUGCCCGGUGUAUAUGCUCUUCACUAUAACAGAAUCUUUCCUCCGCAACAGUCAAGAGCAUCCUCAAGUCCAAAAUAACAAGUAUCAUUUCCAGUUCAUAUGAAUAAACAUGGAUGACCUUUUACCAUAAGAAUAAACAGGGAUGACCUUUUAUCAUAAAAUGGUAUACAGGUACAACAUAAACAGGCAUGGCCUUUUACCAUAAGAAUAAACAGAGAUGCCACCACCUACCUCAAGUCCUCAAGAUGCUCGAGGAUGGCUCCCUGUUCUUUUUUUUUUACACAGAAUAUAGCUUCCAAGUAGGAAAACAUGUCACCAUCUAUCCAGAUGAUAUGAUGGCAACCCCACCAGAUCGAUCUCACCAACGAGGCGCCACUCACCAUAGAUUCAUUGGCUGACAGAAUUGGAAUAUUCACAAGUCACAAGAACGGUGUAUAUAGUAAACUUAGCCGGGAAGCGGCCAGCAAUGCGCAACCAACGGAAGGUAACAGGGGAGUAGGGGACGAGCAGGAGCUUACAGCGGGAACCAUCCCCUUGCAUGGAUCGAGCAGGAGCAACCAACCAGCGCCGGCGCAGGAUGGAGACGGCAGUGUCCUAUGCUUGGCUCCCUUCUCCAUAAGGAACGAAAAAUGUUAAACGCAUCUUUCUACCAAACAGACUAUUCAUCCUUGUUUAGGCAUAAAAAAUGGAGUAUGCUGAUUUUUUGUUGGAUGCCUGCGUUCGUACUGUGUCGGCACUUGCACGGUUGGACCUGACAUGCUUGCUGUUCCUGUUGCAAUUCCUAGUUGUUUUUUUUGCAGGGAAUUUUAACUAGGUUGCGCUUUUGAUGCUUGCAAACAAGACAAUUUUAUACUGCAGAGUAACAAGAUAUGCAACAUCAGAACGGCUGGUUGCAGACUAAACUGAUUCUGUACGUAUUGUUCUUGCAGGCGGCACUGCAGCAGCGGGUAGAUACGACCCGUUGAAGUGCAAAAUUCCAUGUGGUAACACAGAUUGAAACGAGGAUUUCAACGGGAGUAAAAUGGGAACAGUGAAAUUACAGUAUUAUCAAGUGGCAAGGAUCUAGAGUAAGCAAACCAGAAACUCUCACAGUUUUUCAAUGGCGGACCCAGGAUUUAACGAAGACGGCCAAAAUUUAAUAGCAUAAGUUUGGUCCGAAAGAUCAACUCUCAUAUCAGUUCAUUGAAUUGUGCAACAUGAGCACAAGAAAAAUAACAUGUCCUCUGCCGUGUUUUCAGAAGAAACAAGAGCAUAUCGCUCGUACCUAACAUAAUGAACAGUAAAUAAGUUCACUAAAGAGUGUCACAAAAUCAUUUUAUGCUUUGCUUAAGUGCCUGCCAGGUAAGUAUCUUACAAGCAGCAAUGCCAUCGAGAGAGUUACUGACCAAACUGUCUAUGCCAAACUAAGGCCAAUGAAACCAAAGAAUGACAAUAAGUAGUCAUAUUAUUGAGUAUAAUUCACUAUUGUCUGUUUGAUGUAGCAAAAUGUUUCAGCAGUACCAAAUAAAAUAAGUUAAAAAAAAUAACUCUCUAACCACAAAGAAUAGGCAACCUAUGUACACCUACAUAGGGCGAAUGCCCAAGGGGCAUCAAAAGUGCUGCUAACCAAAUGGGCGAUGAAUGGCCAACUAGUCAACAUCGGAAGCAGAGCUAAGAGAGUAGUCUGCUUGCCACCGAGCUUCUCCAAAAAGCAUUGUCCUGGUUUCAGUUAAGCGAACUGUAGAGGAAAAACAAAGGUCCAUCAUGAGCUAAAUGUUUUUUUUUCUUUUUAGUAUCAUGCAUGUAAAUUAGGAACUCAUUACCAAAGAAACUCAGUUGUACAGUGCUAGGCCUUAGAUAAGUGGAGAGUGACAUUAAUAAAAAAUUCGGAAAUGGCAAUAUCUAUACACAAUUUAAAAUGAAUGCAAAUGGCAAAGUAUUGAUUUCUUUCUAAAAAAAGAACAGAAAAAAAUGAUUUUCAGAUAACAAAAUCGCUAUCUAAGACUGAUGUUGAGUCUACGAACUAUCAGAGCCAACUGUGUAGCAACAUUGUCUAUAUUCUCACAAACUAUCAGAGUUAAUUACUCCAGUAAGGCAGUAAAAAUAACUACAUGUCUCCAUCUCAAAAUAAAAUAAAAUACUACAUGUCCCAUAUCUUAAGUCAUGGUAGUAACUACUGUUACACACAGGAGUAACAGCAGAUCAAUACCUGUGCUGGUUUUGCCAUUUAGUGCUGACCACCGAGCUUCUCGAUCUCCAAAUAACCCUCUCUUUUCAAUGAACCGAGAAAAUUGGUCAAUCGCAGCUGCUGCUUCUGACAUUGAGUUUGAUUGCCAUGGUUACAGAAAAUUGAGAAGUUGACCUUUCUGCAUGGUUUGACCUGUAUGAUUCUUGAGGAUCAAGUGCAGCAGCUACAAAGGCAAAGAAAUCAGUAAUGUUAGAUAGAUAUGAACUGAAAGCAACAUUAGAAAUUUAGAAUGGAUGCAAAGAAACAUUUAUUGAACAAAAAAUUCAGAUCAGUACAUGGUUGUUACCUGCAUGAAUAAGUGUUUCAUUGAGAAGCUAUCGAACUCUUUUACUGAUUACUUCAGCAGUUCAGCUACCCUCUUAUGAAGGUAUCCUUUACCAUGCUUACCAUUUCUUAAUUUACCACUUAUUCUCAUUAUGUGCCUGUAUCAUGUUUGGAAGGAACACAGUGUGUGUGCUGAGCUCCAGGGUGUUUUCUUCUACCUCUAGCUGCUGGUGUAAGUGAGGGAAGCUUAGCAGCUUACCUGAGCUUGGAUUGUAAGGGCCAACAUACAACAUCACGUGAGAAGUGUUUAAAGAAUAUAUUUUGAGGGGCAUGCUAAAUUUUAGCAAAUUUCCAAAUUCGAAUUGUUGCUACUGUUAUUCUUACAUUUAAUAUAAUCCAAGGACCAGCUAAUAUGCCUAGUCAGUAUAUGACCAACUGAUAAGUUAUGGCAAAACCAUGGACUAUGUCACAUACCACAGCAGCAAACCCAUCAUAUCCUAUCCAGCUGCAUGUGUUUGCCUCUUUUGCCUUUUGAUAAGGCCUUCCAUCAAAGUGAUAUAGGUUGAACUGUCAACAGACAUGCCCUUUUGCAUCAUCUCAUCCAAAACAGCCUUAGCUUCUUUCAGUUGCCCACCAACGCAGAGUUCCUUUACAGAUUUAUUAUAGCUCUCCUGAUCACCACCUUUUGCAUUUCCACCAGAUUCACAGUCAGAUUUAACCUCUGGGUCCUUCCCUGUCUUCACUUCCUCCGCAGAAGAUUUAAUUAAAGGAUAAGAAAAUCUUUCAGAUAAUUUCCCACUCUCAUCUAAUUUAUGGAGCAUAUUCUGUGCUUCCUCUGAUCUCCCUGCCUCAGAUAGUGCAGACAACACAACAUUGUAUGUAAAUGCAUCAGGUUGCAAGCCUCUGGCCUCCAUGUCAGCAAAGAAAUGCAAAGCUGUAUCAACAUCUCCGUCUUUGCACAAAGCUUGAAUUAAGGUGUUAUAUGUGAUAACAUCAACCUUCUUCCCUUUCUCUGCCCAUGACUCAAAAAGCUUGAUCGCUUUCUCAAGCUUGCCAUGCAGACAAAGCCCAUUCAUUAAAGUGUUGCAGGUAACAACAUCUGGCUUAAAAUAAUUCUCCAGCAUCUUGUUGUGGAACUGGAAAGCUUUCUCCAAGUCCCCUUCCUUACAGUAAGCAUGAAUGAUGAUAUUGUAGGUAGUGUCGUCUGGUACCAACCCCUUCUUCAUCAGCUCAUUCAAUUUGUCAAUCGCCUCUGUCAACUUCCCUAUUGUACAAAGCCCUUUGAUCAAUGUGUUGUAAGUAUAAAUACUUGGUGUUAACUUCCUCUUAGACAUUUCAUCCCACAGAUACAGAGCAGGCUCUGGUUUAUUCUCCUUAAAGUAGGCUGCCAUCACUGUACCAUAGCUGACUUCAUCAGGUACAAAACCCCUCUGCGGCGGUGAACGCAAGAGCUCUUCAGCCUCUUCAUAACGCUUCUCUUUGCAUAGGUUAUAUAGCAAAGUGUUUAGGGUGAAAGUGUCCAUUUUGAGUCCACUCCUCACCAUCUCAUCCAUCAACACAAAUGCUUUGGCAACAUUCCUGGCUUUGCAGUAUGCAUCAAUCAAUGUAUUGUAUGUAAUCACAUCUGGUGCCAAUCCCUCCUCUGUCAUCAUUUUCAGACGCCCCAACGCCUCUUCCAAUUGCCCCUCCCUGCAGAGCCCCUUCACAACAAUGUUAUGUGUGACCAAACUUGACUUCACCCCUUUGUCACGCAUUUCCUCGAGCAGAUUCAGUGCAUCAGAAGAGCGCUGAUACUUGAAGCAUGCAUCGACAAGCGUAUUGUAGGUGACUACGUCAGGCGAUACUAUGCUGAGAUGCUCCAUCUCAUCCUUCAGCUUAAAUGCCUCGUCCACCUUCCCUGCCUGGCACAGCCCUGCAGCGAGCACAUUGUAUGUCCACAGGUCAGGCUCAAAACCGAAUGCUGUCAUGGCCUCCACGACAUUGGUCGCCUGCUUGAUCCACCCAAGCCUCGCGUACGCUGAAACGAGGGUAUUAUAGGUGGCCCUGGUGGGCGCAAUACCCUCCUUCUUCAUCCUAGCCAGCAGGGUCCGCGCCUCACCGAGCAUGCCCUUGCGACAAUGAGCCUUGAGGAGGGUGUUGUAGGUGACGACGUCGGGGGAGAGGCCGAAACCCUGCAUUGUGGAGAGCGUGGAAAGGGCGUCGGCGAGGGUGCCCUUGGAGCAGUGGGUGUGCACCAGGAGGUUGAAGGUGUAGUGAUUGGGGUGGAGCCGCAGCGCGAUGAGGGAGCGGAAGACAUCAAGAGAGGCCUGCGGCGAGGUGGACGGACUGCGCGCGAGUGCGGAGAGCACGGCGUUGGCUGCCUGGAGGGAGGGGCGGACGUGCCCGCGGCGG
rnacentral:lncRNA from 1 species